UCAUUGGCUUGGCACCCACUUAACAGAAUUCCCUCAUCCUCCGUCAAUGACCUCAAAUUCAAAAUAUCACGUUCAUAAUGGGGUAGGAAUUUGAGACUCACAUUGUUCCCAAAGAGUGUGGUCAAAAGAGAGCCAAUACCCGUCAUAUUGUCUGUUCCAGUGUUGAUGGCAUUGGCAACUGCUGUUGUGUCCAAGAAGCUUUGUGUCGCGCUCACGACGUUGGCUGCUGUUUGUAGGCACUGGUAUAAGGUUUCAAUGGAAAUGCCCCUAGUCUUGUAAUCAACAGGUGGUGCUAUACCCCUUAGAGUACUAUGGGGUCCAAUUUGUUCUUUACUUUUAUCAAUCAGACCACCACUGUGGCAGGAAUCCGAAACCAUUGUGAAGCUUGAUCCACUUGGUAGUUGCUGAAUCAAUUGCCCCAAGUCCACGUCUGCACAACCAUGGCAACCACCAUAUGAUAUAAAUAAUAGUUUGCUUAGAUUGAGAGUAUUUUAAAAUUUUAAUUUACCAAGUUGAUUUCGUACCAAAAAUGGGAUUGAGAUCACAAGGCACAAUUGCUUCACCCCCGUUGGAAGGCUGGUAGGGGUCAAUGCAGUGCACAAGUCCAUGUCCACUAAAAUGGAAAAGCAGGACAUCUCCUUCUUUAGCCGCGACCACCAUCUUCUUGAGUUCAGCCAUAAUGUUUGCACGUGUAGGCUUAUACGUGGACUCUGGUUCAUCAGUUAGGAGCUCAACAUUUUCGGAAUCAAAGCCAAACCUGCUCACGAUCAUUUCUCUCAUGGCUUUCACAUCGUUUACGCAUCCGCUCAACUCGUUGAUGGUGUUGGGGUAGUUGCAUCCGACCAGAACGGCUCUCUUCUUACAUUCGGUGGCCAUCUUGCUUCUAUUUUGGGUCGCUUGUCUUGUCUUGUGCUUCGGACGUUGCACUAAACACCUAUAUAUAUACACCCAUACACACUGUAGUUUACACUAUGCUCACUGACCAUACUCUAAUAAAUAAGACAUCAUGUUGGUAGGUACAACUGUUUUAUUUUAUUAUUGUUUAUAAAAAUGCAUGGCAAAUCCAUAUACAUGCAAUUAGUUGUCUGUAUAAAAGUACCACUGUUAGAGUGUAUUUGGACUAAAAAUUUUAGAAUUAAUUUAAAAUAUUAAAAUUUGUAAUUGUUUUAUUUGGAUAAAUAAUUGAUUUAGGACAAAUUAAGUUAUUAGAAUUUUACAAAUUAAAAAUAGUUAUAAAAUAAAAAUUUUAUAUUACAAAAAAAAUUAAAAUUAACAUUAAAAUAAUUAUAAAAUAUUUUAUACACAAAAAUGAAUAAUUUGAAAAGCUUUCCAUAUUAUUAAGUCCAAAUUUGAUACCACACUUUUCCAAUUAAGCAAUUUUGAUAUAUUUGGCCUCUAAUAAGAAAUCAAGAAAUGGAAUGGGUGAUUAAUCCGAAUUGGGAGGAGGACAGGUGUUGUGAUGGACAAAGAGGAAGAUAAGGUAGGUAUUCCUUUUUGCAGACAAAUAAGAUAAAAGAUAGAAAAUAUACAGUGGUGGUCGAAGCUAGAGGAUUAUAACAGCACUGAUAUGAUCUGCUUCGCCUUCGUCCACCACCUCAUCUUUAUGUUUUUAUCUUGGUCGUGACUCACGUUGGCCUUCGUCUGCAAGUGCUGUCGGUCCUACUAUCGAGAUUCUGCUGCCUAGCUUUCGAUUUCUAUGGCCUUAUUUGGCAAUUGGCUCAUAAUGGGCAAAUUAUAAUUGUAUAAUGUUUAAGUUAUAAUUUUAUAGAUUUAAGAGAGAUCAAAAUAACAAUUUUUUAUUUUAUGGGUAUAAAGAGUAUUUUUCAUUUUAAGGGGGUCAUGGUUAGAUGUGAUUAUGGGUGGCGGUGUGCUCGAAAAGUGGGAGGGUUUAGGUAAAAAUAUAGGCAUGAAAAAUAGGUUUAGAUAAAAAAAAUACCCGUUUUCGAAACAGGUCGAGCCUUGAGUAAGAUUUUCUUUGUCCGGGCCCGGCCCGACCCAAAUUUGAUUAAAAAAAAAUUCUUGGUGUUGUUUAAUGUUGUUUUGCUACCAUUUUACUAUUAUAUUGCUACUAUUUUGUUGUUAUUAUUUGGAUGUUUUAUAACUUUGUUUUAUUAUUAAUUUUGCUACUAUUUUAGAAACAUUUGCUUGCUAAGUUGCUACUAUCUUAGUGUUAUUUAAAUAUAAAGAUUUUUUUUAAUGUAUUUUCAAUUUGUUGGGAAGUAUUUAUUUUAAUGUUUUUAGUUUAUUUGAUGCAUUAUAUAUUUACAUAAAAAAUUUUAAUACGGGUAGACCGGGUCAAGCUCAAGUUUAGCAUUUUUUAUCUGGUUUAAUCUUGGACAAAAUUUAGACCCAUUUUUCGGGUCGAUUUAGCCCAUGAUCAAGUCUAGCCACGACCCUUACCUGCUCUGGUCACUGCCUUUGGCAAUGAGAUUAAUUCCAGUGAGAUUGAAAAUAGCGAUGGCGGUGAGAUUAGUUACUAUAGUGAUGAGACUAAAAUUAAUACUAAAAUGUGUGUUAGGAUUCAAACACAACAGUGGUUUAUAGAUUUAUAGUAAGAAAGUAGAAUGACCAUUAUGGACAUUAAACUAAAGCAGUUUACACUCUUCAGUAUAUUUUUGUACAAUUAAUAUUUUAAUGAUAAUAACGUCAUAUUUCAUUUAUAUAACUCAUGUGUAUAAAAUUUAAUGUAAAUUUAAAAUGUUCAAACUAAUUGUUUUAUGUAAGAAUACUUUUAAUCGUUGAAUGAAUGUUAAUAUGUACAAUAUUUUAGAUUGUUAUGGUAGAAGUAUCGACUCAAUUUGAAAAUUUUUAUAUGCAUGAAAAGUACAAUAAUAUCAAUAAAUUCAAUGGUUGGAUUGUUAAAUUAAUAAUGAUACAAAUAUAUAUAUAUAUGAAAGCGUGUAAAAUUACUUUAGUUUCACUCUAGUGUAAGCAGAUCUCUCUCCUUUUAAUAUAUAAAAUUAAUUAUACAAUUUAAAUUUAUGUAUUGAAAUUAUUUAUAAAUAUAAGUAUAAAUAUAUUUCUUUAUACACCUAACUAAUGUAAAUAAAAUAUUAAAUGUUAUUUGCAAGUAAUGAAAUAAAACAAAUAUUAUAAAUAAACAACUCUCCGAAGGUUAAAUGGAAUUAAUGUAAACAUUUCCAAACACUUUGUGAAUGCCUCGAGCUUCUUGAAUCUGCACUCUAAACCUCCUCACCUAAUAAAUACACUAUGGACACUUUGUUGAUUGGCUCAGAGUGAUAGAUAGGAGUGAAUAAAACUCGAUUUGAUUUUUUAAAAAAAAUCAAAUUUUGAGUUAAUUGAAUUGAGUUAUUUAAGUUAUUUUUAUUUUUUUGGUCAACUCGAAUAAGUAAUUUGAGUUUCAAGUCGAGAUCGGGUUAAAUUUUACAAUUCGAAUAACUCAAAUAAUAAAUGUAACACCCUAUACCCAGCCUGGUCGUCGAGCCCGAAUAUCAGGAUGCCACACCAUCGUCUCAUGUCAUACACAACGAAUAAAAGCCCAUUUUAAAUGAAGACGUCUUCCACAAUAUCAUUCGUAAAGGUUUUAAGUCGAUCUUACUCUUUAGUUAUCAUCGUUACGUGCUAAUCAUACAUCAAAUAGUCUUACACUAAUAAUUAAACUUGCAUAGGGUUCAUUUAGCAAAAUUUUCCAAGCAAGUACGUAGGUAUCGAUAGUAGGACAAGGGUAUCAAUAUUUUCCUGGUACGGUAUUGAUGUCCUUUGUAAAAUUAGAACCAAAUCAGUAUUCUGUUUCUCAUCUAAAAUCAAAGUCUCAUAAAGUAUCAGUAACUUUGCAAAAGUAUAGAUGAAAUUACUUCGAGUAUCGAUACUCGUGAUAUGAUAUUGAUACCAAUCUACGAUUUUGACUUCCUACACAUUUCAAAAUCAUAGAUGUAUCAUUUUAAAAACAUGAAUAUCGAUACCUCUACUCCAAGCCAGAAAAAUACAACAUACUUGAGCACAAAAAAAUCAUUCUAACUUGUACUAAUUCAUCAUGCUAUCAUAUCACCAUCAAAUAAACAUCAAAAGGACAAUAUGAUAGUCUCAAACAUCGAAAGUAAGUCCGAGCAAUAAUCAACGUAAUACGAAAUGAAUCUCAUAAACUUAGGAACAAAUAAUCUAUGGAAGCAUCUAAAACAUCAUGGUAAAUACCAAUAGAAGUCUACCACAUUGCCUUUUUUCCAAAACAUAAACAAAUAACAAUAACACCUACUAAAUCACGGAAAUGAACUUACUUGGAUCACCCCUUGGAACCACACCGCUCACACCGGCACUUUAAGAAAGAAGUGGGUGAGCUUAACAAGCUCAGUGAAUGCCUAGAAUAACUACCAUGCAAACAAUUCAUCAAGCAUCAACGAAACAACCAUAUAGCACAACCUCAACAAUUCCAACACUAGUGUCAUAAUAUACUUACUCGUGCAUUAUUUUCUAUUUCUUUUACAUUGUAAACAUAUUCACUUUUAAACAUAUAUCUUGUUACACAUAUAAUCACCUAACAUCCAAACAUAUAUCACAAUACUCAUAUAAUCACAUAACAUUUAAGCAUAUAUCAAAAUAUUCAUAUAAUCACAUAACAUUUAAGCAUAUAUCACAAUACUCAUAUAAUCACAUAACAUUCAAGCAUAUAUCACAAUAUAUAUACAUAUAAUCACAUAACAUUCAAGCAUAUAUCACAAUAUACAUAUAAUCUCAUAACAUUUAAGCAUAUAUCACAAUACUCAAAACAUCUUUAUAGAUAAGUUAUGAAACGUAAAAGUGGGCACUAUCACCACUCAUCGGAUACACGGAUAUCCAGUACACCACAUAGACUCGUAGAGUCAAACAUGUCUCAAAAGUGAAGCAUAAAGCUAACACUCUCAUUAUUUCCCCUCACAUGCCCCAUUGAAUAGAGGCUAGCUCACAUUCCCUUAUCACUCCAACAUGUCCCAAGGCCUCAACGCCCAAAUCACUAUACAUAUAGAUGAGUACUCACAAUCCUAUGGCAUGCCUACUAUAUCCAACGGGUUCAAGAUCACAAGUCCAAAAUAUCCAAAAUUAAACACAUAUCACUUACCAACUAUCCGUGCACUAUCAUUGUAUAUUUGCUAUUUUUAGAAAAACAUUGUCACUAACAUUUAACAUAUACAUAACAUGUACACAUUUGCACUUUCACAACAGUUAUGAUAACCAUAUAUCACAUGUUAUAGCAUAUCAUCUCUGUUCACAUAUUCACAAACACAUAAGCACAUAGUUCACAAGAUAACAUAGGUAUGAGAAAGCUUACACUCGAAAUUUAGAGUAGGGGUUUAGGUCACAACUAAAUUCCAAAAUAACGCAUUGAAUCAUGUUCGCAAGUAAUUAUUCCAAGUCACCAAUUACACUUUCGUCGAAAAGCCAAACGCUCAAACUAGUUUUUCAUUGUCUUUAUAUCUACUCAAACUAGCUCAAACACUAAUCAAUUACUCAAUCUUUUUCCCUAAAAUCAGUUUCGUUCAUCUUAUAAUUUACCUACGACUAAUUCCCAACCUUUAAACUAGAAUAAAAUACUAAAUUCAUGGUAUUGACUUUUUCUACAUGUUUUAUGACUAUUUUCUGAAAAUUCAUUAAAACUCAAGAAUUUUUUAACGAAACUUCAAAGUAAGUUUAGAAACCUUCUAAUAAUGUUAAAACUAAUUGAAAAACACUUUAAAAUAUCGUUUUUAUGCAAAAUCUCAAAUUUCACCAUUAACGACCCAAUUUUCGAUUUUUAUUCAAAACAUGUGAUUUAAUGGCUAAAAACUUAGUUUUAAAGACUAAAUAACAUUUAAACAAAAAAAUCGAGCGUUUGAUGAAAAUCCCAAAAAAACCCACAAACUUGACAAUAGAGAAAUCUGUGGUGUUUUUGAGUGUUUUUCUUAGAUUUUAUGGAGAUAUUUGGCUUGGGUGAUGAUAGAAAUCAAGAGAAUUAAGGUUGAAGAUCAAAUAGUGGAAGAGAGGAGCUUUGAGAGCAAGGGGCGGCUAAAGCAUGAAAAUGGAGAAGACUAAGGUAAAAAUUAUAGGUGGGGAUGAUUUUAGGUUGAUUUUUAAAAUUUGUUUUAAUUGCCUCUUAAAAACUCACAAUUUUAACUCUUUUACAAAUCAAUCCUACUUUCAAAAUUAAAGAUAUUUAAAACUCAUUUUCAGAAAUUGAUUUAAUUUUAACCAUAGUAAAAAAAAUAUAUCGAUAAACCAAUUCAUAAAAUUCCGAACACUCUAAGGCUAAAAUUCCUAAAUUACCUCUAAACCCCUAGGUCCUAUUUUGGGAUGUUACAAUAAAUUGGUGUAAAUACACAUUUGGUCCCUGUCAAUUUUGAACAUGAGCAAAUUGAUCUUUCUCUCAACAAAAAUUACAAAAAAAAUUCAAAAUAUUUAUAAGAAUUUUAGAAUUUAAAACUUUUUUAAAUAUAUAUUAAAAAAUCUAAAGAAAUAUAAAAAAAUUAGAAAAAUCUAAUUAUCAUUUUUGGGACCUAAAUAAGUUAAUUAAUUAUUCAAGUUUAUCAUACUAUUUUUACUCUUUUUUUAAUGAAUUUUAAAAAAUAUAUGAUUUCAAAGAUAUGUGUUUUAGUAUAGAGUUAGUUAAAUUGUAAAAAUAUUUUAAUUUUUUCACUCGAUCCGAUCGAACGCUCACCUCUAGUGGUCGAUGUUCAUCGACAUAUAUCCUUUGUCUCCAACCGGAAAGGAUCUCUUCCAAAAUGAGAAUCUUAAAUUAGAGUGUGUCAUAUUUACCACAAGCCGUUUAUGAUAGAAUCAGACCCGUUUAAGCUUGAAAUCACUCACCUAAUGCAUGUUAUUUGGAAGGUUAUCGAUGAAGAUCGUUGCAACAACUAGAAGUUCGCCACUCCAUUUUUCUAUUGUCCGCCCUCCCUUGAUUAUAACAAUCCAGAACCUCCCUUACUCUAACUUAUAAAAUUAAAAAAACUCUAUAGGACAAAAUAAGACAAUAAAAGCUUUUAUUUAUUUAUUAAUACACUAGAAUUUCACACAUAGCAAAAGCACACUAUAUAAGGAGAUGCAUAGGAAAACAGCGGUAGGUAGAUAUAAGUCAACAGGCUGUCAAAUUUAUUCUAGUAAUAGUGUAAACAUAAGCACAUUAUUAUAGACGACACUGACAGCCUGAGCACCAGCAUUUUGAUCAGAAAUUUAAGCAAAGCCACCCAAGAAAAGUGUGUUUGUAUUCUCAUCACUGCAAUAAAGGCAAGGGUUCUGCUCAAAUCCAUUGUUCUUCAAAAUCUUGGCAGCCUCAACCAUAAGUUGUCUGUUGCUUAUUCCACCACCCAUGCACUGAUCGAGUACGCUAACCACUGCAUCGGUGAACGCCCCAAAGGCUCUAUUCCCCAAAACCAGGUCAUAUGAUGUCUCAUUGGCUUCACACCCACUUAAUAAUAUCCCUUCAUCCUCCUCCGGUGGAUCCAACACCAUUAACCCAUUUACGUAGUGAGGAUGGAAUUUGAGACUCACAUCUUUCCCGAAGAUUCCGAAAAUCUUUUGGCCAACAUUUGCUGCAUCGUGUAGGAUGCCUGCUGCUGUAUCUAUCGCACUGUGUAUGAUAUCAAAAGUAAGACUCUUAGCCUUAGCCUUAGACGGUUUAGGCUUGUUGGGAUUUACUGGAGUCAUCAUUUGCUGAGCACCAAAUUAUUCUUUCUCUUUUUCAAUGAGACCACCACUGUGGCACGAAUCUGAUAGGAUUGUGAAGCUUGCUCCUUCUGGUAGCCGGUUAACUAAAUGCCUGAAGUCCACAUCUGUAGAAACCAUGUAUAUAUAGGGUAUGAAUAUAUGUUGCUAAAAAAAUAUAUAAAUUCAAAUAAAAACCUACCGGUGACAAGAUUUAAAUCACAAGCCACGAUUGCUUUAUCUUGCUUGAAAGGCUGGCCAGGUUGAAAGAUUGGAAUGCGUGUUCCAUGUCCACUGAAGUAGAAAAAUAGGAUAUCUCCUGCUUUAGCCUUGUUCACCAUUCUAUUAAGUGCAUCCUUAAUGUUUGCACCCAUAGCCAGAACCGGCGACCCUGGUGCAUCGGUGAGAACAUUAACAUCGCUUUCCUUAAACCCAAAGUUCAGGAUCACACCUCUUAUGGCUUUCACAUCAUUGAUGCAUCCAUGCAAGUUGAAUUGGGUCUUGGGGUAGUUGCAUCCCACCAGAACUGCUCUCUUCGUACCCUUACUCAUCUUGCUUCGCUAAUUUGACUAUUUUGUGUUGCUUGUACCAUUGUAUUAAUGUGCUUCCACUAUCUCACUUAGAACCUAUAUAUAUACACACUAAUUUACAGCAUGUGUACUGACCAUAAAGAUGACGACAUGUAGGUAGGUAGGUAGGCAGGUACAACACUUUUGUUUGUCUUUCGUGUUUUGGAAAAUGCAUGCGAAAUCCCCUUUGGAGGGGUUUUUCCACGUUAAAUUUGUGUGUUCAUCUUCUCAAUUUCUUCUACUAGUUUUUACUUGUUCGUUGCUUAAUCGGGACAAUCCUAACAAAUGGUAUCAGAGCUAGUUCAAUUUUUAUAGAUCAGCCCGUUCAGAGAUGGCAACAACAAAGUUUGAAAUUGAGAAGUACGAUGGUGAGACAAAUUUCAAUCUAUGGCAAGUUCGGAUGAUGGCAAUUCUAGUUCAAAACGGCUUGAAAAGGUUGUUAUAGGGAAAAAGCCUGAGAAUCUAAAUCAAACAAAAUGGGAAGAGCUUGAUGAAAAGGCAUUGUCUGCAAUCCAUUUGUGCCUCGCGAAUACUGUAUUGUAGGAGGUAUUGAUGGAGAAGACCUCAUCUGUCUUAUGGAAAAGGUUAGAAACUCUUUAUGCGACUAAGUUUUUGGCUAACCGUUUAGUGUUGAAACAACGUCUAUUUACGUUUCGCAUGAAUGAAAGUAAGCUUCUUAGAGAUCACAUCAAUUAAUUCAUUACUCUUUUAAAUGAUUUAAGGAACGUUGAUAUUCAUAUUGACGAUGAAGAUCAAGCUAUGCUAUUAUUGUGCUCUUUACUACCUUCAUACAAGUCUUUCAGGGAGACCCUGAUUUAUGGUAGAGACAAACUCUCGUUCAAAGAUGUGAAGGGUCAUUUGUUGAGUAGAGACAAACUCGACAAUGAGUUUGGUUUGAAUAGCAAAGCAAAUAGGAAAGCUUCCGUUUUGGUAGUAUCAAAGAAACGAGACAAAAGGUGUCGCUAUUGUAAAAAGUUAGGUCAUGUCAAAGCAGAUUGUUAUAAACUGCGAAAUAAAAUAGUUGCUGAGAGUAACGAGGAAUAUGUAGCUGGUGCUAAUUUGGUCGAUGAAGGCGGUGAUGAUUUCUUGUUAGUGUCAACGAGAGAUAACUCUAAGCUUACGUCUGAGUGAAUCCUAGAUUCAGGAUGUUCUUUCCACAUGUGUCCCAAUAGAGAAUGGUUCUCCACAUACAGUUCAGUUGAAGGUGCAGUUGUGCACAUGGGAAACUAUUCAUCUAGUAAGAUAAUUGGUAUUGGUACUGUUAAAAUUAGGAUAGACGAUGGGACGAUUAGGACACUCUCAGAUGUCAGUUAUGUACGUAAUUUACGAAAAAAUCUCAUCUCCUCGAGUAUUUUAGACUUGAAAGGAUGUAGAAUCAACAUCGAGUCGAGUGACAUUAAAGUAUCUCGUGGAGCUCUCGUUUUGUUAAAAGGUAAAAGAACUGACAGUCUUUAUAUUUUGGAAGGUUCUACAGUGAUCGGUGAAAUCGGACAUCCCUCGUCCGUUACGGAGUCAAAGUUAACUCGUUUGGAGCGAAGGCAACCUGGUCAUAGGAGGGAAAAAGGUAUGACCGUUUCGUUGAAUAGAGGUUCUCUUUUGGAUGUAGGUUUUGAAAAGUUAGGGCACUAUGUUUGUGAAAAUCAGACUUGGGUUAGUUUUGAUUUGGCAGUGCACAAGUCGGAGGCUAGAAGUCUUCCAGCUUCUAAGUAUAGAUUUGACUCAGUUAAUUUCCUGCAUAGUUCAAGAUAGACCCGUGGCGGGUUUUGGCAAAGAUGGCGUUGAAAGAAUUCGUGUCAAGGUGGAGAUUGUUAAAGUUGUGUGACCCAAAUUCUAAGAGAUUGCUUGCAAGUCAAGUUAAACAAAAAUAAUUUUUUCUUUCUAGAAGAUUUAGUAUUUAUUUGUAUAAUAUAUUUAGCAUUUAUUAGCAUAGUUUAUUUUACUUACUAAUUUAGCCUAUAAAUAGGCUCUUUUACAAUCUUAGAAAAACACACCCAUUAGAUUAGAACUCAUAACAUAUUUAGAGAAUUUUGUGUUUAAGUUUUGAGAGUUCUUUAUUUUUCGAGUUUUCGGGGUUUAGUUUUUAUCUCCAUCUUUUAUACUCUUCGUUCUUUUGCCAUUAUAGUAAAAUUAUAUUUGCCCGUGGUUUUUUAUCCCCUUUGGAGGGGUUUUUCAACGUUAAAUUUGUGUGUUCAUCUUCUCAAUUUCUUCUACUAGUUUUUACUUGUUCGUUGCUUAAUCGGGACGAUCCUAACAGUUUAUUACGUACCAGCUUUGAAAAGCAACAUCAUCAGCCUUGGACAGCUUCUAGAAAAAUGAUAUAAAGUACAUAUGAAGGAUUGUAUGCUCGCCCUAAAAAAUAAGAGUGGUGAAUUAAUUAUCCAAGUUGAUAUUACGCCUAACCGUUUGCUUACUAUUGACAUUGAAUCUGGAGAGGUGAAAUGUAUGAAGAACGUAAUUAAAAAUGAUUCAUGGUUAUGGCAUUUAAGGUUCGGGCAUCUUGGAUUUUCUGGUCUGAAGCUAUUGUUAAAAGAAAAUAUGGUGAAUGGGCUGCCAUAAAUUAAUCUUUCUGAUCAACUGUGUGAAGCCUGCAUUAAAGGAAAACAACAUAGACAGAGUUUUGAAGUUGGAAAAACUCGACGAGCCAAGAGACCAUUGGAGAUCGUGCACUCUGACAUAGCAGGUCCUUUUAAUAUACCAUCACUUGGUGGAAACAAGUACUAUGUUACUUUUAUUAAUGAUUUUAGCAGAAAAAGUUGGAUAUAUCUUCUUAAAACAAAAUCAAAAGCAUUUGACAAGUUUAUCAAGUUCAAAGCCCUGGUAGAAAAACAGAGUGGACAUUUCAUUAAGAUACUUAGAAUUGAUAGAGACGGUUAGUAUACUUCAAAGCUAAUUGAAAGCUUCUGCAAGGAGCACGAAAUUAUUCACCAGUUGACAACUGCAUACACGCCACAACAAAAUGGAGUCAUUGAAAGAAAGAACCGCACUAUUCUUGAUAUGGCAAAAAGCAUGGUUAAAUGUAAGCAUUUACUAAGAGCUUUCUAGGCUGAAGCUGUUCAAUGUGCUGUUUAUUUGUUGAACCAGCAUCCAACAAAAAGUGUGAAAUACAAGAUGCCAAACGAAGCUUGGAACAAUUAGAAGCUAGGAGUCGAACAUUUCAAGAUUUUUGGAUGCAUCGUAUAUGCUUAUGUUACUGACCAGAUGAGAAAGAAGCUUGACGAUAAAUGAGUAAAAUGUAUUUUCAUUGGUUAUGAAAAGAGAAGCAAGACAUACAGGUUAUACAACACUCUCACCAAGAAAGUUAUUAUUUCAAGAGAUGUUGAAUUCGAUGAAGCUGAUUACUGGAGAUGGAACGAAAAAGAGAGGAAAAUUGAUGGAUUAUUUUUCAGUGAUCACAAAGACGACGACUUUAUUAAUCAAGAACAAGGCGACGAUGAAAGCCCUCCUGUAACACCCCUUACCCGAGACCAUCGUCGGAAUCGAGUACGAGAUGUUAUCCAAUUUAACCUACCAAUUUAGAGCAUAAAAAUUUGCUUUUAAAAUUAAAUUCACUGUUCACAACAAAACUGUCCACCUGCGCGACUGUCACUAAUUUACUUAUAACUCAAGUUACAAAACUCAAAAUUUAAAUCUGUAAAUUUUCCCUGAAACUAGACUCAUAUUCCUAAUUACCAUAUAAUUUUCAGAAUUUUUGACUUAGCCAAUUAGUACAUUUUAUUCAUUAAAGUAUCCCCUAUUUCACAGCUCGACAGAUCUGACCUCUUGCCACUAAAAAUCAAUUAUCUCAUUGUACAGAAUUCAUAUAAGGUUACCGUUUAUUUAUUUUGAAAAUAUACUCACUAAGGAAUCUAGAAAUAUAAAUUAUGACCCAUAAUUAUUCCUGUACAAUUUAUAAUGAUUUUCCAAAGUCAGAACAGGGGACUUCAAAAACCAUUCUGACCCUGUCUCACUAAAAUUCAAAUAUCUCAAAAUACAGAAUUCCUUUGCCUACACUGUUUCUUUCAUAUAAAAAUAGACUUGAUAAGCUUUAAUUCCAUAUAUAAUUAACUCUCUAAUUCCAUUUAUACUAUUUAUGGUGAUUUUUCACAUUCACGUCACUGCUGCUGUCAAAGAAACUGCUUCUUUGAAUUAGUUAACAUUUAACAUACAUAACACCCAAAACAUAAUUUUUACUAACCAUUUCAAUAGCUAAUCUUAGCCAUAUCAUAUGAACAUACUCAAAAUGAUUAACACUCUAUACAUGCCAUAGUUUUAAACAUUCUGAAAAGCACAUAAUACCGAGAUGAUUAUAAUAGUGUGAUACGAGCUCCGACGAUCCCCAAUUCGACCAAGUUCAAAUCACUAUAAAACAAAGGAAAAGAAGAAAGGUGUAAACUACUAAUAGCUUAGUAAGUUACAUGUAAAUAAUAAUUACUCAUUUAAUAAUUAACACUUUUAACAUAUAACUAAUCAAAACAUUUCUUAGCAAUUUCUAUCACUUAUACAUACACAAUCUUACCAAUUCACUUGCAUAUACAUUUUCACACUUAAUCUUUAUCACUAUGCUCAUUCUUUUCAAAUGUACCUGCAUACACACUUCAUUUCAUAUUCACUUUAACUCAUUAUUAAUCCCGUUGAACACUCGGAAUAUACACAGAUACGUAGAGAUUUAGCACAUAAGUGCAACACUGAUAUGUAGCCGAAGCUACCACUAUUAUAUAGCCAAAGCUACCACUGAAAUGUAGCCGAAGCUACCACUGUUAUGUAGCCGAAGCUACCACUGAAACGUAGCCGAAGCUACCACUGAUCAAUAACACUGGAAAUGUCCACAGGCCUGCUCACACAAGCUGUCAGGUGUCUGCAACACAUGCUAGAUCACCCAGCACCCGGGACUCACUGUAACACUGUAACACUGAUCUCUAGUGACAUGUCACUUGUAUCCACUUCUAUUCCUAAGUUCAACCGGGAAUUUACACUUAACACUUUAUUUUUAACACUUUAUUUUCAACACUUUAACACUUGAAUAAUUCAUGAAUAAUUUUCCUUCCACAUUGAAUAUUAAUUCACAUAUCAAAUAUAAUUCACAAUUUAUAAAAAUAUAACUAUUAUUUACACAUAACUUACCUCGGAUGCAAAACGACUAUUUUUGUAAUUUAGUCGAUAACUUUCUCUUUUCCCCGAUCACUUCCACUAUUUCUUCUUUCUUGAUCUAUAUUAACACAAUUUAAUACAUUUUAUCAACAUUUCAUUCAAAUAAAAUUCAUACACAACAUUUUGACAAAUUUACAUUUUUCCCCAAAACUUUUCAAAAAUUCCACUUUUGUCCCUAAGCUCGUAAAAAUAAAAUUCACUAAAUUUUUAAAUUUCAAACUUCACUAAAUCAUAUUUCAUGCUUAUAACAGCCCUCAAUUUCACCAAAUCACAACUUUAUGCACACUUUACCAUCUUUCACAAUUUAGCCCUUUUUCAAUAUUUUCAUCAAAAUUCAUCUAGUAAAACUUGUAAUUAACACUUCAAACAUUCAUUAUCUAACAUCACUAAUCAAUUUACAAUUAUAUCAUGAAUGGGUCAAUUUUUAAACUUUAAUUUCAUUUAAAUUAAAUAGUAGAAACAUGAAAUUCAAGCAUCAAUAAGCAUAAAAAUAUGAAAAUAGUUAAAAAUGGGGCAAGAAAUCACUUACAAUUGAGCUUAGAAAAAUCAAGAACCUUAGCUAUGGUAACAUGAAACUUUCGGCAGCAAGCUUCUGAUUUUGAAGAAGAUGGACACUUAUUUUCUCUUUAUUUUGUCUUUUUCUCAAUUUGGACAAAAAUGCCCUUGACCCAUUACUUAGAUAUUUUUCUAGAAUUACCCUUUUGUGUCCAUAACACUAAUUUAUGGUCUAAUUGUCACAUAAACACUUCCAAUUUCAUGCAAUAAUUCAAUUAAGUCAUUUAAUCACUAAUUAGACACACUUUGCAUUUUUUUCAAUUUAGUCCUAAAAAUUCAAUUAAGCACUAAAUCAUUAAAAUUUCCAAUCCAUAUUUUCACACAAUAUUUCAAUCAAUCAGUAACUUAUAAAAAUUUAUAAAAUAAAACUAUUUCACUUCGGAUUUGUGGUUACGAAACCACUAUUCCGAUUAGGCCCUAUUUCGGGCUAUCACACCUCCUUCAAGUCCUGUUGCAACAACUCUUACAGCAUCAUCAUCACCAACCAACAACAGUACCAGCAACUCAGAGGAAGCACCUGCAAUAAUGCGUAGUUUACGCGAUAUUUAUAAUGUUACAGAACCAUAGAAAUAACACUCGAUUAUUCAUUAUUCUAUAUAAUGACAGAAUGUGAUUCAAUAACAUAUAAAGAUGCAAUUGAAGAUGUUAGAUGGAAAAAGGCAAUGGAUGAAGAAAUUACAACAAUAAUAAGAAAUGACAUAUGAGAGCUAACAAGUCUACUAGAAGGACAUACUCCAAUUGGAAUCAAAUGGGUGUACAAGACGAAGACCAACAAAGAAGGAAAAAUAGAGAAAUCCAAAGCAAGACUAGUUGCAAAAGGCUACAAGCAAAGAUACGGUGUGGACUAUGAUGAAAUAUUUACUUCGGUCGCCAGAAUUGAUACUAUAAGACUUCUCAUGGCAAUUGCAGCACAAAAUAAAUGGAAAAUUUAUUAGAUGAACGUGAAGUCAGCAUUCCUUAAUGACUACCUGGAAGAAGAAGUCUAAAUUGAACAACCACCUGGAUAUAGGAAACAAGGACAAGAAGACAAAGUUUAUCACUUGAAGAAAGCUUUAAAUAGACUGAAGCAAGCCCUGAGAGCAUAGAACACAAGAAUAGAUGAAUACUUUUAGAAGAACGGGUUCAUGAAAAUCCCAUACGAGCAUGCUCUAUAUACAAAGAAAAAUAAAGUUGGUGACAUCAUGAUCGUGUGCUUAUAUGUGGAUGAUAUGAUUUUCAUGGGAAACAAUCCAGGUAUGUUCAAUGAAUUUAAGAAAGCUAUGACUAAAGAUUUUGAAGUGACAAAUAUUGGUGAAAUGUCAUACUUUCUUUGAGUCGAAGUGAACCAAAUGAAAGAUGGAAAAUUUGUGUCUCAAAAAAAAUAUGCAGAACAGAUUUUAAGAAAAUUCAGAAUGAAAGAUUGCAAGCAAGUAGCCACGCCCGUAGAACCAGGCAUGAAAUUAAGUGUUGGUUCAUCCGGAGAGUCGGUAAAUCCAAUGUUGAAUAAAAGUAUUGUUGGAAGUUUAAGGUACUUGACUAUCACAUGGCCAUACAUCAUGUACGUAGUGGGAACAGUUAGCAAAUACAUGGAGAAGCCAAAACAAGAUCACCUGAUUGCAGCAAAGAGAAUUUUGAGAUACAUCACAGGUACGAUGGAUCAUGGUUUAUUUUAUACACACUCACAGAGUUCAAAAUUGGUUGGUUAUUUAGAUAGUGAUUAUGGUAGUGGCUUUGAUGAUCGCAAAAACACAUCCAGAUAUUUAUUCCAUAUUGGCUUCGCGGCAUUUUCUUGGUCAUCGAAAAGUAACAAACAGUAGCUAUCUCAACAUGUGAGGCAAAAUUCAUGGAUGUUGCAACAUGCACGUCUCAAGCAAUUUGGUUGAAGAAUAUUUUAGGUGAAUUAACUAUUAUACAAGAAGGUCCAAUUAUAAUUUAUGUUGACAAGUCCACAAUAUCUCUUGUAAAGAAUUCAGUGUCUCAUAGUCGAAGCAAGCAUAUGGAUACAAUGUAUCAUUUUAUUCGAGAGCAAGUGAAAAAUAAAAAUGUAGAGUUAGUUUACUCCAAAUUAGAAGAUUAAUUGGCGAAUAUUUUUACGAAACCAUUGAAAACGGACAUAUUCUAUAAACUCAAAGAAAAGCUUGGAAUGAAAAGUUCAAGGGGAAGUGUUAAAAAACAAACCAACUUUCAAAGUCGGCAUAAAAAUUGCAGCCAAAGAAUUUCUAUCCAAAUUGGCUUGAAAUUGAAUUGCAAAAGUAGCUGCAACUUUGUAAAUUGGCCUGCACAAAUGAUAAAGGAUAAUGAUGACAGCAGCUUGAAUAGUCUUAGACGGCAAGGCUUGAUAAAGUUUAAGUCGGUUUACUAUGCUUAUAAAUAUGUAAGUAGAGUCUUAUGAAAUUAAAAUUAAAUGAGUGUGUGUGAAAACGUUAGUGAGCUUGAGAGGAAAAAAAGAAAGAAAGGUGUUGUGAGUUGUAUAAAAAGGAAAAACUAGCAGCAGCUAGUAGAGAGAGAAAAAAGAGUUUAUAUUUGUAUUGUGUUUAUUUGUGUGUAAUAAAAAAUUAGUACUUGAGUUAUUUUUAUUACCCUUCCAACAUAUUAUAUGUUCCAGUGUUGAUGGCAUUGGCAACUGAUGUUGUGUCCAAGAAGCUUGACGUCGUGCUCAUGACGUUGGCUGCUGUUUGCAGGCUCUAAUAUAAUGUUUCAAUGGAAAUGCCCCUAGUCCUGUAAUCAACAGAUGGUGCUAUACCACUUAGAGUACUAUGGGGUCCAAUUUGAGUAAACUCGAUUAAGUAAUUCUAGUUUCAGAUUGAAGUCGGGUUAAAUUUUACAAUUCGAAUAACUCAAAUAAUAGAUUGGUGUAAAUACACGUUUGGCCCCGGUCAAUUUUAAAAAUGAGCAGAUUGAUCUUUCUCUCAACAAAAAUUACAAAAAAAUUCUAAAUAUUUAUAAAAAUAAAAAAAAUCUAAAGAAUAUAUAAAAAAUUAAAAAAGAUUCUUAAAUAAUCAUUUUUGAGACCUAAAUAAGUAAAUUAAUUAUUCAAAAUUUUCAUACUAAAAUAUCUUUAUUUUCUCUUAUUUUUCUUUGAAUAAAUUUUCAAGAAUAUAUAAUUUUAAAUUUAUGUAAUCUAACAUAGAAUUGAUUAUAUUGUAAAAAAAAAUUUAAUGUUUUAGUCGAUUGGAACGGAUGCACAUCUCUACUGAUCAAAAUUGAUCCGCAUAUAUUUUUUUUCUCUAACUGAAAAGGAUCUCUUCCAAAUUAAUGAUCUUGGAUUGAAACAUGUCAAAUUUACCACAAAUCGUUUAUGAUAGAAUCGGACCCGUGUGACCUUGAAAUCACUCUCCUAAUACAUGUUAUUGAUGAAGAUUGUCGGACACCUUGAAUUUCUCCGCACCAUUUAAUGUUCGGCCCACUUGGCUAUAACAAUCCGAAACCUCCCUUAACCUAACUUAUAAGAUUAAAAAAACUCUAAAUAAGAGAAUAAAAACUUUUAUUUAUUUAUUUAUUUAUACACUAGAAUUUCACACUAUAUAAGAAGAUGCAUAAGAAAACAGCGGUAGGUAGAUAUAAGUCAACAGGCUGUCAAAUUUAUUCUAGUAGUAGUGCAAAACAUAAGCACAUUACUGACAGCCUGAGCACCAGCAUUUUGAUCAGAAAUUUAAGCAAAGCCACCCAAGAAAAGUGUGUUUGUAUUCUCAUCACUGCAAUAAAGGCAAGGGUUCUGCUCGAAUCCAUUGUUCUUCAAAAUCUUGGCAGCCUCAGCCACAAAGGCUUUAUUCUCCAAGACCAGGUCAUAUGAUGUCUCAUUGGCGGGUUUUUUACUAAAAUAUUAUAACAAAAAUAAAAAAUUAUCAAAAUGUUAUAACUUUUUUUUUAUUUACCAAAAUAUAUAUUUUUUUAUUUACUAAAAUAUAUAAAAAAACAAAAAAAACCUAAAAAAAAAUCUGACCGAUGUGACGGGUGUACCUUGGUCACGCCAAUGGGAUUGGCGGCACCGAAGGGGCCAAAGCCAUUGGCGGCACCAAUGGUGCCAAUACCAUUGGCGGCACCAAUGGUGCCGUAUUGAUUGGCGGCACUACUCGUAUUAUAAAAACGACCUUUGUCCAGCUGAAGAGAGAAAAAUCAAAAGAAAAAAAAAGAAGAAGAAGAGUUACUGCGUAAAAGAAGAGAAAAAGAGGAGAAAAAGAAUGUAUUUUUUAAAAAAUAAUUGAUUAUAUUGUUGUUAUUAUUUUGUAUAUUUUGUAAUAUUUUUUGUUUUACUUUAGUUAUUAAGAUUAAUAAAACUCAAAAUAAUAGUAUUAGUUAGUAUUAUUAUUAUUAUUAUUAUUAUUGUUGUUGUUGUUGUUGUUGUUGUUGUUGUUGUUGUUGUUGUUGUUAGUAUUAAGAUGUUAUUAAUGUAUUAAGAUGUAACUUAGUAAUAUUAUAGUUAGCAAAAAACUAGUAUUAUUAUUAUGGUUACUUAUUAUUUUUAUUUACGAAAAUAAACUAGUUAGUAAAAAACUAGUAUUAUUAUUAUAGUUAGUUAGUUAGUUAUUAUUUUUAGUAAAAUUAAUAAUUUUAGUGUGUAUCAUUUUGUAUAUUAUUUUGAGUAUAAAAUUUUUUUUAAGUAAUUUAGUUACCGUUCGAGAAUUUUUAUGAGAUUUUGUUUUUUUUGACAGAUUAAAUAUUGAAGAUGGAUGCUAAGUUUCUUGUAUGCGUUUAUUUCGAUUGAGUCAUCUUGACAACAAGUGUUGGAUGUGUAUUUGAAUGUCGGCAACAAAUAGCAAUGAGAUUUAAUAGAAAUGUAUCGUUCGAUGAAAUGAAGGUAAGGAUUAGUGCAAAAAUUCAUAGACGUUGUGGGAGAAGGAUAGCAAAAAUUUUCUACAAGUUUCCGGUUUCGACAAAUCCGGUCAAAUUCGUCGAGAUGGAACUUGUAGACGACGAAGACGUGGAGACAAUGGUCGAUCUCUACUGUGGGAAUGGGAGUGAGAAGAAUGCACCGAUUCACUUAUUUGCUGAGUUAGUCGGUAUGGAGCAAAAUGAAGAUGUUAAUGCAUCUGAUGAAGAAGACGGGGCUGAAGAACCGUGGAUGGUGACUCCAAUAUCAUACGUUGAUAGUGAAUCAACUAUGGGAGGGAUCGGUAUCAACCUGAAUAUUACACCCGAUGUUGACAUGGUUGGUGGUGAAGAAGAAGGUGCUGGCGAAGAAGAAGGUGGUGGCGAUCAUUGGGAUGAAGAGGUCGAUAGUGACGGUGAUCCCGAUGUUGACGAUGUACCUGAUGAUAUUGACGAUGAAGAUGUCAACAACGAUGAAGGCAUUAACGCUUCUUCGGUUGGGGAGCAGAUGCGGCGUAUUGUGAUACACAAUAAUCCUAAGCCACAUAUGUCGCUCAUAGACCCCGACGCAACGUAUGUAGCUGAGUUUCUGGAGUACCCUGAAAUAGUUCAUUCUCACGGGCUGCCCGUAACAUCUGAUGAUGAUGAGAUAUUCAUAGGCCAGAGAUUCAGCUGUAAAGAAGAGUGCGUAUAUGCCAUUAAACGGUACAGCAUGAAGAUAUCGGUGGAUUAUAAAGUAUCCGUGUCUACUCCGACAAUAUAUGUUGAGGCGUGUUGGAAGGCAGCGGAAGGCUGCAAUUGGCGGGUACGAGCUGCAUUCAUUAGAAGUUCUCAGCUGUGGGAGAUACGAAAAUUUGUUGGUCCUCAUACAUGCACAUCAACACGUAUGAUAGAAGAUCAUGGAAAACUUGAUUCAAAAACUAUUUGUGCGUGUAUCAUGCCAAUGGUGAAGGACAUGCCGACCAUUAAAGUUUCGAUACUCAUUGCGAAAAUCCAAGCACGAUUCCAGUAUCGAGUCUCAUAUCGGAAGGCAUGGAUAGCUAAACAGAUGGCGAUGGAGCAACUGUAUGGGGAUUACGAUUCGUCGUAUAACGAGCUUCAAGGUUCGAUAGCUGCUAUGUGGAAGUACGUACCGGGGACUGUGAUUGACUUGCAGAUAAGUCCAUAUUACGGCCCGGAUGACCAGUUACAGCCGGCAAAAAGGAUUUUCCAUCAGAUGUUCUAGACCUUCGAUCCAUGUGUGCGAGCAUUUUCCCACUGCAAGCCACUUGUGCAGGUGGAUGGGACAUGGCUAUUUGGAAAAUAUACACAGAUCCUACUUCUUGCAGUUGCUCAAGACGGUAACAGAAAUGUGCUCCCGAUAGCAUUUGCUAUCGUAGAUAAAGAGAACAUAGAGUCUUGGGAAUUCUUCCUCACAAAUCUGCGAAGGUAUGUUAUUAGGAACGAUAACAUUUGCAUCAUCUCCGAUAGAGGGAAGGGUUUAAUUGCAGCUAUUAGGCAUUCUGGUUUACCGUGGAGAUCCGUUUACUGCAUUCGUCACAUUGCGUCUAACUUCCAUAAAAAUUAUAAAAAUGCAGACUGGAAGAGACAAGUCGUGGCAAUGGGUAAAUGAUAACCUUAUCUUUUCACUAUAAGUUGUAAUGUUUGAUGUUAUCGACUUACUAGAACUUAUUUUUCGUUAAUAUGUAUGCAGCGUACGAGUUAAAGCCACAUAUUUUCCGGCAAAGAAUGAUCCGACUUGAGAGUGACAUGGAGGGGCAGACAAACACAUCUUUCCGAAAAUGGUUGCGCACAAUGGAGCCGUGGCAGUGGGCUCAAAGUUUUGACGAGGGCUUUCGUUACGGCCACAUGACCACAAACUUAGUCGAGUGGAUCAAUGCUGUCUUGUUGAAAACACGUCAUCUUCCGAUUGCAUCGGUAUUUCCUGCUACUUUCUACAGGCUGGCUACUUUGAUGCCAAGAAUGGGCUAGCAUUAAGUCGGCCAAAUUCAGGCGGGACAUGUGUUUGUCGAACAUGUAAGGGAUGCAAUGGUCGUAAACCGUCGGUUGGCGAGGUCAAUGAACAUGGAAAUAUAUUCACGACGACUGGAAACGUUUCGAGUUACUGAGAACAUCGGUCGUCGACCUAGGUCCUACGGAGUUGAUCUCCGGAACAGACAGUGCGAGUGCAGGAAGUUUGAAACAAUUCAUUAUCCCUGUGCACAUAUCGUGGCGGCGUGUGCUAAAGUCAACCUUGAUGUUGAACAAUAUGUCGAUGAUGUGUACACGCUGGAGCGCACAUUGCGUGUCUGGGAGAAUGAGUUCCCCGUCCUGCCGGACCUAUCUAUGUGGGAGGUGUCGCCGAUGACUUUCGAGCUGAUCCCAGACAGAGGGCUAAGGAGGAAUCCAAGGGGUCGUCUGCAGUCAAGCAGAAUCCGUAAUGAGAUGGACAUUAGGGAAAAAUUUGAUGGAAAGCGUUGUGGAAUAUACCGGUUAAGUGGUCAUAGCCGGAAUAAAUGUCUUAACCGAAACUUUCAUUUUGGUCAGUCGUCCGGAUCGGGGUGAAAUUGAUAUGCUUUGUAUUUUGUUAUAAACAUUAAUUUUAUUCAGCUUUGUACCAUGUGCGCACUUGGAAUUAUUAAGAUUAUAUCGAAAAUAGAGGCAUUCAUAAUUCGAUUGAGCUUUAAUAUAAUGAAAAAUAAUAAUAAUGGAUAUUUAUACAAAAAAAUCAGAAGUAAGGUCAAUUAAAAUACAAAUAUGGCUUUUUAUACAAAAAGUGCAUCAAAUCCCUAAAAUCAAUGUUUCGAUGGUGUUGUCCGGGGGGUAUACCUCUGCGGAGGUCGACGCUCACGGUCUGGGAGACGACCAACAUCCUCAUCGUCCGCAGGUGGGGGCGUGGAAAACAUAGAGGAAAGGUCCUGUGCCUCGUUCGCCGCCGACGAACUUGAACCAUAAUGCUGCGAAUACGUGUCGGACGGGCCGGGCAUGCCGUACUGCAGCCGGGGGAUCCAAACAGUUCAAACUCGUAGGCGUAUUCGCCGUCUGCGAAGCUCGGAUAAUAUUUAUCGCCCACCAAAUCCGGACGAUAGCCAUGUGAAUCCACAUUUGACUGUGAAUGUCCAGGAUCUGGCUGGGGGUCCUGCUCCGGCUCUGUCAGUUGCGGAGAACAAUAUGCCGUCGGAUCUGGAUCCAUCGGGCUCGGUUCGUCCGAUGCCCCAACUUGCUGUACGUACGGGGGGAUUAUAGUUCGAUUGUACUUCAAGUAAAUAUGGCUUCCUGCAACUAUGGUACCAUUGUGUAUACUCCAAUGAUGGUUGCAGGUCCGUAGCCAUAACCAUUUGAGGAAUUCGGCGAAAUCGAUCGUUCCACAGUGCGACGUAUUUUCGGUGCUUGAUUCCCAAGCCCAAUUGAACUCUUCCUCUCUUUGUCAAGCCGUGAUCAUCCUCCAACUGGGCCGGCGGAUCCGGGAUAGGUUGGAUGCACCCAAACUGUCGAAGCACGCGAUCGACGUGAUACCACUUGACGACGUUGAAAUUAAUAAUUGGUGUGUUAAUGCACCAUAUGUGGGAAUCAACGAGUGCGGACGAGGGUACGACAUUUGCAAUUUCCCGCCUCCGGUAUGGCAUCCAUAUAAACUGCAUGAGUAAUACCAUUGUAACGAGUUAGACCGAUAACAUGUGAUUAAGAUAUAGAAAUAGAAUAGAUGUCAUGAAUAUUAGAAUAGCAGCUUACCCCUUCCCGGGCAUGCUGUUCAAUCCUCAUGCGGUAUAUUGGGACAUCAGACGACUUCCUGAUGCCAGGACGGGUCAUCCACCUAUAAAAAAUAGUAUAGGGUAUAGGGUUGGUAACAUUACUCAAUAUAUUAUGACUACAAAUAAUGACAAUUUAGCGUCUUAUCACCUGAGUGGCAGUGGAUACAGAUAGGGUUGGUGACUAACGAGUGCCAAAAACGACAUCCGAUAAAGCGCCCACGACUGCAGCAGUAUGAGGCAUCCGCCGAUGUCUUUAACCUGCGGCUUUGUCGCCUGACAAAGCUCCCGGUAGAGCGUUGCUAGAACGGCGGAACCCUAGCUAUACCGCCUAGCAGUGGAGAAAUAAGCUAGCAGGGGCAGGUACGACAAAUGCACACUGUCGCCGUUUGCAUCAGGCAUGAGUACUGCCCCUAUCAUAUGCAUGAUGUACGCUCGGGCAACGCACAUCAACUCACCUUCAGUGGCGGUCACUGAUAAUUGUCUAAUUUUGGCUUUUAGCCAUGUAAAUUUGAUGCCGGAAAAAUAUUUGUCGCCGUCCUCUGGCGACUCUCCUAGGAGUUGAUAGCAAACUGCAACCGGAUCGGUGAAUGAUGAUACUCCCGUUACGGGAUUCCAGUCAAUUGGGAGCCCCAGCUGCACUGCAACAUCCUCCAAGGUCACUGUGCACUCCCCGCACGGAAAAUGGAAAGUAUGGGUCUCCGGACGCCACCGCUCCACUAGCGCAGAUAAUAAAUCAAAGCGCAAGUCGGACGACCGGAUGAAUGCUACUGACCCAAAUCUGGCUAGCUCCAGGUAUGGCAGCAAUCGAUCAUCCGGAGCUUUCUUUAAAACACUCACGCGGCCCCUUAAUACUCAGAACGAGUCCUGAUAGUGUUAAAUUACAGAAAAAUAUUACGAUAACAUAAUUUCUUUGUAUAUACUGCAUAUAUCCUUUUAAAAUAAAUAGAACUUCUGAUUAACAAAUAAUAAAUCAUACCGCGUUAUUAGUCGCAUCAGAUAUGUGUCUAAUAUUGCUUUGAAUCAAUCCAGCCAUUGCGAUGCCUGCAAGUUAGAAAAAAAAGUUAGAAAAAAAUUCUUACUUCAGCCAUUUAUUCGUAUUUUUUUUCUCCGCAUUUUAUUCCUUUAAAAAAUAUCAUAAUUUCUAAAUUUAUAAUUUUACAUUAUUCCAGUGCAUAAUGUUUGAAAUUUAUUAAUCUAGUGUGUUAUUUAAAUUAAUUUUCUGUAAAAAAUAACCCUUACCCCUGCCCUUUGCUCGUAUUAAUUUUCUGUAAAAAAAUAACCAUCACCCUUUUUUUUGCAGUUUUUUUUAUAUAUUUUGGUAAAUAAAUAUAUAUAUAUAUUUUGGUAAAUAAAAAAAACUUAUAACAUUUUGGUUAUUUUUAAUUUUUUUAAUAUAUUUGUAAAAACCCAUUAUUCUGGUAAAUAAAAAAAUUUUAUAAUAUUUUCGUAUUUUUUUCUAAUAUUUUGGUAAAAAACCCGAAAUAAACCCUUUCCCCUGCCCUUUGGUCGUAUUAUUAUUUUCCCGAUUUUUAUUACUUUCAAGAAAAAUAUAUUAUUUUCGUAUUUUAUUAUUUUAUAUUAUUUCAGUACAUUUUGUUUCAAUUAUUUGUAUAACUUAUUUCUGAAUUUUUAAAAAAAUUUACUAAUACACUCUUACUUCGGCCAUUUGUUCGUAUUUUUUUUCAGUAUUUUAUUAUUUUUAACAAUAUCGUAAUUUUUUAUUUUAUAAUUUUAUAUUAUUUCAAUUUAUUAUGUUUGAAAUUUAUUACAUGUACACUUUUUGCAUUUUUAUUCCCAUUUUAUUAUUUUCGAUAAAUAUACAAUUCCCAUUUUUUCUUUUCGUAUUUUAUGUUUUCUUAAACAUACUUCUUUGUCAUUUUUCUUUUAAUGCUAUUUUCCUAAAAUUUAAAUUUCAAAUUCCUAAAUAAAUUUCGUAAAAAAAAUCCUUAUUCAACAUACAAUGUACAUACCAUUAUUUUUUCAUUCUAAAUAUAUUUCAUAAAAUAUAUAUGCUAAACAAAAUAAUAAAAUAACUAUAAUGUACGUAACAUAAAUAUUAAAAAAAUUAAAUUUAUAAAAAAAAUACCUUUUCUUUUCUUUUCUUUUCUUUUUCCUUCCUUCCCUCUUCUUCUUCUUCUUUUUUUCUCUUCUCCUUUCUUUUUCUUUACUUCUUUCUUUCUUUUUUCUUAUCCUUUCCUUUUCUUCUUCUUUCUUUCUUUCUUUUUUUCUCUUCUCCUUUCCUUUUCUUUCCUUCUUUUUCUUUCUUUCAUCUCCUUUCUUUCUUUUUUUCUUUCUUUCUUUCUUUCCCUCUCCUUCUGGUCCCCCCACCACCGACCCCCCCCAUAAACAUUGGUGCCGCCAAUGGUAUUGGCACCAUUGGUGCCGCCAAUGGCUAUGGCACCUUUGGUGCCGCCAAUCCCAUUGGCGUGACCAAGGUACACCCGUCACAUCGGUUAGAUUUUUUUUUUCAUUGUUUUUUUUUUUGGUUUUUUAUAUAUUUUGGUAAAUAAAAAAUAUAUAAUUUGGUAAAUAAAAAAAAGUUAUAACAUUUUGGUAAUUUUUUAUUUUUGUUAUAAUAUUUUAGUAAAUAUCCCCUCAUUGGCUUCACACCCACUUAAUAAAAUCCCUUCAUCCUCCUCCGGUGGAUCCAACACCAUUAACCCAUCUACGUAGUGAGGUUGGAAUUUGAGACUCACAUCUUUCCCGAAGAUUCCGAAAAUCUUUUGGCCAACAUUUGCUGCGUCGUGUAGGAUGCCUGCUAAUGUAUCUAUCGCACUGUGUAUGAUAUCAAAAGUAAGACUCUUAGCCUUAGCCUUAGCCUUAGAUGGUUUAGGCUUGUUGGGUUUUACUGGAGUCAUCAUAUGCUCAGGACCAAAUUGUUCUUUCUCUUUUUCAAUGAGACCACCACUGUGGCACGAAUCUGAUAGGAUUGUGAAGCUUGCUCCUUCUGGUAGCCGGUUAACUAAACGGCUGAAGUCCACAUCUGCAGAAACCAUGUAUAUAUAGGGUAUGAAUAUAUGUUGCUAAAAAAAAUAUAUAAACUCAAACAAAAACCUACCGGUGACAAGAUUUAAAUCACAAGCCACGAUUGCUUCAUCUUGCUUGAAAGGCUGGCCAGGUUGAAAGAUUGGAAUGCGCGUUCCAUGUCUACUGAAGUAGAAAAAUAGGAUAUCUCCUGCUUUAGCCUUGUUCACCAUUCUAUUAAGUGCAUCCUUAAUGUUUGCACCCGUAGGCAGAACCGGCGACCCUGGCGCAUCGGUGAGGACAUUAACAUCGCUUUCCUUAAACCCAAUGUCCAGGAUCACACCUCUUAUGGCUUUCACAUCAUUGACGCAUCCAUGCACGCUGAAUUGGGUCUUGGGGUAGUUGCAUCCCACCAGAACUGCUCUCUUCGUACCCUUACUCAUCUUGCUUCGCUAAUUUGACUAUUUUGUGUAGCUUGUACCGUUGUAUUAAUGUGCUUCCACUGUCUCACUAAGAACCUAUAUAUAUACACAUUAAUUUACAGCAUGUGUACUGACCAUAAAGAUGACGGCAUGUAGGUAGGUAGGUAGGUAGGUAGGUAGGCAGGUACAACACUUUUGUUUGUCUUUUGUGUUUUUGAAAAUGCAUGCGAAAUCCAUGCAUAUGCAAACAUUUUGUGCAAGGAAUUUGCAUAUCAGUACUGCAUAAAAGAGUGACUCUGGAGUUAUGGAAUUAUUUGAUAAUAUCAAAUACGAAAUAAAUUAAAAAUAAAAGAGUGGGUGAUUAAUCCGAAUUGGGAGGAGGACAGGUGUUGUGAUGGACAAAGCGUAAGACAAGUUGGUUUCCGACUGAAGCAGGAAAGCUCUAGCAAAAGGCAGCUAGGUAUUCCUUUUUCAGACAAAAGACGAUAAAGGAUAGAAAAAUAUAGGGUGGUGGUCGAAGAUAAAUGAUUAGAUCUGCUUCGCCUUCGUCCAUCACCUCAUCUUUAGGUUUUUUUCUUGGUCGUGACUCACGUUGGCCGUCGUCUGCAAGUGCUGUCGGUCCUACUAUCGUCGUUGUGUUGUCUAGCUUCUGAUUUCUAUGUAUUAGGGUCUAUUUGAAUGUGAGGUUGGUGUAGGGGUGAGGUUACAAAAUGGAUUUUAAGGGUUAAAAGUUAAAUUAUGUAUCUAUAUAGAUUAAAGAAUUGUUAAAUCAAAAUUUUAUAUUUUUUUUGGGAAUAAAUUGUAAUUAUAUAAAGUUUAACUUAUAAUUUUAUUGAUUUGAGCGAGAUUUAAAUAAUAGCUUUCUAUUUCUAUAAAGAGUAAUUUUUAUUGUAAGGGGCACGAUUAGACUUGAUUAUGAGUUUGGUCACCCUCCAAGUCCGAUAGCCCUCCUGAAAAGUGAGAGUUUAGGCAAAAUAUAAGCUUGAAAAAUAGGCUUGGACAAAAAAUAAUGCCCAUUUUCUAAUACUAGUGACAAACUACAUAAUUCGUUUAUGUCGCAGUUUAUGUUUAUGUGGUGUGAAUGUGUGAUAUAGCUAAAAUGAAUCUCGCUAGGAUGAGUUUGUUAGUUAGAAUUUGGACUCCCUCGUUCUUAAUACUGCCGAUAAGUUAAAUCUAGGGCGUUGAGUUACAGGGUUAUUUAUCGAUUAGGAAAUAAUUUCAAACGAGUUUUCUCUUGGCUAUCGAACAAUGAGAGAUGGGUUGCCUUACACUGAGUCAACAACUAGAACUAAUUUAUUAAAGGUAUUGAAGUUAUUUUUGCAUUGAUGAUCGAAUCUUUGAAUCAAACAAAGAUUUUACUUCUAGCUAGAGUUUCUUCUCAUUAAUUUUCUUUUAUAAUUUAUUUUUACUUUGUUUUAAUUUUAAUUUUUAAUUUUAAAAUCUUUUUAUAUUUUUCAUGUAAGUUUUUGUUUUUAUAAAUCUCUACAUCCUUGCAUUACUUCAAUACAACACCAAAAGAACCAAAUGGCAAACACUAUAACUAAAAAUCUUGCAAAAGAGGCCGUUUUAUUUUAUCAUAAAAUUAUACAUGAAAUAGCCAUACAUGGCGAUUACAUAAGCUUGAAGGCCUUAAAACACAGACAUACGAUAGUAAUUAAUAAGCAAACACACACACAGACGCAGUAAUGAAGGCUAACUUCAACUUCGUAGUAGUGCACACCGAUGGAGCACAUUAUUAUUUAGUUUACAGUUUCGACCUCUAGUGAUCGAAAACCCUGGUUCAAAGCCGGCAGCUUAUGCACCCGUAGUGGUGUUGGGUUGGUGGCCAAGAAAAGCUGCAUCAGCAUUCUCAUCACUGCAAUAAAGGCAAGGGUGCUGCUGCCCAAUUCCUAGCUUUAUUAUUUCAUUCCUAGCCUUCACCACAAGCUGUCUAUUGGUUAAUGCACCUAAUUCGCUCUCCUUGAUGACCUUCAGAACUGAAUAGGUAAAGGCCCCAAACGCCUUUCCUCCGGUUUUCUCACUCGCUGGCAUAUCAAUUGAAAGCUCAUUGGCUUGGCACCCACUUAACAGAAUUCCCUCAUCCUCCGUCAGUGACCUCAAAUUCAAAAUAUCACGCUCAUAAUGGGGUAGGAAUUUGAGACUCACAUUGUUCCCAAAGAUUGUGGUCAAAAGAGAGCCAAUACCCGUCAUAUUAUCUGUUCCAGUGUUGAUGGCAUUCCCAAGUGCUCUUGUGGGAAAUAAGUCUUGUGUCGCGAUAAUGACGUUGGCCGCUGUUUGUAGGCACUGGAAUAAGGUUGCUAAGGAAAUGCCCCUAGUCUUGUAAUCAACAGGUGGUGCUAUACCCCUUAGAGUACUAUGGGGUCCAAUUUGUUCUUUACUUUUAUCAAUCAGACCACCACUGUGGCAGGAAUCCGAAACGAUUGUGAAGCUUGAUCCACUUGGUAGUAGCUGAAUCAAUUGCCCCAAGUCCACGUCUGCACACCCAUCGCAACCACAAUAUGAUAUAAAUAACAGUUUGCUUAGAUUGAGAGUAUUUUAAUAAUUUAAUUUACCGAGUUGAUUACGUACCAAAAAUGGGAUUGAGAUCACAAGGCACAAUUGCUUCACCCUCGUUGGGAGGCUGGUGGGGGUCAAUGCGGUGCACAAGUCCAUGUCCACUAAAGUGGAAAAGCAGGACAUCUCCUUCUUUAGCCGCGACCACCAUCUUCUUGAGUGCAGCCAUAAUGUUUGCACGUGUAGGCUUACACGUGGACUCUGGUUCAUCAGUUAGGAGCUCAACAUUUUCGGAAUCAAAGCCAAACCUGCUCACGAUCAUUUCUCUCAUGGCUUUCGCAUCGUUUACGCAUCCGCUCAACUUGUUGAUGGUGUUGGGGUAGUUGCAUCCGACCAGAACGGCUCUCUUCUUACAUUCGGUGGCCAUCUUGCUUCUGUUUUGGGUCGCUUGUCUUGUCUUGUGCUUCGGACGUUGCACUAAACACCUAUAUAUAUGCACACAUACACACUGUAGUUUACACUAUGCUCACUGACCAUACUCUAAUAAAUAAUACAUCAUGUUGGUAGGUACAACUGUUUUAUUUUAUUUUUUGUUUAGAAAAAAAAAGGGCUUUUUUUAUAAAAACAACCCAAAAAUAAUUAAUUACUUAAAUGACUUAUUUUUUUGAUAAAAUACGAAAAUAACCUGAAAUCUAUGGAAAAAGUUGGUGGAGCUAAAGUGUGCCACCAACAUGCCACGUCAGCAAUUUAUAUUAAAAAAUUAAUUUUUUAGUAGAGCCGCCACUUGUAUAAAUACUACGGAAAUAUUAUGAUUUUUUUCUUUUUAAGUUUUUUUUAUUUGUCCCUUAUAUAUUUUAUUUAUUUGUUUAUUAUUGAUUUUAUAAAAUCUCAAAUGUAUAUUUUAAAUGUUUUAUAAUAUUAUUUUUUAAAUAUUUUAAAUAUUUUUCUAAAUUUAAAUAUUAUUUUUUAAUUUUUAAAUAUUAUUUUUUAAUAUUAUAAAAUAUUUAAAAUAUAUUAUUUUUAGAAUUAUGAGCUUUCAAAUUUAUUAUUUGUUUUAUAAUAUUUUAAAUAUAUAUUUAAAAAUUUUUAAAUAUAUAUUUUUUAAAUUAUUUUUAAAGAUAUUCAAACAUUUUUUUUAAUUCUAUUUAAAAUUUAAAAAAUAAUAUGUGUUUUUAGAAUGGCUUCACCACUUUAUUACAAGUGUCAUUUUUUAAAAAUAUGUUUUUUAAAUAUAAAUAUUUAAUAUUUAAUAUUUUAUUUUGGUGGAGCCAUUCUUUAUGGCUCCACCUCUUGGUUCUCUAGCAUAUAUAGAAUGGUGAAAUUGUUGUGUUUAGUAGGAGAGUUCAAAAAUUCUGUUAAAGAUGAAUAAUGAGGUGUUUUGGUUUACGUUCUCUUUUAUGGCGAAAUUGUAGAAGGUGAUGUUGGUUGUAUAUUUCAAUGUCGGCAAAGAGUAGGGUUGCGAUUCAAAAAACUGUAAAGCUGGCAGAAAUGAAAAGGAAGAUUAGUGCAAAAAUAGCUAUUUGUUGUGGAAGGGCAAUGUCCAGAUUAUUUUACAAGUUUCCAAUCUCUACAGAUCUGUUCAAAUUUUGUGAGAUGCAACUGUUAGAUGAUGAUGACUUGGGCACUAUGAUGGAAAUAUGGUGGUCGACUGGAAGUGAGAAUCCCCAACCAGUUGAGUUAUUUACUGAGUUAGCAAACUCAGAGCCUGUUGAAAAUGUUAGUCCAAUAAGUCAACAUCGCGAAUUUGACUUUGGUCGUAAUGCCAGAUGGACAGACUAGUUAGAAUGCGGUGGGACAUUGCAGAUACCCGAAAAUCCAAAUUAUGGUGGGAGUUCGUAUAACAACCCUACCCCCGGUCCCCGUCUACAAAUACAUUCGGAGGUGAUAAUAAGCACAGAGGCAGAUAUCAAAGAAAUGACCAAUAAUGAUGAAGAUUCUGAUCAGGACGUUUACGAUUUUAGCGACCUCGAUGUUGAUAAGGUUCCGGACGAUAUCGUUGAUGAAGGCCCGGAGGAGGUGGAAGACGUUCACUGGCCUUCAUUCAAUAACCCGAGUCGUGGCAUUAUUUUACGAAAUGAACCUGGAGGUGACCUGUUGAAUCUAGAUCCAGAUGCAGUGCAUGCAUCCGAGUUCCCUGAGUACACUGAUAUAGUACAUGCUCAUAGAUUGACGUCAAUUUCGUAGUUGGAGGAGUUGUUCAUUGGGUAAUGGUUCGAGAACAAGGCGGGCUGUGUGUUUGCCAUCAAACAUUAAUUAUAGCAUGAAGUUAUCGAUUGAUUACAAGGUUGCCAAGUCUACACCGACAUUAUAUGUUAAGAAAUGCUGGAGAGCCGACGAUGGGUGUGCUUGACGGGUUCGGGUUGCAUUUAUACAGAAGACUCAAUAGUGGCAAAUACGAAAAUUAGAAUGGUGUCAUACAUGCACUGUCGUGCGUAUUCUCAAGAUCCCCAAAAAUUGGAUGCCAAAAUUAUUUGCAACUGCAUCAUGUCACUAAUGAAAGAUAGUCCAAUCAUUCUUGUGUCGACAUAUCAAAUGGAUCGGCACAUCAGGAGGAUCAGCAGCUGGAUCAAACAUGGAAUGAGGCGGAGUGUAUAAAUGUUAUUACCAAACAUAUCAAAUGAUAUCAGUGGUUGCUCUGGGUAAUAUGAACUCGAACCGCCCAUGUCCAGGUGAUAUGAACUGCUCUGUGACUCUUCACAAAAAGCAUCAACCUAUUGGUACGAUAUGUUUAAAGGUUGGUCCUCCGAGUCGGGCUCCGCCAUAUGUUGAUCCUCUAGCUCCCCCAUAGGUUGACUUACAUAUCUAUAGCUGUGUCCGGUACUAUUAUAUGUUGCCCACCAUAUAACUAAAUACGCCAUCGAGUCAUGUACCACUACAUGUAUUCAGUCAAAGGACUGAAGUCAAACAUGCAAAAGUGCAUCUCAGGCCGCUUGUUGUAUCGGGCAUUCCAUAGUACUACAUGUAUCUAUUCUGCUUAUCUGAUUAUGAUAAUUGCAUCUAAUAUGGACUUAGGUCUGAAUCUAUAUUUGACUGUAUAUGAGAUUUUGUGUAUGUACUGCAUGUCUAUUUAUGUUGGGUUAAACACUAAGUUUGCGAAAAUUCAGUUCUGCUUGUCUGUUAUGUUCAGGUAAUCCACAGUCUUAGGCAAAUCGGUGCGGCAGAGUUUCACGGUAACCACAAGUUUGUGAACUAAUUUUAAUUGGUGGUUUUUGUUUAGUUAUGGAUUAUUUCUGGGAGUUUUGUAAUUAAGGGACUCUCCGGACUGUUUGGUUUUAUUUUAGAUUUGGAUUUUCGAAUUAACUCUUCAUUUGCGACGGUUGGCUAAAACCGUGGUUUUUACUAAACAAAGGUUUUUUUGAAAAUGCAAACGGGAUUUUCAAAUAUAACGAUUUCUAAUAUUUCUGCUCAAAAUUAUGUUUUGGAAUAUGAAUUAAUUAAAUAAUGUUUUCAGUAUUAUUUAUAAAACUUGGUUGAUUUAUCGAAAUGGUUCUGAUUUCAAAACCCUUCAUCGCAGCAUUACCAAAUUUGGCGAUAAUGUCUAUGCUGGGUUUGAGGUGUUACACAAAUUGUCACAUAACUCGAUCGGUAUUAUACCACACAAUGGUUGAGAAGUUGAGCACUGGCAUGUUAAUACACCACACAUGGGCUUCUACGUGAACCCACUAAGGAAUAAGGGUUGCAAUGUUCGGUGCUGAAUACAACAUCCACAAGAACUGCACAAUAUAACAUAAUGAGUCAAGUCACAUCACAUACUGCAAGUGGAUAAGUUAAAUCAACGUUACUUAAACCAUGUUAAUAUGUAUUACUUUCUUUCCGACGGAUGCCUCUAUCAUUUGUUGGUAAAUGAUUAAUGUUUAGGUCGCACCAAUUCGCGGAGACGUGGCCCAUCUAAAACCGAAACAAACAUGUUAGCAAUUAAAUGUUAAGUAUAAUUUUGUUUUUACCUAUUUACAAGUGGCGACGAAUAUGGUUGGUGCCUAACAACCACUAGAAAUGGCAUCCUGUAUAGAGCCCAAGAUUGCAGCAGAUUUAGUCAACCAGCCAUGUUACUAACCCCAUGUUUUGUUGCUCGGCAAAGCUCAUGGUACAAUUUGGCCAACACUGCCGAUCCCCAGCUGUAAUUAUCGACACGAGAGAAGUCCUCACAUAGAGGCAAGUACUUUAAGUGGACCCUAUUAGACGUGUUGUUCGACAUAAGUACCCCCGAUUAGCUGCAUAAUAUAUGCUCAAGUGGCACACAUCACCUCGUGCUCAGUGGCAAUGCUUGAUAACUACUUAAAAUUUAGUUUCAACCAUGCCAAUGUCAAGCAUGUGAAAUUAUGUUCCCCACCACUAGGGGACCGUCCAAGCAAUCUGUGGCAUAGUAUUGAAGGUUCCAACACUUUUCUUUGGCCCGUGACCACAACAAUAUCAACUUAUAACCCAAGUUACAUAGCAACAUCUUCCAAUGUGAUAGUACACUCCCCGCACGGCAUAAUGAAGGUGUGGGUCUUCAUACACCACUGCUCAACCAAGACGGAUAUUAAGUUCACCCUCAGGCCAAACCUUCAGAUCAAUGCAACGUCCCCAAAUCCCGCCAAUUGUAAGUAUGGCAUGACUCGCUCGUCCGGAUUGUGCUUGGGAAAAUGAAACCGCAACCUCAGAACCCGAUACCCAUCCUGUAUGGUAAAUUUUUUAUAAAAAUAUGAUAACUCAAUUAUCUAAAGAGUUUUUCAUUUUAGAUUUUAGAGAGGCUUAAAUAAUAGUUUUUCAUUUUAGGAGGUCUAAAAAGUACUUUUCUUUUUAAAGGAGCCACGACCCCUGCCUAGUUUGGUCACCUUCUGUGGUGACGAGAUUCAUUCCAAUGAGAUUAAAAACAGCAGUGAUGAUGAGAUUAAUUACUAUAAUAAUGAGAUUAUUAAAAUCAGUGGUGAGAUGUGUUUUAGAAUUCGAACACAACAAUGGCAGUGAGAUAGAUUAUAGAUUUAUAGUAAAAAGGAAAAAUGACCAUUAUAGACACUAAACUAAAAUUAAACUAAGGAAGUUUACACCAUUCCGUAUAUUUUUGUACGAUUAAUAUUUUAGCGAUAAAAACACCAUAUUUCAUAUUUCAUGUUUUAUGUAAAAUACUUUUAAUCUUUGAAUGAAUGUUAAUACAUGCAAUAUUUUAGAUCGAUAGAUAAAAAUAUAGAAUCAAUUGAGAAUUUACAAUAAUAUCAACAAAUUCAAUGAUUGGAUUGUUAAGUUAAGAAUCAUGCAAAAAUAUAUGAAAUCGUGUAAAAUUACUUUAGUUUCGCACUAGUAUAAGCGAAUUCUUUUUUUUUUAAUAUAAAAAAUUAAUUAUAUAAUUUAAAUUUAUGUAUUUAACAUUAUUUAUAAAUAUAUUUCAUUAUUUAUAAAUAUAUUAUUUGAAAGUAAUGAAAUAAAAUAAAUAUUAUAAAUAAAAUUAUUGAAAUAUAGUAUCUAUUAUUGAAUUAAAUUAACCAUUCUUUAAAAAAAGAGUGAAAAUUAUUUUUUUAAAAUGCAUAGGGUUUUAUUUUUAAAAAAAUUUAAGAUUUAGGUGUAAAAGAUAAUCAAUCAUAAAGUGCAUAGGGCUUUAUUUUUUAUUUUUUAAAUAAUAUUGUUUUUGGCUCACAUGCAGUUUAUUGAGUUAGGUUAAGUAUACCUAACUCAAAAUUUAUAAAAAUGAUAAAAGGCAUGUGAUUUAGUAAUACAAAUAUUUUAUUCUUAAUUUUAAUUCAAUUUUUUUAUUUAAAACAGUAAAGGAUGUAGAUACCUUUAUAAAUUUGCACCUUUUAUUUUAUAGUUCAGUCAUUUCUUAAUUUCAUUUAGAGAUUUAUUGUAUACAGUGACGGAGCAUAGUGGAGAUCCAGGUAGCAUGGCAUCCCUUAAAAUGGUAAAUUUUUUAUUCAAGCCCUUUAUAAUUUAUAAAAUAUUAAAUUAGUAAUGGUAAAAUUGUAUUUUAACCCCCCUAAAGAUGAUAAAGUUUUGAUUUAACCCUUUAAAAAUUACAAAUUACAAUUUAAUUCCAACCCAAAAAAAUUUAGGCUCCGCCACUUAAAUAAUUAUAUCAAAUUCGAUAAAAAUUUUAAACUUCACAGGUAGAAUUGAAAAAAUAUGUGCUUUAUUUAAUAAUAAUACUUUUGAAUGGGUUGAAUUUGGUUGAAUUGGCAAGAGAUAAGGUGUGGAUAAAAUAAUAAAUUUAGUAGAUUAUAUGCAGAACUUGGUCAUAUCAGACUCAGUGCCAUGAACUUCACUAGCAAGCUUGCUAACACAGCUGCAGCAUAAGCUAUUAACUGCUUAAUCACUAUUUUUAUUACAACACUCAAAGAUGAAGAAGAAGAUUCUAUAUUUAAUUUCUUAAUGUUAACCUUGCAUUUGCAUUUCCUUGAUGGCGCUUCUAUACCAACUUUCAAGGAGAAUAAAACAAAAUAAUAAUAACUUUUUAGUUAAUUUGAUGGCAUAAUUGGUAAGGUUUUUUUUUAUUUUUUUAUUUGGGGUCGAUUUUGCAACGAUAUAGACAGGUAGGUAGGCACAUUUUAUUCUGUUGAAUAACUAGUUAUAUGGUAUAAGAGUGGUACCUAAUUGAUUAUUAAUGUCUUAAGGUCGAAUAUCGAAAAAAAAAACAAUUCCCCUUUAGAAAAAUAUUUAUUGGAAUUUAUUAUUUUGAAAACUAAAAAAUUUAAUCAUCUUGCUUCAAUGAAGAAAUCGAAACCCUGUAAGUUAGGGUAUGAUUCUUUGAAGUUCCGAUAACAACAUGAAUUUGCCUUUAUUAGAAAACUUCAUCUCGAGAUAAUAAAAUGUCAUAUCCAAUUAUUUAGGACCCAACGUUUUGAAUCCUCGAGAUAAGCUUUAAUUUUGGAAUUUUUACGUUCUUCGGAAAGAAGGAUACAGGGUUACCUAAAUUCAUCGAGGAAAAUUGAAACCCAGUAAGUUAGGGCACAAUCUUCUCGAGAAUCUUGGAUACCGAGUAUUGUGUUAUUUUGAAAACCUUUGAAUAAAACAAUUUAAUUACUUUAAUUAAGCAUAAUCCUUUAAGAAAAAAAACGAUGGAAUGAUAAUGUAUAACGGGAAAGGAUAGUUUGUAAACUAAAGUGCACACUAAUGAGCGACAAAUAAAUACAAAUAAGCAAUACAAUACACAUGAGAGCAAUCAUCUUUAUACAAAUACUAACUUUAAAAGCUAAUGAAUCAAAAGUCUAUUUUGAAAGAAAUACGAAGCAAAUUAACACAAAUAAAAUGUAACAAAUUUUAAAACAACUAAAAAAACAAAUGACAUGAAAGAAGGGGAAUUAUGUAAAUUUAAAAUAAUAUAUACAUAUAUCAAAGUUUGAAAUAAAUCAAAAACAUAGUUCGAAAUAAAUACUACAUAAAAUAAUAGUAUCCAAAUAAAUUUUAAAAUAAAUAUUAUAUAAGAAGAAAAUCAAAACACACAAAAUAAUAUACAUAUAUUAAUUUAAAAAAGUAAUACAUAUGGAAUGAAAAACUUCAUAAUAAUAUAUAAUAAAUUUAAAAAUAAUAAUAAUGCAUGAAAAGCUUAGAAAAAUAAUACAUAUAAAAUUAAAAUAAUAAUAUACAAUAAAUUUAAACAAUGUUAAUAAUAAAUUUAAAAUAAUAUUAAUUUUAAAAUUAAAUACAUUAAAAAUAAGGGAAUAAUAGAUGCUUAAAUAAAAUUUUAAAAAAAAAUCAAGCACAGUAAAUUAGUAGGGAUUAAAUUGAACUCAAAAUAGAAUUAAAAGGGAAAAAAGUAAAACAAAAUGAAGGGCCAGAGCAUAACGCGCGAAUAACAUGAGGGCCAAACAGGAAAUAUUGCCUUCUCUCAAAACGCUGCAUUUUGAUGUGGACCAAAAUGAUACAAAAAGAAAAUGUCAAGCAAAAUUUAAAAGCCAUUAAAGAAUUGAUUUGAAUACGUUAUAAACGUGGGGGACCAUUUGCACAAAUUCCCCAUGCGCUACAAAAUGCGCGGAUCUUUCCCCGGGUCGGGUCACUACGCGGGUAUACAUGGCGGUAUGGCGUCGUUUUGGAGUCAUUAAAACAGACCCCAAAUGGCGCCGUUUCUUUUAUCAUAUACAAACCAAUUUUAACCCUAAAAUUAGCAGCCAUUUAUGAUUUAAAAAUCAAUCCCUAAAAAAAACUUGUCUCACCCUCUCCGAGCGCCGUUCAACAAUUAGGCCGUUCAAAGGUCCUCCGCCCUUCGCCCGCCUCCGAUUGCGAUGUAGCGAACCAAGGUUCGACUACCAGGUAACCGACUCUUAACUGUUUCUUUUUUCUUCAUUCACGAUAAAUAAAUAAAAAGAUUCAAGAACAGAAAAAAAUUAUUGAGAGAGGAAAAAAAAUGAAAAUCACCUCUGGAUUUCUGUCUUUUAGCAAUUUUUAUUUCUUUUCGUAUCCCCCAUUUACAAAUUUUCAAUGGCUUUUUAUAGCCGAAAUGAAACAAGAAAAUAAAAUAAAAAGAAAUCUAUUCUGUCAUCUGAUGGUCUUGAUUUGCGAUUUUUUAUUUUCUUACUAUUUUUUCCUACCUCUGCUGUUUGUUCCCAUUUUUGUUGUGCAGGUACAACCUCGGAGGGGCGCACGUGCGCGGAGGAGCAACAUGCGCGGGGGGCCUAGGUUCGGCUGCAGCGCAAAGGCAGAAAGCUACUAUUGCUGCUAAGGUUUCUGUUUCGUGGUCUAGGGCUAGGCAUUGGGCCUCUGUAAUUGGGCCACUAUUUAUUUGGUUAAGGAUUUAGAUUGGGUCUUAGUGUAUUUUGUAAUCGAGUUUGGGUUUGGGUUGGCAAUUGGACUGUAUUUGGACUUUGAAUUUUUAUUUGGUAUUUGGUUUUAUUUAUUUACAUACGGGCCAGGCAAAUUGGGCCAAUUAUAGCUGCCCCUCUUUGCUCGUUCUCGUGUAACAGGAACGGAGCAAAGAAUUUAGCAAUGGCCAAUUUUUAUUUCUUUUCGUAUCCCCCAUUUACAAAUUUUCAAUGGCUUUUUAUAGCAAAAAUGAAACAAGAAAAUAACAUAAAAAGAAAUCUAUUAUGUUAUCUGACGGCCUUGAUUUGUGAUUUUUGAUUUUCUUACUAUUUUUUCCUACAUGUGCUGUUUGUUGCCAUUUUUGUUGUGCAAGUACAAGCUCGGAGGGGCGCACGCGUGGGGGGCCUGGGUUCGGCUGUAGCGCAAAGGCAAAAAGCAUCUAUUGCUACUAAGGUUUUUGUCUCGUGGUCUAGGGCUAGGCAUUGGGCCUCUGUAAUUGAGCCACUGUUUAUUGGGUUAGGGAUUUAGAUUGGGUCUUAGUGUAUUUUGAAAUCGGGUUUGGGUUUGGGCUAGCAAUUGGACUGUAUUUGGACUUUGAAUUUUUAUUUGGUAUUUGGUUUUAUUUAUUUACAUGCGGGCUGGGUAAAUUAGUCCAAUUAGAACGUGUUAAGAACUUUCUUAAUGAACAAAGUAAUGCUAUAUUGAUCAAGAAAAUAGGUGAUUUCCCUUCCUCUACCAUUUCACAAUAAUAGAGUACAUGAGUUAGCUAUUAUUUAUAAUUGCUGCUAACAAAUUAAUAGAUUGAUGAGAAUAAAAAAACUAAAUGUUGCCUAUCAAUACUAACAGCUAUUAUUUUAUAUUUUAACAUUAACUUAUCUUUCCGACGGGUAACACCUGAAGAAGACUUUGAAACCGAGCGAAAGAUGAAACAGAUAAAGGCUUAGUAAGAAUGUCAGAAAUUUGAUCGCACGCAAGUAUUUCACCCACAACUAAAGACCUAGCAGCAAAUCUUUCACAAAUAAAGAACAAAUCAAGCUCCACGUGUUUAAACUUAGAAUGUAAAACCGGAUUCACAGCAACUGCAACUGCACUUGAGUUGUCAUACCAUAUAGUAAGGAAAUCAUUAGACUGAAGUUCUAAUUCUUUUAAUAAUGAAGUCAGCAAAAGGACAUCACUCGUUACUGCAGUAAGACUCUGAUAUUUAGCUUCGACUGUGGAAUGAGACACAACUUGUUGUUUCUUUGAACACUAUGACACUAAGUUGUGACCAAAAUAUACACAAUAGCCAGUUGUGGAUCAACUAUCAUCAAGAUCCAGCCCCCAAUUUGCAUCGGCAUAACCAACUAAAGAGAGUUGAGUAGACGAACGAAACACAAUCCCAUAGUCUAGAGUACCACACAAAUACCGCAAUAUGCAUUUUAAAGCAACCAGAUGUAUAGUAGUGGGUGUAUCCAUAAAUUGGCAGAUGCGAUUUACUGCGUAGGCAAUAUCAGGUCGAGUUAGAACCACAUACUAUAGCGCCCCUGCAACACUUCUGUAUUCAGUGGGAUCAAAAAGUCAUUCCCCGCCAUCCUUAGACAAAGAUGAUGAGCUAAUCAUAGGAGUAUGAACACUCUUUGCAUGAGUCAUACAACACCUGUUAAGCAAAUCACGAACGUACUUUUGCUGGCAUUGAUGGAUACAUCCAUCAGAGGAACGAGUCACCUCAACUCCAAAAAAGUAAUAAAGAUCACCCAUAUCUUUAAGAGAAAACUCCUUAUGCAAUUUCUGAACAAAACUUUCAAUACAUGUAGGUACACUUCCAGUAACAAUAAUAUCAUCCAUACACAAGAACAUAUAGAGUGACAGAAGGUAUGACUUGAAUAAAUAAGGACGAACUCGACUUGGAUAUAUGAAAUCCAAUUGAAAGUAGGAAACACUUUAACUUUUUAAACCAAACACGUGGAGCCUGUCACAGUCCAUACAAUGCCUUCUUAAGACGACACACCAAAGGUUCACCAUUAGGACUAAACUGAACAUACCCUGGAGGUUACUGCAUAAACACUUAAUCAGUAAGAUUGCCAUUUAAAAAAAACAUUAUUAACGUCUUGAGACAGAGACUGAUAGUAUAACUCGAAUAGUAGCAUGCUUGACCCCCGGACUAAACGUUUCCUUAAAAUCACAUCCAAGUACCUGAGAACAUCCUUUAGCCACUAACCGAGCUAUCCGACUUGCAAUCGUUCCAUCCAAAUUUUUUUUACUUUGAAGAGCCAUUUACACCUGAUUACCUUUCGACCGCUUGGUGACAGAAUAAGUUUCUAGGUGGAAUUAUGUGUAUUUUGGAAAUACGCCCAUCUCGUGUUGUUCAAAAAGGCAACAAGUUAUUUCUCGAUCAACAGCAGAAGUAGAAUAUUGAACUCUUACUGCCGCCACCAGUGAUAUAAUAUGGUUAGUCUCUCUGCUAACGGAGUUACAACUUCAUUCUGCUGACUCUCCUACUAUUUGGUGUGACAAUUCUAGUGCAGUAGCGAUUGCUGGCAAUCUGGUUUUACACUUCAAGUUUAAACAUGUUGAACUUGACCUUUUCUUUGUCCGUGAAAAGGUUGCUAACAGUUCACUCGUUGUUGGUGAGGUACCAGCCUGUACCAAGUUGCUAACAUUUUAAGGAAACCAUUGUCUGUCUCUUUGUUUACUCAGUUUUGUAAUUUCCUUCGGAUCUUACCUAUUGAGAAGCUGGGUAAAUGUUAGAGUAUGUGAAUGUAUUAGGCUAUUAGUCUGUUAUCAAGACUGGUAUAUUGUUAGUAGGUUAGUUAGUAGUAGUUAGAUCAAGUCUCAUGCAUAUAAGUAUUAUCUCUAUACUGAUAGAAAAAGGUUAACAAUACAAACAAUUUAAUUAGUCUUUUCUUUCAAUAUUUUUCAGUAUUAUAGAGUUAGUAACAUGUUCAUAUUAUUUGUUCCAGUGUUGAUGGUAUUGGCAACUACUGUUUUGUCCAAAAAGCUUGACGUCAUGCUCAUGACGUUGGCUACUGUUUGUAGGCUCCGAUAUAAGGUUUCAAUGGAAAUUCCCCUAGUCCUGUAAUCAAUAGAUGGUGGUAUAGCCCUUAGAGUACUAUGGGGUCCAAUUUGUUCUUUAGUUUUAUCAAUCAGACCACCACUGUGGCAGGAAUCAGAAAUAAUUAUGAAGCUUAAUCCACUUGGUAGUCGUUGAAUCAAGUGCCCCAAGUCGACGUCUGCACAACCAUCGCAACCACCAUAUGACAUGAAUAAUAGUUCGCUUAGAUUGAGGGUGUUUCAAUAAUGUGAUAUAUUUGGCCUCUAAUAAGAAAUCAACAUAUAGAGUGGGUGAUUAAUCCGAAUUGGGAGGAGGACAGGUGUUGUGAUGGACAAAGCGUAAGACAAGGUGGUUUCCGACUGAAGCAAGAAAGCUCUAGCAAAAGGCAGCUAGGUAUUCCUUUUUCACACAAAGACGAAGAUAAAUGAUUAUAACAGCAUGAUAUGAUCUGCUUCGCCUUCGUCCACUACCUCAUCUUUAUGUUUUUGUUUUGGUCGUUACUCACGUCGGCUUUUGUCUGCAAGUGCUGCAUGUCGGUCCUACUAUCGUGAUUGUGUUGCCUAGCUUCUGAUUUCUAUGUAUUAAUAGGGUCUAUUUGAAUGUGCGGUUUGCAGAGGUAAAAUUAGAAAUUUGUUUUUAAGUGUUAAACUUUGUAUCUAUAUAGAUUUAAGAAGUGUUAAAUCAAAAUUUUAUAUUUUUUUACGAUAAAUUGUAUUUAUACAAUGUUUAACUUAUAAAUUUAUUGAUAUUACAGAGGUUUAAAUAAUAGUUUUCCAUUUUAGGGGUAUAAAGAGUAAUUUUCAUUUUAAGGGCGCUACGAUUAGACUUGAUUAUGAGUUGGGUCACCCGUCCAAGUCUAAUGGUUCUCUUGACAAGUGAGAGAGAUUGGGCUAAAAUAUAGCCCAAAAAAACAGACUUGGACAAAAAAUAAUAUCCAUAUUCCAAAGGGGCCGAGCCUCGGGUAAGAUUUUUUUGCUUGGGCCCAACCCGACCCAAAUUUGCUUAAAAAAUUUUCCUUGCUACUGUUAACUAUUGUUUGCUAUUAUAUUGUUACUAUAUUGUUGCUAUUAUUUGUAUAUUGUAUAAUUAUUGUUUUAUUGUUAAUUUUGCUACUAUUUUCAAUUAGUUGGGAAACAUUUAUUUCAACAUUUUUAGUGUAUUUGAUGUAUUAUAUUUUUUAAAAUAAAAAAGUAUAAAAUAUUUUAAUAUAGGCGGGCCGGGCAAGGCUCAGGUUUGGCAUUGUUUAUCUGGGUCAGGCUUGAUAAAAAAUUUAGGCCCAUUUUUUGGUCGGGUAGGGCUUGAGCCUAGAAAACGAGCCUAGAAUCCCAACCCGAUUGAGCCCAUGAUCAAGUCUAGCCACGACCCCUAUCCGCUAUGGUCACCGCCUUUGGAGACAAGAUUAAUUCUUGUGAGAUUGAGAAUAGGGAUGGCGAUGAGAUUAAUUACUAUAGCAGUGAGAUUAGUUACUACAGUGAUGAUGUUAAAAUUAGUGGUGAGAUGCGGAUUCAAACACAAGAAUGGCGGGAAGAUAGAUAAUAGAUUUAUAGUAAGAAAGGAAAAUGACCAUUAUAGACAUUAAAAUAAAUUAGUUUUCACCUUUCCGUAUAUUUUUCUAUGAUUAUUAUUUUAAUGAUAAAAAUGACAUAUUUAAUAUUUCAUUUAAACACAUCGUGCAUAUUUUUAACAUAAAUUAAAAAUUUCUAACUAUUUGUUUUAUUUAAGAAUAUUUUUAAUCGUUUAAUAAAUGUUAAUAUAUAUAAUAUUUUAGAUAGCUAUGACAGAAAUAUCGAAUCAAUUUAAAAUUUUACAUACAUGAAAAGUACAACAAUAUUGAUAAAUUCAAUGGUGGGUGUCACAUCACAAAAUCAGGGUUAAAAAAAUUAGAUUAGCGAAACCAAGUGUGGUCGUGUUCAGUUUUGAUUUGAAGUUGUGAAAAUUAAAAACCAAGAGUACGUUAACCACCGCAUCCCCAAAUAGUCAUAUGAUGUCUCAUAGGCUUCACACCCUCUUAAUAAAAUCCCAUCAUCCUCCUUCAGUGGAUCCAACACCAUUAACCCAUCUACGUAGCGAGUAUUGGGAAUUAUCCAUAUUUAUGGAAAAUCAAAGAUAUGGGUAUCAAAUAAUAGAAAGUCAAAGAUAUGGGUAUCAAAUAUUGGAAAGUCAAAGAUAUGGGUAUCAAAUAUUGGAAAGUCAAAGAUAUGGGUAUCGAGAUAUUGGCAUAAUAAAAUCUGAGAUAUUUGCAAUAUAUGGUCCCUAAUUGUAAAGUGACUUUGCAAGUUGAUCCCUGAACCUCAACUAUAAAUAGGUGCCAUCUCUCAUUCUGUAUCUCAAACUUGCCAUUCUCUACUUAAGGCAUUGUUUUUUCUCUCUCUCUCUUUGUAAAUUCUCACUUGUAUUUUGGAGUGAAAUAUAUUUGGUAGUGCCCGAGGACGUAGGCAAAAUUUGCUGAACCUCGUUAAAUUCUUGUGUUCUUUAUUGUAUUAUUCUGCAUGAAUUGUGUGUGUGAUUGUAGUAAUUUAUUGUGCUAUUAAAUUACGACUGAAGGAUAUUCUGGCUAGGAAAGACCUGGUACUUAAGCGAUCCUUGUGAUCCACCUCUCUUUCCUGGGAAUUGAACUUAGUGUGAUUUUUUAGUACAAUAAUUUUACUCUUUUACACGCUUCCGCACAACAAUUGGUAUCAGAGCUAGAUUCGUACUUGGGGAAUACGAUCGUUCACGGUACUGUUCACGUACUGUAGUUGGGAUUGAGGAGAAAAAAAUGGAAAAGUCAUCGUCAAAGACUACUGUGACCAAUGCGAAAUUUGAAGUAGAGAAAUUUGAUGGUACCAAUAAUUUUGGUAUGUGGCAAUGUGAGAUCCUGGAUGUCUUAUGUCAGCAAGAGUUGGAUAUAGCCCUUGAAGAAAAACCUGACAAGAUGGAUGACAAGGAGUGGGCCAAGAUCAAUAGACAGGCAUGUGGAACAAUUCGCCUAUGUUUGGCCAAAGAGCAGGAGUACUCUGUCAUGAGGGAGUCAUCAGCGAAGAAGUUGUGGGAUACACGGGAAGAAAAGUUUCUAACAAAAAGUCUUGAAAAUAGGCUUUAUAUGAAAAAGAAACUUUAUCGAUUCACGUAUGCACCCGGUAUGUCGAUGAAUGACCAUGUGAACUCAUUCAAUAAAAUUUUAGCAGACUUGCUAAAUUUGGAUGAGAAAUUUGAAGAUGAAGACAAGGCAUUACUGUUGUUGAAUUCUCUUCCUGAUGAAUAUGAUCAUCUUACCACCACAUUGCUUCAUGGGAAGGAUACAAUCACAUUUGAUGCAGUCUGUAGUGCGUUGUAUAGAUCUGAGACUCGAAAGAAAGAUAAAAAAGAUCACAGAGACUACAGAAGUCUUAACAGUAAGAAGUCGUUCGCACAGCAACAAAUCUGGUAGAAGGAGUAAGUCCAAAAAGAGACCUGCCAAAGAUGAAUGUGCUUUUUGUCGUGAGAAAGGGCAUUGGAAAAAGAAUUGUCCUAAGUUACAAAAGGGUAAAGCUAUUUCUGAUGCAUGUGUAGCGGAGCAUGAUGAGGAGUCAGACUUUAGCUUGGUUGGCAUGGCAAUGGCAUGUCAUACAGAUGAGUGGAUUUUUGAUUCGGGAUGUACUUACCAUAUGUGUCCUAAUAAGGACUGGUUUUCUAGUCUUAAAGAACUAGAAGGUGGAGUUGUUUUUAUGGGCAAUGAUAGCGCUUGUAAGACAAUGGGAGUAGGUACAAUCCAAUUGAAGAAUCACGACGGCUCAAUUCAAGUCUUGACAGAUGUUCGCUACAUACCUAUCUUGAAGAAAAAUCUUAUCUCAUUAGGGGUCCUAGAAUCUAAAGGGCUCACAAUCACUUUGAGAGAUGGAUUACUAAAGGUAGUAGCUGGGGUAUUGACGGUGAUGAAAGGCACAAGAAGGAAUAAUCUGUACUAUUUAAAUGGAAGUACAGUUAUUGGAUCAACAUCAACAGCUUUUACGAAAGAUGCAGAUUCAGAGGCUACCAGGUUAUGGCAUAUGCGAUUGGGACAUGCUGGUGAAAAAGCUUUGCAGAGUUUGGCGAAGCUAGGCUUGUUGAAAGGUGCAAAUUCUUGCAAAUUGGAAUUCUGUGAACAUUGUGUUCUGGGCAAGCAGACAAGGAUAAAAUUUGGUUCAGCAAUUCACAAUACAAAAGAAAUUCUGGACUACGUUCAGAGUGACGUGUGGGGACCUACUAAAGUGGCUUCUUUGGGAGGUAUGCACUAUUUUGUUACUUUUGUUGAUGAUUAUUCAAGAAAAGUAUGGGUGUAUCUAAUGAAAAGGAAAAAUAAAGUUUUGGAUGUAUUUCUUAAAUGAAAGAAGAUGGUGGAGACCCAGGCUGGUCGAAAAGUCAAACGACUUCGAUCAGACAAUGGUACUGAGUACAAGAAUGAUCCAUUUCUACAAGUAUGUCACGAUGAAGGUAUUGUACGACACUUCACUGUUCGAGAUACACCACAACAGAAUAGGGUGGCAGAACGUAUGAAUCGGACUAUACUGGAGAAAGUUCGAUGUAUGUUGUCCAAUGCUGGAUUGGGCAAAGAAUUUUGGGCUGAGGCAGUUACAUAUGCGUGCCAUCUAAUUAAUCGGUUGCCAUCAACUGCAAUAAAUGAAAAAACUCCUAUGGAGAGGUGGGCUGGUAAACCUGCUACUGAUUAUGAUUCUUUACAUAUUUUUGGUUCCACUGCAUAUUAUCAUGUAAAAGAAUCUAAGUUAGACCCAAGAGCAAAGAAAGCAUUAUUCAUGGGUAUAACUGGUGGAGUAAAAGGAUACCGUUUCUGGUGUCCUGAUACAAGGAAAAUAAUUUUCAGUAGAGAUGUGACUUUUGAUGAAUCAACCAUGAUGAAGAACAAUGAUUCACAAAAGGAUAACACAACCAGUGGCACUUUGCAGCAGGUGGAGCUUGAAAAGGUUAAUGAUGAUCCAGCUAAUAUUGAAGGAACAAAUGAUGAAGAAGUUUCGACCCAAGAACUUCUACAGCAACAUGAUUCAAUUGCAUAUAGAAGGCCAAGAAGAGAGAUUCGUAUGCCUGCUCGCUUUGAUGAUAUGGUGGCCUAUGCACUUCCAAUUGCAGAUGAUGAUGUUCCUUCUACUUACACAGAAGCAAGAAGUAACUCUGAUAGUGUAAAGUGGAAGCAAGCUAUGAAUGAAGAAAUGCAGUCUCUUCAUAAAAAUAGGACUUGGGAGUUGGUGACACUACCUAAAGGAAAGAAGGCAAUUGGAUGCAAAUGGGUAUAUGCAAAGAAGGAAGGAUUUCCUGAUAAAAAUGAAGUUCGAUACAAGGCUAGAUUGGUAGCAAAGGGUUACGCUCAGAAAGAAGGAAUAGACUACAAUGAAGUAUUUUCUCCAGUUGUGAAGCAUUCGUCUAUUCGGAUUUUGCUAGCCUUGGUUGCGCAAUAUGAUCUUAAACUAGUUCAGCUCGAUGUGAAGACCGCAUUUUUACAGGGUGAUUUGGAAGAGGAAAUCUAUAUGACUCAGCCAGAUGGAUUCAAGGUUGCUGAUAAAGAAAAUUGGGUUUGCAAACUGACAAAGUCGCUUUAUGGAUUGAAACAAUCUCCAAGGCAGUGGUACAAGCGAUUUGAUCAGUUCAUGAAAGGGCAAAGGUAUACAAGAAGUAAAUUUGAUCAUUGCGUGUAUUUUCAGAAGCUACAAGAAGGAUUUUUCGUAUACUUGCUAUUAUAUGUUGAUGAUAUGUUGAUAGCAUCUAAGAGUAAAGUUGAAAUUGAGAGAUUGAAGACUCAACUCAACCUUGAGUUUGAGAUGAAAGAUCUAGGUGAAGCUAAGAAGAUCCUUGGCAUGGAAAUAUGUAGGGAUAGAGCUCAUGGCAGAGUUAGUUUAUCUCAGAAGCAAUAUUUAAAGAAGAUACUACAGAAGUUUGGCAUGAACGAGUAGACUAAAGCUGUAAGUACCCCGUUGGCUUCUCAUUUCAAGCUUUCUGCACAACUAUCUCCUUCGACAAAUACGGAACAAGAAUACAUGUUACAAGUUCCGUAUUCUAAUGCAGUAGGUAGCUUGAUGUAUGCAAUGGUGUGUACAAGACCCGACAUUUCACAGGCAGUUAGUAUAGUGAGCAGGUAUAUGCAUAAUCCUGGAAAAGGACAUUGGCAAGCUGUGAAAUGGAUUCUACGGUAUAUUCAUAAGACCAUGGAUAUUGGAUUCCUGUUCAAGCAGGAUACUACACUUGGUAAAGGUGUUGUUGGGUACGUUGAUUCUGAUUAUGCCGGUGAUUUGGACAAACGAAGAUCAACCACUGGUUAUGUGUUUACUCUUGCUGGAGGACCAAUAAGUUGGAAGUCUACACUGCAGUCUACAGUUGCGUUGUCAACCACAGAAGCUGAAUACAUGGCUGUAACAGAGGCUGUAAAGGAAGCUAUUUGGUUACAAGGUAUGGUUAAAACCUUGGGAUUGAUCCAAGAGCAUAUUAAUGUGUAUUGUGAUAGUCAAAGUGCUAUUCAUUUAGCAAAGAAUCAAGUCUAUCAUGCACGUACAAAGCAUAUCGACGUACGUUUCCGCUUUGUGCGGGAAAUUAUUGAUGAGGGGAAAAUUCACCUUCAGAAGAUUAAGACUGCAGAUAAUCCCGCAGAUAUGAUGACCAAGGUGGUAACAACAAUCAAGUUCGAACAUUGUUUGAACUUGAUCAAUAUUCUGCAUGUUUAACAGUUGAAGAAGGCACUAUCAAGUGUUGUUGACAAAGGCAGAGAGAAUUGUGUGAAGAUAAGAUUACUCGAAUUAAAUCUUCAAGGUGGAGAUUAUUGAGAAUUAUCCAUAUUUAUGGAAAAUCAAAGAUAUGGGUAUCAAAUAAUAGAAAGUCAAAGAUAUGGGUAUCAAAUAUUGAAAAGUCAAAGAUAUGGGUAUCAAAUAUUGGAAAGUCAAAGAUAUGGGUAUCGAGAUAUUGGCAUAAUAAAAUCUGAGAUAUUUGCAAUAUAUGGUCCCUAAUUGUAAAGUGACUUUGCAAGUUGAUCCCUGAACCUCAACUAUAAAUAGGCAUAACCAUUUCUCAUUCUGUAUCUCAAACUUGCCAUUCUCUACUUAAGGCAUUGUUUUCUCUCUCUCUCUUUGUAAAUUCUCACUUGUAUUUUGGAGUGAAAUAUAUUUGGUAGUGCCCGAGGACGUAGGCAAAAUUUGCUGAACCUCGUUAAAUUCUUGUGUUCUUUAUUGUAUUAUUCUGCAUGAAUUGUGUGUGUGAUUGUAGUGAUUUAUUGUGCUAUUAAAUUACGAUUGAGGGAUAUUCUGACUAGGAAAGACCUGGUACUUAAGCGAUCCUUGUGAUCCACCUCUCUUUCCUGGGAAUUGAACUUAGUGUGAUUUUUUAGUACAAUAAUUUUACUCUUUUACACGCUUCCGCACAACAGUGAGGAUGGAAUUUGAGGCUCACAUCUUUCCCGAAGAUUCCGAAAAUCUUUUGGCCAAUAUUUACUGCGUCGUGUAGGAGGCCUGCUGCUGUAUCUAUCGCACCAUGUAUGAUAUCAAAAGGAAGACUCUUAACCUUGACCUUAGACGGUUUAGGCAUGUUGGGAUUUACUGGUGUCGUCAUAUGCUCAACACCAAAUUGUUCUUUCUCUUUUUCAAUGAGACCACCACUGUGGCACGAAUCUGAUAGGAUUGUGAAGCUUGCUCCUUCUGGUAGCCGGUUAACUAAACGGCUGAAGUCCAUAUCUGCAGAAACCAUGUAUAUAUAGGGUAUGAAUAUAUAUUGCUAAAAUAAAUAUUUAAAUUCAAACAAAAACCUACCCGUGACAAGAUUUAAAUCACAAGCCACGAUUGCUUCAUCUUGUUUGAAAGGCUGGCCAGGUUGAAAGAUUGGAAUGCGUGUUCCAUGUCCACUGAAGUAGAAAAAUAGGACAUCUCCUGCUUUAGCAUUGCACGCCAUUCUAUUAAGUGCAUCCCUAAUGUUUGCGCCGGUAGGCAGAACCGACGACCCUGGCGCACCGGUGAGGACAUUAAUAUCACUUUCCUUGAACCCAAAGUUCAGGAUCCCAUCUCCUAUGGUUUUCACAUCAUUGAUGCGUCCAUGCAAGCCGAAUUGGGUCUCGGGGUAGUUGCAUCCCACCAGAACUGCUCUCUCGUACCCUUACCCAUCUUGCUUUGCUAAUUUGACUAUUUUGUGUUGCUUGUACCCUUGUAUUAAUGUGCUUCCACCGUCUCACUAAGACCCUAUAUAUAUACACACUAAUUUACGGCCUGUGUACUGUCGAUUAAGAUGAUCAUAAAGUGGAUAGGGUUUUACUUGUUUUUUCUUUUUAACAAACUAAUAUUAUUUUUGGCUAACAUCCAAUUUAUUUAAAUACGUUAAGUAUACCUAACAUAAAUUUUUUAAAAAUGAUAAAGGCAGAUUAUGUUUUCAUAGAUGUAAUUUAGUCAUACAAAUAUUAAUAAUUAAUAAUAAUUAAUAAACACGUUCAUUUCAAUUAAUUGUAUACUCUACUAAAUGGUAAGAUGUGGCUUAUUAAAUUAAAAAAUUAAGUCUGACUUCCUCUCAACACUAUUCACACACCCUUGUUAUUUAUAUUUUUGCUCUAUAAAAAAUAAGGAUUUUGUGAUAUUUUUUCCUCUUAAAUGAUUUUAUUUAUAUUUUUAAUUAUAUUAAUUAUAUUUUAUAUUAGUUAUUAUUGAUUUAGAGAAUAAUUGGAGAAAAAAAAGAGCUUAAAGUUUAUUUUUGACACGUUUUGCGGGUUGGACUUUCAAUAUUUACAAUACAGUUUAAGUAUUUUGGUAAUAACUUAAGCUACAGGUUUUAGUUUUGGGCUCAUAAUAUACAGAUUUGAAGAAAAUUGACAUAACUAACUAAAUUUGUUUCGCGGAUGAAGCCCAAAAACAUCAAGAAGACAUCAAAAAAUGUCCUGGAAGUUUGUCCGAAAAAUUGCCAAAAUAUCUUGAAAACUUUUGCUUUAUAUAAUUAAUGGUACUUUUGUACUUUCUCUAUUAUAUUAUUUUUCUCUAUAAAUGGACAUUAUUAGGUUAAGACGAGGGGAGACCUAGACCUAGGCGUUCUUAGUUUUAUUUUGUUUUUUUAGUUUGUGGCUUUUUAAACUCUCCAUCUAGUCGAAGGUUUUAUCAGAUUUUGAUUUAAUAAAUUUGUGAGACUUAAUUUUUGCUUUAAUUUUUCUUUGUUCUUUGGUAUUCAUGCAUUUUUUGUUUUAAUUACAACUUUUCAAGUUUAUUGAAUGUUCAGUCGGUAUUUGAUAGCUUAGAAUGAUUGUUUUGUCAAUUAGAAUUCUUAAAUCCAUAAUUGUAUAAUUCAUUCUAAUACUAGUGACAAACUACAUAAUUCGUUUAUGUCGCAGUUUAUAUUUAUGUGGUGUGAAUGUGUGAUAUAGCUAAAAUGAAUCUCGCUAGGAUGAGUUUGUUAGUUAGAAUUUGGACUCUCUCGUUCUUAAUACUGCCGAUAAGUUAAAUCUAGGGCGUUGAGUUACAGGGUUAUUUAUCGAUUAGGAAAUAAUUUCAAACGAGUUUUCUCUUGGCUAUCGAACAAUGAGAGAUGGGUUGCCUUACACUGAGUCAACAACUAGAACUAAUUUAUUAAAGGUAUUGAAGUUAUUUUUGCAUUGAUGAUCGAAUCUUUGAAUCAAACAAAGAUUUUACUUCUAGCUAGAGUUUCUUCUCAUUAAUUUUCUUUUAUAAUUUAUUUUUACUUUGUUUUAAUUUUAAUUUUUAAUUUUAAAAUCUUUUUAUAUUUUUCAUGUAAGUUUUUGUUUUUAUAAAUCUCUACAUCCUUGCAUUACUUCAAUACAACACCAAAAGAACCAAAUGGCAAACACUAUAACUAAAAAUCUUGCAAAAGAGGCCGUUUUAUUUUAUCAUAAAAUUAUACAUGAAAUAGCCAUACAUGGCGAUUACAUAAGCUUGAAGGCCUUAAAACACAGACAUACGAUAGUAAUUAAUAAGCAAACACACACACAGACGCAGUAAUGAAGGCUAACUUCAACUUCGUAGUAGUGCACACCGAUGGAGCACAUUAUUAUUUAGUUUACAGUUUCGACCUCUAGUGAUCGAAAACCCUGGUUCAAAGCCGGCAGCUUAUGCACCCGUAGUGGUGUUGGGUUGGUGGCCAAGAAAAGCUGCAUCAGCAUUCUCAUCACUGCAAUAAAGGCAAGGGUGCUGCUGCCCAAUUCCUAGCUUUAUUAUUUCAUUCCUAGCCUUCACCACAAGCUGUCUAUUGGUUAAUGCACCUAAUUCGCUCUCCUUGAUGACCUUCAGAACUGAAUAGGUAAAGGCCCCAAACGCCUUUCCUCCGGUUUUCUCACUCGCUGGCAUAUCAAUUGAAAGCUCAUUGGCUUGGCACCCACUUAACAGAAUUCCCUCAUCCUCCGUCAGUGACCUCAAAUUCAAAAUAUCACGCUCAUAAUGGGGUAGGAAUUUGAGACUCACAUUGUUCCCAAAGAUUGUGGUCAAAAGAGAGCCAAUACCCGUCAUAUUAUCUGUUCCAGUGUUGAUGGCAUUCCCAAGUGCUCUUGUGGGAAAUAAGUCUUGUGUCGCGAUUAUGACGUUGGCCGCUGUUUGUAGGCACUGGAAUAAGGUUGCUAAGGAAAUGCCCCUAGUCUUGUAAUCAACAGGUGGUGCUAUACCCCUUAGAGUACUAUGGGGUCCAAUUUGUUCUUUACUUUUAUCAAUCAGACCACCACUGUGGCAGGAAUCCGAAACGAUUGUGAAGCUUGAUCCACUUGGUAGUAGCUGAAUCAAUUGCCCCAAGUCCACGUCUGCACACCCAUCGCAACCACAAUAUGAUAUAAAUAACAGUUUGCUUAGAUUGAGAGUAUUUUAAUAAUUUAGUUUACCGAGUUGAUUACGUACCAAAAAUGGGAUUGAGAUCACAAGGCACAAUUGCUUCACCCUCGUUGGGAGGCUGGUGGGGGUCAAUGCGGUGCACAAGUCCAUGUCCACUAAAGUGGAAAAGCAGGACAUCUCCUUCUUUAGCCGCGACCACCAUCUUCUUGAGUGCAGCCAUAAUGUUUGCACGUGUAGGCUUACACGUGGACUCUGGUUCAUCAGUUAGGAGCUCAACAUUUUCGGAAUCAAAGCCAAACCUGCUCACGAUCAUUUCUCUCAUGGCUUUCGCAUCGUUUACGCAUCCGCUCAACUUGUUGAUGGUGUUGGGGUAGUUGCAUCCGACCAGAACGGCUCUCUUCUUACAUUCGGUGGCCAUCUUGCUUCUGUUUUGGGUCGCUUGUCUUGUCUUGUGCUUCGGACGUUGCACUAAACACCUAUAUAUGCACACAUACACACUGUAGUUUACACUAUGCUCACUGACCAUACUCUAAUAAAUAAUACAUCAUGUUGGUAGGUACAACUGUUUUAUUUUAUUUUUUGUUUAGAAAAAAAAGGGCUUUUUUUUAUAAAAACAACCCAAAAAUAAUUAAUUACUUAAAUGACUUAUUUUUUUUGAUAAAAUACGAAAAUAACCUGAAAUCUAUGGAAAAAGUUGGUAGAGCCAAAGUGUGCCACCAACAUGCCAUGUCAGCAAUUUAUAUUAAAAAAUUAAUUUUUGAGUAGAGCUGCCACUUGUAUAAAUACUACGGAAAUAUUAUGAUUUUUUUUCUUUUUAAGUUUUUUUGAUUUGUCCCUUAUAUAUUUUAUUUAUUUGUUUAUUAUUGGUUUUAUAAAAUCUCAAAUGUAUAUUUUAAAUGUUUUAUAAUAUUAUUUUUUAAAAAUUUUAAAUAUAUUUUUCUAAAUUUAAAUAUUAUUUUUUAAUUUUUAAAUAUUAUUUUUUAAUAUUAUAAAAUAUUUAAAAUAUAUUAUUUUUAAAAAUAUGACCUUUCAAAUUUAUUAUUUGUUUUAUAAUAUUUUAAAUAUAUAUUUAAAAAUUUUUAAAUAUAUUUUUUAAAAUUUUAAAUAUAUAUUUUUUAAAUUAUUUUUAAAGAUAUUCAAACAUUUUUUUUAAUUCUAUUUAAAAUCUAAAAAAUAAUAUGUGUUUUUAGAAUGGCUUCACCACUUUAUUACAAGUGUCAUUUUUAAAAAAAUAUGUUUUUUAAAUAUAAAUAUUUAAUAUUUAAUAUUUUAUUUUGGUGGAGCCAUUCUUUAUGGCUCCACCUCUUGGUUCUCUAGCAUAUAUAGAAUGGUGAAAUUGUUGUGUUUAGUAGGAGAGUUCAAAAAUUCUGUUAAAGAUGAAUAAUGAGGUGUUUUGGUUUACGUUCUCUUUUAUGGCGAAAUUGUAGAAGGUGAUGUUGGUUGUGUAUUUCAAUGUCGGCAAAGAGUAGGGUUGCGAUUCAAAAAACUGUAAAGCUGGCAGAAAUGAAAAGGAAGAUUAGUACAAAAAUAGCUAUUUGUUGUGGAAGGGCAAUGUCCAGAUUAUUUUACAAGUUUCCAAUCUCUACAGAUCCGUUCAAAUCUGUUCCACUGCAACGUCAGUGAAAUAACAUCCGUUGGCUUCAGUCUUAACGCAAGGGUGAUAAGACUGGUGUCUUCAAUCCACUCCACUGUAACUUCAGGGAGAUAGGAUUUGUGGUUUCACCGAUCUGUUUUCUAGGGAACAUGACCUGUAGAAUCCUUUUUAUGGGCCUAUUUAUGCCUAGUGAUUAGGAUGUUAUGAUCGGAAUGAAUUAAAAUCUCCUAAUCAAAUAUGCAUGCAUGAAUACAAAAUGUCAUGAAAAUAAUCCCCUAAUGUUUGAGUUGUUAUUGUUCAUUGUUCAUUAAGGAUUUAUUACCAACACAUCAGAACGCCAUCUUGUUCGGCUAGUAAAACUCAUAUCUUACUUAACCAGAUUGCGUCCACUAUAAUCUUCAAGGUUCAAUCCAUUGUAAUCUUCAAGGUUCAAUCCACUGUGCUUUUAGGACAUAAAAUUUAAACUAUCUUCCUCCCACUAUAAUUUAGGAAUAUAAGAUCUGGCUCUUUCUCAAUCCUCUCAUCCUGCAAUUCAAGGAUACAAGACCUGAAUCUCUUUGGUCUAUUACACUUUCCUAGAGUGUCAUACCAAAUGUUUAUGCACAAUUGUAGAACUUUCUUCUCCAAGAAAACAUAUUCUUAUCACUGGGUGAUCAUUGCUUGUUUGUUCAUUGAAGCUUUGUCACCAACACGGCAUCUUGUCAUUUUGUUCAAUCAACAUUUUGACAACAAAAUUUGAAGGGAUAGUCUUAAUUUAGACUUUUCCUUCUUAGAUAUUUCAACCUUUAAACUUGGUGCGUUCUAAACAAUAGUCCUGUUUUAGGUUCUUGUAUUAUUUAGAAACUUCUAGAGUAAUAUGCAAAACUUCCUUUGAGAAAGUAUUAUUAGUCCAUUAAUCAUCAUUCCAAUGCCACAUGCUUGCAAAAGAUCAUACCAAUGGAUAAAAAUAGAAUUGAUUUGGGAGCACGGUUCGAAAUGAAUAAAUUAUCAAAGAUAGUAAAAUAAAAGAGGAAUUAAGUAGGAACAUGUAUCUUGAAAAAUAAUGAAGUAUUCUAAGAACAACAAAUUCAAUAUAAAUAGUAUGAAGACUAGAUGCCCCAAAUAUCGUAGCUUGAGUUUCUCUGUACAAACUUUCUAAAGACCAUUCCGAGUUUGACAUGUGUUUAGGAGAUCUAUAGUACUUUGUCGCUGCCCCAAUAUGUCGCCUACCCUUUCUUGUUGAUUCAGGUAUAAGAAGAUCACCACAUGCCCCAAUUUGAUCAAAAUUUCAGCUGUUCUGAUCACCUCAUGUCCCAUUCUAAUAAAAGAUUUGAGCUGCCCUUUUUGAGUUUUCAACUCAAAUCCCCUUGGGUCUCAAUGCGCCCUUUGCAGGUUUUUACCUUGGCCUCUCCUUUUUCUUUUUUCUUUAUUAUUAUUAUUAUUUUUUAUGACUCAAAGCACCCUUUGUGGGUUUUCACCUUGAUCUCUCUUUUUUUUUAGAACUUAAGGCGCCCUUUGUGGGUUUUCACCUUAGUCCUUUUUAGGACUCAAAGCGCCCUUUGCGAGUUUUUGCCUUUGUCCCUUCUCUUUUUUUCAAGUGAAGUGUGUCUUGAUUGAGUCUAAGUUUACAAGAUUUGACAAGUUUUUACCAUCCAUCUUACUCAAAAUCAAAGCUCCUCCGGAAAAGGCUUUCUUUACAACAUAAGGUCUUUCCCAAUUUGGCAUCCAUUUCCCUCUAAAAUCUUUUUGUAGAGGGAGAAUCCUCUUCAACAUUAGGUCGCCCUCAUUGUAACACCCCUAACCCGUGACCGUCGCUGGAUUGGGUUUAUGAGGCAUUACCGAACCAAAAGCUUAAUUCUAAUUUUAAUUAAUAAAUGGUAAAUCCAAAACAAAAUGAAUCAUGCACUAUGUUAUAUAUAUAUAUAUAGCAUAGCAUAGCAAAAUCAAAUAUAAAAUUCAAGUAAACCAAAUUUGCAUGCUUAACAAUCAAGUGGAAUACAUAGACUAUCCAUUCAAAUAUAGUAAAGGUGUACAUUUAUCAGAUUUGAAUAAAAUUGAUAUUUCACUAUAUUUAUUCAAAUAUAUAAUCUUACCAUUUCCAAGAAACAUUAUAUAUAUUCAUUAAGAUAAUAUAACACUCACUCAAAUUUCAUAGUCAACCACACUUUUUUGGAAUUAAACAUGAACCAAAUAAUCUAUCUGUAUAUACAAUAUUUCCUAUUACCUAUUUAAUAAAUCUCAAAAUCUUAUUCAAAUAUUACAUAAAUUAAUCAAAUACAAUUACAACUUGAAUAACAAAUUAGGUUCUUAUACUAAUAAAUAUAAUAAAUAACAUGAAUUUAACCUUUAACCGAAUAUACAUGGCUUAUAAUAAAAUCAUAUGAUCAAACUAAUUUGUCCUAUUUAAAACCGAAUGCAAACCCAUGCAUAGCAAAUUUUCUUUACUAAAUAAUUAAAUUGAAGUGGCCAAAGUAAUACCAAUUCGUCUAGCGCAUAAUAUGCCUAAAUUAAAUCUAACAUCAAUCUAACCAAAUUGAUCAUCCAAUACCAAAGCAUAUAAAUCAUAUCAUUUACCUGUUUAAAUACAUAUAAUUGAACUAUCUAUAUAAAUGCAUGCGCAUAAAUGCUCAUGCUUAAACCAUUUCCAAAAUAUAUAUUUCAUUACAUUACCUUACAAAACUAAGCAUUUCAUUACCAGUUAUAUAUAUAUAUAUAUAUAUAUAUAUUAUAUGCUAUAAAAUAAAUAUCAAAUUAUAACUAUCGGCAAUUACAUUAAUUAAUCAAACAUAUACACCUAUAAUAUCAUUUAACAUCAAUUCCCAUGAAUUAAACAUACCAUUUGCAAUUUCAUAUCCAAACAAAUCACACAUAACAUUCACAUAUAUAAUACCAUCCAUAAAAUGCUUAAUCAUAAUCAAAAUAUGCCUAAACCAUAAUUCACCCAAACCGAUCACAACAAUCUAAUUAAGCCAUUUUCGCAUGGCUUUAAUUUAUACAUUUAGCAUAUGUAAGUCGAAUAUUUUACUACUAGAAUACAAGUAUAUUCAUCAUCAUCAUCAUAUAUAUAUCACAAUUAUGAUAAUAAGCCAAAAUCACUCAUAAUUUCAAACAUAUUUACACAUUAUAGACUUACUAAAUAAUCUUGAAUCAUCAAUUCAAUAUAAAACUUACCUUAAUUUCUUAACAUGGUAAUAAUACAUACCUGAACUUUUAAAUUUGUUUUCACAUUUGUUCUUAAAUUAACGAUGCCCGUUGAGCCGUUCUGCAUUGAAAAGGAUAUGCAAAUAGUCGGAAAGCUCGUACAAUGCCAACGUCCUAGAUGUGGUCUUACAUGUAUUUACAAAUUGAUGCCACUGUGCAAGACAGGGUCAUACACAUAAACACAAGUCGAUGCCAACAUCCCAGACGUGGCCUUACACGUAAUCACAAGUCGAUGUCAACGUCCCAGACGUGGUCUUACACAAAAUCACAUAUUGGAAAUCCUAUCUAUUCCUAAGGCUCGUACGGGGCUUCUGAUUAUUGAACCUAAUCAAAUCAAACUCAAAAAUACAUAUUUCUAGCUUAAUCAUAUUCGGCCAUCAUCAAAUAAAAUUCAUAAAAUUGAAUUUAUUAUGUGACCUAUGUAUAUAAUUAAAUUUAACAACAUUUAUAUGCUUACAGACUUACCUCGGAUGUCGUCGAAUAAUAAAUCGGCUACUCGACCACUUUUGUCUUUCCCCGAUCCAAAUCCGAUUUCUUUAAUUCUUGAUCUAAACAUAUUUAAAUUAAGCUUAUUUAAACACGAUUCUAUUCAAUUUAGCCUAAAAACACAUGAAUGGACAAAUUACAAUUUUACCCCUAACAUUUCCCACUUUUUACAAUUUAACCCUUUUUGCUCAAAACACAAAAUACACAAAAUUUGACUACACUCUUUAAGGGUCGAAUAUUCCUAGUGUCCACACAACUCCAUAUUUUUCAUUUAUUUAGCAUUUGACCCCUCAAUUUACGCUUUUCUUAAUUUAGUCCUUAAUACACAUUUUUAUCAAAAAAAUUACUAAUUAAAACAUGAAAAUCUAACUACAUAUAUUUAUUUUCCAUCAUCUAAAAACAAAAACAACAAGUUCUCUUCAAUGGCAUCUUACAAAAUACACAACAAAUACAAAAUUUCAAGCAUGGGCUUUAUAGUACUCGAAACAACGAUAUUAAAAACAUAAAAAUUAUCAAAAAUCGAAACAAAAUCUAACCUUAAUUAAGACUUGUAAUUGCCGAAUGUUCAAAGCUUUUUCUUUCUUUAUUUCUUUUGUAGUUUCGGUGAAAACAAAGAUGAACAAUAGCAUGGUUUUCUUAUUUUAUGUUUUAUUUUAUUAACAUAUAAUAAUAACAAACUAUUAUGUUACCAAAAUAACCUUUAAUAAAGAAUAUACAAAACAUAUAAUAUAAGGUCAUUCUUGACCAUUGCCAUCCACUAACUUAUAUAAUGUGCUAAUUGCAUCAUAGUAUAAAGACAACAACAAUUAGACACUUUCAUAUUUAACCACUAAAUUUUCAUUUUACGCGAUUAAAUCCUUUUUCUCAAAUUAAGCACUCAAACAAUAAAAUUAAUUCACGAAACUUUCACACAUGUAAAUUCACACAUAAUAAACACAGAAUAAAAAUAUUAAAAUAUUUUUUAGACUCGGAUGUCUGGUCCCGAAACCACUGUUCCGAUUAGGGUCAAAAUCGGGUUGUUACAACUCUCUCCCUUUAGGGAUUUUCGUCCUCGAAAAUCUUACCGGUGAAUAGCUGUGGGUAACAUUCUUUCAUUGCAUCCUCUGGCUCCCAGGUUGCUUCCUCAACUCUGUGCUUAUGUCACAGUACUUUGACUAACGGAAUUUUCUUAUUUCGUAAUUCUUUAACCUCACGAGCCAGAAUAUUAAUCGAUUCUUUUUCAUAUGACAUAUCAGACUUAAUUUCAAUCUCGGUAGGACUAAUCACAUGCAAAGAACCGGAUCUAUACCUAUGAAGCAUCGAAACAUGGAAUACAUUGUGAAUCUUUUCUAACUCAGGUGGCAGCAGCAAUCAAUAAGCAACUGGCCCGACACGCUUUAUAAUCUCAUACGGUCCAAUGAAUCUCGGACUCAAUUUGACUUUACGACCGAAUCUGAGUAUUUUCUUCCACGAUGAUACUUUUAAAAAAACUUUAUCUCCAAUCUGAAACUCUAUAUAUUUUCUUUUCAAGUCUGCAUAUGAUUUCUGACGAUCCGAUGAUGUUUUCAGAUUAUCGCGAGUCACUUUCACUUUCUAUUCAGUUUCUUUAAUCAAAUCGACCCUGUGUAUCUUAUUUUCACUGAGUUCAGUCCAAUACAAUGGUGUACGACAUUUACGACCGUAUAAAGCCUCGUAAGGUUGCAUUUUGAUACUAGAUUGAAAGCUAUUAUUAUAUGACAAUUCAAUCAAAGGUAAGUAUUGUUCCCACGUACCUUCAAACUCAAGAAUGCAACUUCUCAACAUAUCCUCAAGUAUCUGAAUGAUUCGUUCGACUGUUUCUGGAUGGAAAGCUGUGCUAAAAUGUAGUUUCGUACCUAAAGCAUCUUGUAGUUUCUUUCAAAACCGCGAUGUGAACCUCGGGUCUCUGUCCGAAACAAUAGAAAUAGGCACACCAUGCAACCUCACAAUUUGAGAAAUGUAUAAUUCAGCAAGUUUAUCAAGUGAAUAAUCAGUAUGGACUGGAACAAAGUGAGCUAAUUUUGUCAAUCUAUCAAUAAUAACCCAGAUUGCAUCUUUCUUGCUCGGUGUCAACGAUAAACCAGAUACAAAAUCCAUCGUGACUCGGUCUCAUUUCCAUUCAGGUAUCAUGAUCAGCUGAAGCAACCCAAAAGGUAACUGAUGCUCGGCUUUUACUUGUUGACAUAUUAAACAUUGUGAAACAAAGUCAGAAAUAUCUCGCUUCAUACCGCGCAACCAAUAGUGCUAUUUUAGAUCAUUAUACAUUUUCGUGCUACCCGGAUGAAUAGAUAAUCGACUAUUAUGAGCUUCAUUCAAGAUCAUAUGAAUUAAGUCUGAAUUUUUCAGAACACAUAGUCGGUUUCUGAAUCUCAAACAAUCCUCAGCAUCAACUAGAAACUCUGAAUCAACAUUCAAAUCACACUGAGCCCGUUUUGCAAUUAAAUCAUUAUCAUCUUUCUGAGCUUCACAAAUAUAUUGAACAAAUAGCGGUUUUACUUUCAACUCAGCUACCAUUGCACCAUCAUCAGACAUAGCUAUAUGCGCGUUCAUUGCACGCAAAGCAAAUAAUGAUUUUUGACUUAAGGCAUUCACAACAACAUUAGCCUUUCCCGAAUGAUAAUCAAUCACAAGCUUAAAAUCUUUUAGCAACUCUAACCACCGUCGCUGUCUCAAAUUUAGGUCCUUCUGAGUCAUCAAAUAUUUCAAGAUUUUGUGAUCAAAAUAAGCAUGACAUUUUUCACCGAAUAAAUAGUGGCGCCACAUUUUCAAACCAAACACAAUAACGGCCAAUUUGAGAUCAUGCGUCGGAUAGUUCUUUUCAUGUGGCUUCAACUGUCUCGAGGCAUAAGCUACAACUUUGCCUUCCUGCAUCAAAAUAUAGCCCAAACCGUUCAAAGAUGCAUCACUAAAAAUAACAAAUUCUUUACCUGUCUCUAGCUGAACUAGUACUGGAGCUUCGGUCAAAAGGACUUUCAACUGAUCAAAUCUUUUCUGACACUUUUCUGACCACUCGAACUUAACAUCUUUUUGUAGCAACUUCGUCAUCAGGGUCGCAAUCAUAGAAAAACCUUUCACGAACUGUCUAUAAUAACCAACGAGUCCCAAAAGACUUCAAACUUCAGAGACAUUUCUCGGAGGUUUCCAAUCAAGUAUAGCUAAAAUUUUACUUACAUCAACCCGAAUACCCGAUGCUAAUACAAAAUGGCCCAAAAAACUGACUUCGCAUAACUAGAACUUACAUUUACUAAACUUUGCAUACAAUUGUUUAUCUCGCAAAGUUUGUAACACAAGUCUUAGAUGUUCAGCAUGUUUGAUUUCAUCACGAGAGUAGAUCAAAAUGUCAUCUAUGAAUACUACCACAAACUGAUCCAGAUACUAUCUAAAGAUUCGAUUCAUCAAAUCCAUGAAAACAGCAGGUGCAUUAGUAAGCCUGAAAGGCAUAACCAGGAAUUCGUAAUGUCCGUACCUCGUUCAGAAAGCUGUCUUUGGCACAUUAGAGUCUUUAACUCACAACUGAUAGUAACCCAAUCUCAAAUCUAUCUUCGAAAACAUUGAAGCCCUUUUUAGCUGAUCGAACAAAUCGUUAAUACGUUGCAAUGGAUAUUUAUUAUUUAUAGUCACCUUAUUGAGCUGCCGGUAAUCAAUACACAUUCUCAUCGUUCCAUCUUUCUUUCUCACAAAUAGUACUGGUGCACCUCAAGGAGAGAAACUCGGUCGUGCGAAACCUUUAUCUGUCAACUCUUACAACUAUUCUUUCAUCUCUUUUAAUUCAGUCGGUGCCAUACGGUACGGAGCUGUCAAAAUUGAAGUCGUCCCUGGUACUAAAUCAAUACCAAACUCUACCUCUCGAAUAGGUGGCAAACCCGACAAUUCUUUGGGAAACACAUAUGAAUAGUCACACACAAUCGGCAAGGAUUCAAUCUUUUUUCAGUCACUUUACUAUCAAGAAUAUAUGCAAGGUAAGCUUUACAACCUUUUCUCACAUACUUUUGAGCCAACAUCGAGGAUAUUACUGCUGGUAAACCAUUUAGAUCUUUAGAUUCAAUCUAAAUAAUCUCGUCGUUCUGGCAUCUUAAAUCGAUAGUCUUUCUUUUACAGUUAACCACAGCAUCGUGUAAAGUCAACCAGUCCAUACCCAAAAUAGUAUCGAACUCGUCAAAUGGCAACAACAUCAAAACAGCCGUAAAACGUAAAUCUCGAAUCAUCAACGGACAAUUCUUACACACUUUAUCAACCAAAACACACCGGCCCAAGGGAUUUGAUACUCUAAUCACAAACUCAGUAGACUCAACAAGCAAAGUCUUACUAGAUACUAAAGUCUCACACACAUAUGAAUGAGUCAAACCAAGAUCAAUCAGUCCAAUAACAUUAGUAUCAUAGAGAGUGAAAGCACAGUAAUAACGUUUGGGAAUGAAGCCUCUUUACGAGCGCGUAUAGCAUAUGCUCUGGCAGGUGCGUUAGCCUCAGAUCUAACAGUUGUAUCUUUGGUCCCCCUCUGACUGCCACUCAUAUUACCUGUGUUUCUGGGUGGUCUACCUCUAGCUGCAGUGUUACCCGAUCUCGUAUUUUGUACCGAAUUUUGAUCCACUAACUCUGGGCAUUCACGAAUGAAAUGAUCCCUCGAUCUACAUUUAAAAUAGGCUCGAUCAUGUAAUCUCUAACUACCAGAAUGUCGUUUACCACAAUGUUCACACUCGGAUUGAUUUGACCUGACAUUACCCACACUCGCUACUGAAGUAGCUCUCGAGCUCACAGGUGGUCUAUCCAAAUCCCAUCGUGAAUACCCCACAACAGUCUUUGAACGGCUAGUAUCAUCUCGAAACUUCUUUGAGGUCGACUGAAAUGGCUUACAAAAUAACCUUUUACAAAAAUCUCUGGCUUCAAAGUCAGCUUUUCUCUUCUCUUUCCCGAGUUAUUCGGCUUUGUAAGCUCGUUUAACAAGUACCACAAACUAUUUUAUCUCAAGUAUGCCAACUAACAGUUUAACAUCUUCAUUCAGCCCAUCUUCAAAUCUUUUACACAUAAUAGCUUCAGUCGAAACACACUCUCGGGCAUACCUACUGAGUCUCACAAAUUUCCGCUCAUAUUCUGUCACUGUCAUCCGACCCUGUUUCAAUUCAAGAAAUUCCUUGCGUUUCUGAUCAAUGAAUCUCUGGCUGAUGUAUUUCUUACGGAACUCAGACUGAAAGAAUUCGCAGGUCACUUGCUCUUUCGGACCCACUGAUACUAGUGUAUUCCACCAGUGAUAUGCAGUGUCCCGUAGCAAAGAUAUGACACAUUUUAAGCACUUGUCAGGGAUGCAAGAUAACUCGUCAAACACUCGAAUAGUAUUAUUUAGCCAGAAUUUAGCUCGCUGAGCAUCAUCAUCAUCAGUGGCUCUGAACUCUUUGGCCCCGUGUUUUCGGAUUUUAUCAACAGGAGGCUUUAGUAAUCUCAACGAAUCACUCACUUGAGGUAUAACAGGAAUCAAAGAUGGAUUAAUCGAGGGUGGAGGGCAAUCAUAUAACUACAAAAAAUACAUAAAACAAAAAAAAUAAUGUCCUAAAAAAACAUAGGUGGUAUAGGUAAUAUAAAUAAAAAAAAGACUUAUUUUUAUUGAAUCAAUAUCUAUAAUAAUAUAUAGAGUUUUACAUAUAAUAUAAACUAGGCAUAUUCAAACUCAAAAUUUUAUCUACAUAUGAGAACUUUUAUAAAAAAAAAUAUAUUCACUCAUUAAAGACAAAUGUAAAUUUUUUGUACCCCACAAAUGGAACUAAGCACAAUAACAAUGCAAAAUUAAGCAGAAAGGUCGUCAUAUUAACAAAAUUAAUAUAUAAAUUUAUGAAUGUGUCAUAAAUUUAAAAUAUAUAUAGCUAACAGGAAAAGAUCAAUUUCAUGCAAAAAAACAGUUAAAAAGGGAUAAUAACAACCAAAUAGAGAUCAGUUUCAUGCAAUCAAAAUGAUUUCUUAUUUAAUUUAUAAUUAAUUUAAAUGUUUCAUUGAUACUCGAUGAAGUGUAAUCCGUAUUUGCUCCAGAAAGCAUUUUGAUAUCUGCAUAAUUUAAAAAAAUUACAUAAAAUAAAUAUAAUUAAUUACUAUAUUACAAUAACUAUAAAAUAUAAAAUUACAAAAUAAAAACUAUAAAUAACUUACUUUUUUUUUCUCUUUUCUUCCUUCCUUUUACAAAAUAUUUGAAGGGGCGACCAAACCCCACCUUCUUAAAUAGAAUGUUCUUCUUCUUAAAUAAUGUUCUUCUUCUCUUUUUUUCUUUUUUAACUAACAAUUAAGCUAAUGACUAGUCACAUCGCUAAUGUCACUUAGAGGUGUGCAAAAUUUGGGUAAAAUCGAAAAAAUUCGAUUAAUCUAUCGAAUUCGGUUAAUCGGUCGGUUAACCGAAUUUUUUCGGUCGAGGCUCGAUUAAUUAUUUUUUAAUUUUUCAGUUAACGGUUAAUUCGGUUCAAAACCGGUCGGUUAACCAAAUUUUUUCAGUUUAACCGAAAAAAUUAAUAAAUAAAAUUAUAAUAUAUAAAUAAGCCCACUAUUCACCUAAAUCCAAUCCAAACCCAAGUAUCCAACCUAACCCAAUUACCCAAUCAUAAAAAUUACAAAUAAAUUAAUAAAUAAAAAUAAAAAAAUAUAAUUUUCGGGUAAUUCGGGUAAUUCGGUUAAUUCGGUUAAUUUUUAACCAAAAAUAAAAAUAUAUAUAAUUUCGGUUAACCGACCGAAUUAACCGAAAAAUUUUGGUUUGAUUUAUAUUUUUGAAUAAAUUUCGAUUCGGUUAAUGUUAUUUUAGGUCAGUUAACCGACUGAACACCCCUAAUGCCACUGACACGAUGUGACCAGUUAAAAUAUAUAUUUUUUUAUUUUCUAAUAUAUAAAAAAUUUCUAAUAUAUAUUUUUAAUCCUUUUUUAACCAAUAAAUUAUUUUUUUAUUUUUUCCAAUCAAUUCAAUUUUCACUUUUUUAAAUAAAAUAUUUUUUAAAAAAAUUUAAAUAGAAUUUUAGAAAAACGUUUGAAUAUCUUUAAAAAUAAUUUUAAAAAUCAUAAUUUUAAAAAAUAAUUUUAAAAAAUAUAUAUUUAAAAUUAAAAAUUAUAUUUAAAAUUUUUAAAAUAUGCAUUUAAAAUAUUAUAAAAUAAAUAAUAAAUUUGAAAGAUCAUAUCUUUAAAAAUAAUAUAUUUUAAAUAUUUUAUAAUAUUAAAAAAUAAUAUUUAAAAUUAAAAAUAAUAUAUAGUUUUAAAAAAAUAAUAUUAUAAAACAUUUCAAAUAUACAUUUCAAAUUUUAUAAAACCAAUAAUAAAUAAAACAAAUAAAAUAAAUAAAUAAAGGACAAAUAAAAAACUUAAAAAGUAAAUAAAUAAAAAGUUUAAAAAGAAAAAUGAAAAAGGACAAAGAAUCAGAGAAAAAGAAGUAACGAAUGAAAAAAAAAUAUUUAGGUUGUUUCAAUAGGACAAGGAACCCGCUAGUAUCUUAGAAUUUGGUAGCAUAAAUUUAUUUGGAUCACCAGAAAAGGAUAAAAUUGCUUAAAUAUUUUACUUUUAAAAAUUAUAAUAUUUCUCUAAUAUUUAUACAAGUUGUGUUAUUUUACAUGGCUCCACUAAAAAAAAUGAUUUAUUAAUGUAGAUUGCUGACGUGCAAAACACUUUGGCUCCUCUAACUUGUACCGUAAAUUUUUUAUUAUUUUCAAUUUUUAUGAAAAAAGGGUUAUUUAAGUAAUUAAUUAAAUUUUUGAGUUAUUUUUAUAAAAAAAGAGCAUAGUAAUUAAUUAAGCUAGGUAUUCCUUUUUCACACAAAGAAGAAAAAUGAUAGAAAAUAUAGGGUUGUGGUCGUAGAUAAAUGAUUAUAACGUGAUAUGAUCUGCUUCGCAUUAGUCCAUCACCUUAUCUUUAUGUUUUUGUCUUGGUCAUGAAUCACUUUGGCCUUUGUCUGCAAGUACUGUCUGUCCUACUAUCCUGCAUCUGAUUUUCUCUGUCUUUUGGGUCUAUUUGAAUCAUGCUGAAGUAAGAAAACUGUUUUUAAAGUAUAAAAGUUGAUAAUUAUAUUAGUUUAUUUCUUUAUAAUUUUUUAAAUUUUUAGAGAUAAUAAAUUAAAAUUUUAUAUUUUUGAGGAUAAACUAGAAUUUUAUAAUGGCUUAAAUAAUAGGUUUUCAUUUUAGGAGGUCUAAAGAGUAUUUUUCUUUUUAAAGGAGCCACAACCCUUGCUUACUUUGGUCACCUUCUAUGGUGACCAGAUUCAUUCCAGUGAGAUUAAAAACAAUAGUGGUGGUGAGAUUAAUUACUAUAAUAAUGAGAUUAUUAAAAUGAGAUAGAUUAUAGAUUUAUAGUAAAAAGGAAAAAUGACCAUUAUAGACAUUAAACUAAAAUUAAACUAAAGAAGUUUACACCAUUCCGUAUAUUUUUGUACGAUUAAUAUUUUAAAGAUAAAAACACCAUAUUUCAUAUUUCAUUUAUAUAAAUCAUGCAUGUGAAAUUUCACGUAAAUUAAAAAAAUUUAACUAGUUGUUUUAUGUAAAAUACUUUUAAUCUUUGAAUGAAUGUUAAUACAUACAAUAUUUUAGAUGGAUAGAUAAAAAUAUCGAAUCAAUUGAGAAUUUACAAUAAUAUCAACAAAUUCAAUGAUUGGAUUGUUAAGUUAAGAAUCAUGUAAAAAUAUAUGAAAGCGUGUAAAAUUACUUUAAUUUCGCAGUAGUAUAAGCAAAUUCUUUUUUUAAUAUAUAAAAUUAAUUAUAUAAUUUAAAUUUAUGUAUUUAACAUUAUUUAUAAAUAUAUUAUUUGAAAGUAAUGAAAUAAAAUAAAUAUUAUAAAUAAAAUUAUUAAAAAAUAGUAUCUAUUAUUGAAUUAAAUUAACCAUUCUUUAAAAAAGAGUGAAAAUUAUUUUUUUAAAUGCAUAGGGUUUUAUUUUUAAAAAAAUUUAAGAUUUAGGUAUAAAAGAUAAACAUAAAGUGCAUAGGGCUUUAUUUUUUAUUUUUUAAAUAAUAUUGUUUUCGGCUCACAUGCAGUUUAUUUAGUUAGGUGAAGUAUACCUAACUCAAAUUUUAUAAAAAUGAUAAAAGGCAUGUGAUUUAGUAACACAAAUAUUUUAUUCUCAAUUUUAAUUCGGUUUUUUUAUUUAAAAUAGUAAAGGAUGUAGAUACCUUUAUAAAUUUGCACCUUUUAUUUUAUACUUUAGUCCUUUCUUAAUUUCAUUUAGUGAUUUAUUGUAUACAGUGACGGAGCAUAGUGAAGAUUAGGUAGCAUGACAUCCUUUAAAAUGGUAAAUUUUUUUUAUUUAAGCUCUUUAUAAUUUAUAAAAUUUUAAAUUAGUAAUGGUAAAAUUGUACUUUAACCCUCCAAAGAUGAUAAAAAUUUGAUUUAACCCUUUAAAAAUUACAAAUAUAUAGACUAUUAAAAAUUACAAAUUACAAUUUAAUCCCAACCUCCAAAAACAGUUAGGCUCCGCCAGUUAAUUAAUUAUAUUAAAUUCGAUAAAAAUUUUAAGUAGAAUUGAAAAAAUAUGUGUUUUAUUUAAUAAUAAUACUUUUGAAUGGGUUGAAUUGGCAAGAGUUAAGGUGUGGACACUACACCAAAACAGGUCUUUAGCGGCAUAUUUUGUGGCGCUUGGACGAAAAACGCCGCUAAAAACCGAUCAUUAGCGGCGCAAAGACCUAAACGCCAUAAAAGAACAUCAUUAGCGGCGUUUACCACAAUGCGCCGCGAAAUCUCUUAACCAAAACGCUGUGUUUUCGUCUUGAUGUAUCUUAAAAUUAGUGGCGUUUACGCGAAACGCCAUUAAAGGACAGUAAUAGCGGCGCUUUCUGGAAACGCCGCAAAAUAGCUUAACCAAAACGCAGAGUUUGGUCUUGAGGUAUCUUAGAAUUAGUGGCGUUUAUAGGAAAACGCCGUUAAAGUACAGUAAUAGCGACGCUUUAUGGAAGCGCCGCAAACUAUCUUAAGCGAAACACAUCGUUUUGGUCUUGAUUUAUACUAGAACUAGUGGCGCAUAUGGUCAAACGCCGCUAAAGAAUAGUAUUAGCGGCGAUUUGUAGCUAGCGCCACAAAAUAUCUUAACAAAAACGCAGCGUUUUGAUCUUAAUGUAUAUAAAAUUAGUGGCGCUUACGGUAAACCGCCGCUAAAGAAUAUUAAUAGCGGCGCUUUGUGAGAAGCGCCGCAAAAUAUCUUAACCAAAACGCAUAAUUUUGGCCUCGAUGUAUAGUAGAAUUAGUGGCGCUUAGUGAAACGCCGUUAAAGCAUAGUAUUAGCGGCGAUUUGUAGCUAGCGCCGCAAAAUAUCUUAACAAAAACGCAGUGUUUUGAUCUUAAUGUAUAUAAAAUUAGUGGCGCUUACGGUAAACCGCCGCUAAAGAAUAUUAAUAGCAGCAAAAUAUCUUAACCAAAACGCAUAAUUUUGGCCUCGAUGUAUAGUAGAAUUAGUGGCGCUUAGUGAAACGCCGUUAAAGCAUAGUAUUAGCGGCGCUUGGAUAAAAGCGCCACCAAGUAUCUGAACCAAAACGCAUCGUUUUGGUCUUGAUGUAUACUUGAUUUAGUGGCGAUUUCGGUAAAACGCCGCUAAAGCAUAGUAUUAGCGGCGAUUUGUUGAUAGCGCCGCGACUUACCAUAAACAAAACGCAACGUUUUGGUCUUAAUUUAUACUAAAAUUAGUGUCGCUUUGUUGAAAGUGCCGCAAAAUAUCUUAACAGAUUUUUGGGUUUUAACCAUGCAUUAUGUAAUGUAGGUUACUAUAUAUUUAGUUUAUCAUAUUUGGUUUAGGUAUAGGGUAUUAGGGUUCAUUAUAUAAUGUUUAGUAUUUUUGGAUUACAGUGUAAAGUUUAAAGUUUAGGGUUUACGAUGUAGGUUUAAGGUUAGGGUAUUAGGGUGUUUAGGGUUUAAGGUUUAGGAGUCUGGGGUAUAAGGUUUAAAGUUUGGGGUUUAGGCUACUUUAGUCAUGUUAAUAGGUUAAUAUUGUUUCGGAUUUUGGGGUCUGGUUGUUGGUUUUAGAGUUUAGGGUUUAACGAUUUAGUAGCUUAAGAUUUUAGGGUUUAAAAGUUUAGAGGUUUAGGGUUAAAUCCUAAAAGCGUGCAUGAACAACAGUUUAAUGUUCAAUUGUAUACAUGAACUUUAAUUUGAUCUAAAUAUUGUAAAAUAUUAACACAAUUAUUGAUAUAAUUAACAUCAUUUUAAUUUACGUAUAUUGCAUACAUAAAUAUUUAUAUUUAUUCAAUAUAAAAAUAUAUUUUGAUGUAAAAUUUUUUAUAGAUCAUGAAAUAAAUUUUUAAAAAUGCAUUAUUCUCCCAUUUUUUAUUAAUUGAUAAUUUCAUUUUAUAAAUUUUGUUUUAAUUUUGGAUCAAUUUGGCUUGAAUCUUGGAUGAAGGCAUUAGCGGCGCUUGAGCAAAAGACGCCGCUAAAGGUGAUGUAUUACCGGCGUUUUAUGAAGAAACGCCGCCCAUUUCCUUAAGUGUAACAAAGACACGGUGCCGUUUUUUGUUUUCAUUUAGUGGCGCAUUUGGAAAACGCCACAAAAAUUUAUAACGAGUUGAGGAAACGGCGUCGUUUCCUAUUUUUAUUAGUGGCGCUUUUGCUAAUGCGCCGCAAAAAUGUUACGGUAUAUAAGUGAAAACGGCACUGUUUUAUUCUGAACUUGGAAUUUUAGUGUCGUUUUUAUUUAAAACGCCGCAAGUGUGGACUCAAUAACGGCGUUUGUUCUCAACGCGCCGCAAAUCUGACUUAAAAAUUUCUUAAACGGCGUCGUUUCUUAAGGGGACAUUUAACUUAAUACCCUUCUCUCGUCCUCCAAAAACAGAAAGAGUGAAUUUGCAGACCUCAAGUGUCGAAAGGGAACAAAUUUCAGACUUCUUACAAAGGAAAAAAGAAGGUUGGGGUCGGUCUUGAAAGAAGUUUGGCACAGCUGCGAGAUUUUUCGAUUAAAUAGGUAAGGCGUUUCUGUUAUUUUUGGAUUAAAUUUUUAGGGUUUUAGGUCAGUCAUAGUUAUUUGGGGUUUUAGGGUUUCGAUUAAACAACUUCAACAAUGUACUAUUCCGAUUAAAUAUGUAAGGCGUUUCUGUUAAAUAGGUAAGGCGUUUCUGUUAUUACAGCCACUUAUGGAUUUGAGUUUCAUAUUCUGAUUUCUGGUAUUGAUUUGUGGUAUUGAAAAAAUUUAUAUUACAGCCACAAUAUUGAUUUGUGGUAUCAAUUUACUAUUCUGAUUUAGAUUAUAGCACAUGAGAGGGUGGCAAAAUUUAUAUUCCGAUUUAGAUUAUAGCACAUGAAUUGGAAGGGAUGGAUAAAAAUAAAUAAAUGAAUUGCUAUGGAUUCUCUUGAGGAUGUAAAAUCCGAAUUGGUUGGUCAAUUAGAAUUAGAUUAUGUUGUUAUGUGCAGAAAUAAUUGAGUGGAUUUGAAAUAAUUUGUUUUUGAUUAUGUUGUUAUGUUCUGAAAUAUGCUUUGGAUUUGAAAUAAUUUCUGAGUCUGAAAUAAUUUGUUUUUGAUUAUGUUGUUAUGUUCUGAAAUAUGCUUUGGAUUUGAAAUAAUUUUUGAGUCUGAAAUAAUUUGUUUUUGAUUAUGUUGUUAUGUUCUGAAUUAUGCUUUGGUUCUGAAAUCUGGAUCUGGUUUUUGUCUGCGUUGCUUUCUUAGCUUGCUGGGUUGGAGCUCGUUUCAUUGCUGCCAAAUUUGGAUAUUCUUUGGCGUGGAGGUAAAUUUUGUAAAGGCAAAUUUUAUGUUGCAAAUAAAAGGUUUUUAGUUAAUCAUCUUUAGUUAAUCAUCUUGCUGUUCGUGGUAGUUAUAUACCCGUUGCAUUUUGGUCAGCCUGUCAUGUAUUAUGCAAAUCCCGAAAUGGUUUUAAGCAAGUGGACUUUGUUUAUUUAGUUAUGCACAUAAUACUUUCAUAUUUUAUUUGUUGUAGAAGUUGGUAUCUCACAGUUUCUCAUCAAAUGUAUGCGAGUAGUAUCGAAUGCAAAUUGUUUUAACAGCCAUUUGAUCAAUUGUUCUGUUUUUUUCUAAUAUUCCUUUAUAACAUAUUGGAAGAUAUGUUAUGUUUUAACUUAAUAUAUUUGAAACAUAAUAUCUUAUGCCUCACAAAAUCCAAUUUUUGAUGAUUGUCUUAUUUUAAAUAAUGCUUCCAAUCAAUGGUAUGUGUAUUAUUUAAACAAAAUCCACGAAAUAAAAAUUACUUACUAAAACUUGUAAUUCAAAAUUUAAUUUCAAGUCCAAAUUAAUAUUUUACUUAAAUAUAUUACUUACAAUUUAAUUUAACUUAUUAAAUAUAUAUAUUGUUAAGUAAUAAUUUUUUGAAAUUUAUAUCUUAGAUUACUUAAAUAUAUAUUUUUAAGUAUAUUUUACAUGACUUACAUUACUUACUAAAACAUAUUUUUUACUAAAAUUUACUUGAAUAUAUUAAUUAAAUAAAUUACUAAUAAAGAUUGCUUAUGUAAGCUAUAUUUAAAUUUUAAAUUUAAUAAAUUAUUUAUAACAAUUAUUUAAAUUUAAUAAAUAAUUUAAAAAUUAUUUAAAUUUUAUUAAUAAUAAAUUUAUAACUUAAAUAAGUAUUACUAUUUUUUUAAUAUUAUACAUAUAUUCAUUUAGGUAUGUAAGCUAUAUUUAAAUUUUAUUAAUAAUAUUUAAACAUAUUUUGUUGUCAAAUUAGUGACACAUAUACCUCUCCACGAAUUAUUCAGUGGAAGAUUAGUUUAAAAGCAAAGAUUGCUUAUAUAAGCUAUAUUUAAAUUUUAUUAAUAAUAAAUUUAUAACUUAAAUAAGUAUUACUAUAUUUUUAAUAUUAUACAUAUAUUCAUUUACAUAACACAUAACUUACAUAACUUUCAUAAUACACAACUUACGCAUCUUACAUAAGACAUAACUUACAUGUGUAAAUAAUACAAAAAUUACAUAACUAACAUAAGACAUAACUUACAUAAGUUUCAUAAUACACAUCUUACGCAACUUACACAACUUACAUAACUUACAUAAGUUUCAUAAUACACAUCUUACGCAACUUACACAACUUACAUAACUUACAUAAUGUAUAUCUUGUUGUCAAAUCCUAAACCCGUGCAAUUUAUUGUCAACGUCAGACUUCAAGAAUUAAAAAAUGGACCGGUCUUGGAUGAAUUUGUCAAGGGUAAGCGACGGUUAUCGAAAUGGGGUGCAGAGUUUUCUAAAUUUUGCAUUUCAAUAUGCAAGCCAAGAGAACAUGAUUCUUUGCCCGUGCAAGAAGUGUGUCAACAUAAAUUGGCAUUAUCGUGAGGUUGUAUACGAGCAUCUAAUUGUUGAUGGGUUUGUUCGGGGUUAUAAACAAUGGUUAUUUCAUGGUGAAUGCCCGCGUAGUACUUCCUCUUCAAGUAUGGAUGUAACUUAUCCUGAUACUGCUUACCAUCAGUCUGGUAGAGGGGAUGACAUGGAAGGUAUGUUGCGGGAUGCAUUUAAUAUGCACAAUCAUGGUGUUGAAUCAUUCCCAGCGGACUUUAUGGCCUCUGAUGAUUGUAAUAUUGGUGGAAAUACUUUUACCGAACCGGGAAGUAGUGUACGUCAUGAAGAGCCGAAUGGAGAAGCGGCGAAGUUCUACGCGCUACUUAAUGACAUGAACGAAGAACUGUAUGAGGGAUCAAAAUUUUCAAAGAUGUCCUUCUGUGUUCGUCUUUUUCAAUUAAAGUGUUUGGGAGGGUGGACGGGAAACUCGUUGACGAUGCUGUUAGAGUUUUUGAGAGAAAUGUUCCCGCUUGCAAAAAUCCCUCGGUCCUGCAAAGAUAUGAAGAAGAUGAUAAAAGAUUUAGGCCUUGGGUAUAACAAAAUCCAUAGUUGCCCAAAUGACUGCAUGUUGUAUUGGGGCGAUCGGAGAAACCAACAGUGCUGUCAUGUAUGCGGCCACUCUCGUUGGACAAGUAGAAACACAGAAGAUGGGAACGACGAUGAAAAUGAUGCACAGUCACGGAAGAAGCCAGCCAAGAUUUUACGGUAUUUUCCGUUGAUACCAAGGCUUCAAAGGCUUUUUUUAUUGUCGAAGACAGCGGAGUCAAUGACAUGGCACCAUGAUGGACGAACCGUUGAUGGAUUACUAAGUCAUCCGGCAGAUUCUUUAGCUUGGAAAUCAUUUGACAAUAAAUUUACAAGCUUCGCAAGCGAUCCUAGGAGUGUGAGGCUUGGGCUAGCAUCUGAUGGAUUUAAUCCUUUCAAGAUCAUGAGUACAAACAAAUAUUGAGAUCUCGUUUGCGCUCCCGAAGAACACAACAUCGAGAUAUCAAUAAGUUGUUUACAGAAUCAUUUUAUGAAUGGUUAAGCCAAAUGGUAUGCAGUUCGAGCUUCCGCUUACAAAUAAUAAUAUUUUCUCAUAACAAAUGAAUUACUCAGUUUACUUUCCAUUCAAUAGGUUUGGAGCGGGAAGAACAUAAACGACGAUGUUAAAUGGCUCUCCCAAGGUCCAAAUCGAGUGGUUAAAAGAUAUAGUGCGUUCCUCAUCAACGGAUUCAGAUUUCAUACAAAAUAUCGCGAGAGGUUGAGGAGAACGCAAAAUUGUGGAAUUGUUGUCAAUUCUGCAAUUACGAGUUAUGCUAGUGCUAGGGACAAUAAUCCUGUCGAGGGAAAUGUGGAAUAUUUCGGACAACUUACUGACAUAAUUGAGUUGGAUUACUACGGCAAAUGGAAAGUUGUCUUAUUUCGUGGUGAUUGGGCCGAUGUUAAUACAGCUCGUGGAAUUAAGCAAGAUCAAUUUGGUUUUACAAUGGUGAACUUUGACCGAUUGAUUCACACAGGACAACAACUGAUAGAUGAGCCGUAUGUAUUCUCAUCUCAAGUCAAACAAGUUUUUUACUCAAAAGAUCCAACUGAUGAGGGUUGGUACGUUGUACUCCGUAACAUCCCUAGAGACUUGUUUGAUAUGGGCAGUGGAAGUAGAGAUAACAUCGAAGAUAGAUCAGUAACUUUACCCUUUCCAGAACUAAACUUAAACGAUAAUAUCCCUAGUACUAGUGCACAAUUUGGAUGGGUUCGUCAGGAUACCGAUGAAGAUAUUUACGAAUAAUGAUGUAGACACAUUUUACGAUUGUUUAAUUAUAUAUAAUAUCAUAAUUUAAAUCUUCGUCUUAUUAUAUGUUUCAACUGUUUUAUAUGUGCUGUUAUUGUUGUAAUUAGCUAUUAAGUUAUUAACUAUUUUAUGUGUAUUGUAGAUAAAAUGCCUAGAAGAAAAAUUCUAAGGGGAAGCAUUGUUCAAAAUAAUCCAAACUCGACAGAAACUAAUAGUACUGAACAACAGACAGCAGUUGGAUCUUCAAAUGUUCCGAUUACAGCUGAGGAUCCUACAGAAGUUCAAAGUAAUUUUUCAUUUAAUUUACAUGCGUGUUUCUGUUAUAGUUGAUUUAUUUUUCAAAUUCUUAUAUUAUAAUAUACCAUUUGUAGCUGAAAAUGGUGGGACGCGCAGAGGUCGAGGACGUACGCUACUUAGAGAGUUGUACGAGUUAGAUUCAGUCGAGCGUGUCAAAGUUGGACGAAACAGUUUUGGUCAGCCUGUUGGAUCAGAAGCUCGACUUUUAGCUGGAUACAUGGGCAUUUUAGCACGAAAUCCGAAUAUGUUACCUAUAAACUACGAGUCAUGGCAUCAAAUGCCCGAUAGCAACAAAAACCAAGCCCUCGAUAAUAUUAAGGUAACAAAAUGUUAAUGUCAUCUAUAAUGCUUGGGAAAUAGUUUCAUUUAUAUUUAUUUUAUUAACUUGUGUUUUUUGUUUUUUGCAGGCGAGGUUUGCUUUAGAGGUCUCGGAUGCUUAUGUAAAGAAGGCAUUGGGAAAAAGAUGGAGAGACAACAAAAGUACUUUGAAGAAAAAUUAUUAUAAGACAAAAACAACCCUCGAUGAGAAAUUGCAAAAUGUCCCGCUGGGUAUGUUGAGGUACCAAUGGGAAGAUGCGGUUAGAUUUUGGCAUUCGAAUAAAGGCGAGGUCUUCUAAACUAUUGUAAUUAUUUUGGUUUAUAGUAUUUUCUAUUUACGUACUAAAAAAUUUCAUAAUGUAGGAUCGUGAUCAAGUUGGAAUAAGCAGCAGGCAGAAACAAAAAUUCACCCACACAGCCGGGUCGAGAAGUUUCGCAUGUGUAGCUGAGGCGGAGGUAUUUUUAAAUUUUUUAAUAUUGUCGAAUAUGUAUAACUUUCUAUUAAAUAAUAUUUAUACUACUAUAUUGUAGGAACGGUCGUCCGGUCAAAAAGUUGGACGCCUUCAACUUUUUGAAAUUACACAUAGGAAGAAAGAUGGAUCUCCCAUGACUCCUGAAGCUGCUGAAAUAAUGGUACGUUUACUUAAUACGAUUUGACUUAUUUUAGUUAUUUAUAGUGUUUAUUUUCUAAUGGUUUAAUUCAUUGCAGUUAAUGCGACUAUUGUUAUGUUGCAUAUGUUUUUCAAUAUAUAAUAUUGUGUUCCUAACUAUGUGAUAUAUUUAUUAGGAAAAACUAAAUGAUAAAAAGGCGGAGUACGAAGCAAUUGCUUCUAGUGAUAGUUCGGUUCAUCUUGAAGAUAUUGAUAAUCGGAUUAUUACUGAAGUUUUGGGUCCUGAAAGGUAUGGUCGGGUUCGAUUUCAAGGAUCUUUUGUUAGCCCAACCCAAUAUUUUGGAUCCAGCUCCCACAAAUACAUGGCUUCGGGGAGUCAGGCUCAAGCUGAAGUUCAGAGGUUAAAAGACCAAAUGGCUCAGAUGCAAGCGACUACAAUUGAGGUUCAAAGGAAAUAUGAAGAACUCCAGCUACAACUUAAAGCAGAGGCGGAAGCGAGGGAAGCAGCGACUGCAGCGAGGGAAGCAGAGGCUGCAGCAAGAGAAGCAGAGCAGAGCAAAAAGUACGACGAACUUCAGCAGCAGCUUCAGAUUAUGAUGAAGAUGUUUAAGUCGCAACUUCCACCUUCAUAGUGUAUGACAUAAAUAUUUUUAUCAUUUUAACAUUUAACAUUUAACAUUUUUUGCAAAAACAAUAUGAAUUCACUUUUAUUUAUUGAUAUUAAUAUUAUUUUAUUCCCUUAUGUUGAAAUAUUAUAUAAAUUUAUUGCUAUUGGUUGCUUUUGAAAUGUUGCUUUUGAAUUUUUGCUACAGGAGGGCAGAAAAAAUGAAAAAUUUAAUAAAAAAAAAUCCCCAAAAUAGUGGCGUUUUUGUAUAAAAGCGCCACUAAAGAACAUGUUCUUUUGCGGCGUUUUUAAAAAAUGCCACUAAAGAACAUGUUCUUUAGCGGCGAUUAGAAAAAAAACGCCGCUAAAGAACAUGAUCUUUAGCGGCGUUUUCCCUUAAGCGCCGCUAAAGAACAUGUUCUUUAGCGACGUUUUUUCCUAAGCGCCGCUAAAGAACAUGGUCUUUAGCGGCGUUUUUUCCUAAGCGCCGCUAAAGAACAUGGUCUUUAGCGGCGUUUUUUCUAAGCGCCGCUAAAGAACAUGAUCUUUAGCGGCAUUUUUUUCUAAGCGCCGCUAAAGAACAUGGUAUUUAACGGCGUUUUUGUUUGUAAACGCUGCAAACAUUUGCGACGUUUUCGUUAGCGGCAUUUUUUUCCGGCGCUUGAAGAAGCGCCGCAAAUAUCUUUAGUGGCGUUAAAAAGCACCGCUAAAGGCCUAAAAAAACGCCGCUAAAAACCUGUUUUGGUGUAGUGUCCUAAAAUAAUAAAUUUAGUAGAUUAUAUGCAGAACUCGGUUAUAUCAGACUCAGUGCCAUGAACUUCACUAGCAAGCUUGCUAUCACAGCUGCAGCAUAAGCUAUUAACUGCUUAAUCACCAUUUUUCUUACAACACUCAAAGAUGAAGAAGAAGAUUCUAUAUUCAAUUUCUUAAUGUUAACCUUGCAUUUGCAUUUCCUCGAUAGGGUUUUUAUACCAAAUUUCAAGGAGAAUAAAACAAAAUAAUAAUAACUUUUUAGUUAAUUUGAUGGCAUAAUUGGAUAAGGUUUUUUUUGGGGGGGGCGAUUUUGCAACGAUAUAUACAGGUAGGUAGGCACAUUUUGUUUUGUUGAAUAACUAGUUAUAUGGUAUAAAAUAUUUGGCUCGUGGUCGAUUUUUAAUUUAUUUAAAACUCAACAUGCAUGAUUUAUAAGAAUGGAAUAUUAAAUAUGAUGAUAGGAUUAUUAAAAUAUUAAUUAUAUAAAGAAUUACAGAAGUACAUAAAAACCACUUUAAUUUUGUAAGUAUUUUGGCAAGGCAACAAUGGAAAGGGCUCUUGCGAUGAAAGAAGUGAUUAAGGGCUACGAAAGCAUGUCUGGACAGAUGGUGAAUUUUAACGAAUCCCUGAUUUAUUUUAGCAUAAAUACAAGUGAGGAAGACAAUGUGCAAAUUGGGAGUUAGAAUGUCUAAUAAUCCAGAGAAGUAUCUUGGGUUACUAACGAUGGUCAGAAGAACAAAGAAGAACGCAUUCGUCAAUUUAAAGGAAAGGUUCAUUAAUAUAAUAAAAGCAUGGAGUGUACGCAAUCUAUCAAUAGGGGGAAGGAGGUAUUUAUCAAAUCCACUUUACAAGUCAUUCCAAUUUAUGCAAUGCAGUGUUUUUUUAUGCCAAUUUCUUUAUGUUGAGAAUUAAGAGAUUAUGAUGUGCAAAUUCUAGAUACGCAAUUCGAAAACAAAUAAAGGAAUUCAUUGGUGCAAUUGGCGUUCUAUAUAUAUGUACCCCAAAGGCACAAGGGGGAAUUGGUUUUAGAGAUCUUUCAAUUUUUAAUAAAACCCUUUUAGCGAAGUAGGGUUGGAAACUAAUUACCAAUUCUACCAGUUUACUUGCACGAGUAAUGAAAGGUAAGUAUUAUCCAAGGAGUGAGUUUAUGAAUGCAGGUUUAGGAUAUCACCCUUCUUUUACCUAGCGAAGCAUUUGGGGUGCUCGUAGCAUUUUGGAAGAUGGUACUGGCUGGAGAAUUGGGAAUGGCAUGACAAUGAAUAUAUAGAAGAUGCUUGGAUUCCAGGACCUGGAGACAGAAAGGUAAAAAUUAAGAAUAUUGACAUUAGAUGCUCGAAGGUUGCAGACGUCAUUAAUAGUGAAACUAAUACCUGGAAAAUGGAUCCAGUAGAAAGAUUGUUCAUGAAGAAGCAAGCCGAGUUGAUUUUAACCAUCCCACUGGUGAACAACUCUUAUCAAAUGCUUUAAUCUUAAAGGGUGAUAAUACGGGAGAAUACUCGGUCAAAAGCAAGUACAAGUGGUGCAUUUCUGGUGGCCAAGACGGGACAGAGGACGAUAAUAAUUUACAAGACAUUGCUACAAAAAAAACUAUUACACAAAGCUCUGGAACCUCAAAAUUCCAAACAAAAUCAUAAUACGCCUAUGGAAGGUUUCUAAAUAAUUUUCUUCCUUUGCUAAGUAAUCUAAAGUAUCGAAGACUAAGGGAGGAGGCCCUCUACUCGAUCUGUAAGAAGGAAGACGAAAUGGUGGACCAUCUCUUUCGAGACUAUGCUUUUAUGAAACAAGUGCUUCAGGAGAUAGGAAUGGUACCCUUGCACACAAACACAAAUCAAGGAUGGAAAAUUUGGUUUGUGUAUGUUUUCGGAAACUGUAACAUUUUGCAAAACAUAAACAUAACCAUUGCAUAUUAGGCCAUUUGGCAUAAUAGAAACAAGUUAUAUCAUGAAGGUAAAAGAGAAAGAGUAUGUGAAGUUGUCAGUUUCAUUAAGGCAUACAUUGUCGAGUUAAAACAGUUAAGAGGAAAUCUCACUGAUCCGAAAUAAUAUUGAAGAAAUACAGUGGAAACCUCCAAAGGGAGAUCAAAUGAAAGUUAAUUUUGAUGCCUCUUUCCAACAGCAGUGUUGGUGCAAGAGGCAGCAGCAAGCUUGUUUCUACUUUGCUUGGACAGCAAGUGUCGAGCCUUGCUGAAGAAACUAUCGAAGAAGAAAGGAAGAAAAAAAAGAAAUUUGCAAUGGAAAACAGAAAAGAAAGAGAUAAAUUUGAAUGAAAAUGAGUUGAAUUUUCAUUAACCACUUCACAAGGCAUAAUGCCAAUACAUAUAUGAGAUAACAACAGCAAAACAAACAAGUUACCACCUAAUAACAUACCUAACACCACUAAAUUGCCUAGUAACUUGGUAAACUUGUUUGAACAUAUAAGCAACUACCUAAACUUGUCAUUCAGGACCUAAUUACAUCAAAAUGCAGCUACCAACUAAGUUCAAAACAAACUAAAAUACAAAAUGUUCAUUUGAGUAACCAAAUGAAACAAUGCAGUUUCGGUUUGAUGUUGAAGCACGUUCCCUGCAUGCCCACCUUGCAUGGCCACCUUGGCUGCUGCAUGGGGGCUGACUUCAACACUCCUCCUCAGCUUCUAUGCAGUAGACUCCUAGUUGCUUCCUUAGGUUUAGAAAUCUCGAUGUACCAAGUGAUUUUGUGAAGAUAUCGGUAAUCUGAUUUUCUGAGCUGCAAUGAAUCAGCUCGAUCUCUCAAGCUUGUUCCAUUUCUCUUAUCACAUGCAGUUUAAUGUUGAAAUGUUUUGUCCUGCCAUGGAAGAUAGAAUUUUUAGCAAUAGCAACUGCUGACUUGUUGUCAUAAUGUAUCACAGCUGCUUCAUUCUGCUGUAGGUUCAAAUCGCUCAAAAUUUUUCUCAGCCACAUAGCUUGAUUAAGAGCAUUGGCAGCUGCUACAUACUCAGCUUCAGCUGUCGACUGAGCCACCAUUGUUUGUUUUCUUGAACUCCAACAAAUCAUAGCUGAGCCAAGUGUAAAAGAAUAACCAGAGGUGCUCUUCAUGUCAUCUUUUGAACCAGCCCAAUCGCUGUCAGUGUAGCCAAUCAGUUUCAAUUCUUUAGCCCUACUGAAAUGUAUUCCAUGGCUCAAAGUGCCUUUGAUAUAUCUCAGCACCCGUUUUCUAGCUUUGUAAUGCUGCUGGUUGCAGCAAUGCAUGAAUCUUGAUAGCAUGCUCAUAGCAAACAGAAUAUCAGGUCUUGUUGCUGUCAGAUACAGCAAACAACCAACAAGGCUUCUGUAAUCAGUUUCACAGACAGAUUCAUGGUCUUCUUGGCUCGAUAGCUUCAUGCCAACAGCCAUAGGUGUGCUGGUUGGUUUACAAUUCUCUAUUGAGAAUUUGGCUAGAACUUUCAAGGCAAAUGAUUUUUGUCUCAAGAAGAUUCCUCCUUCUACUUGAUUUACUUCCAUUCCUAGGAAAUAUGUCAUCAAUCCCAGGUCUGACAUCUCAAACAUUUCCUUCAUUUUUGUUUUGAAAUCAGCUAACAUGAACUUGUCUCCUCCAGUCACUAGAAGAUCAUCAACAUAGAGUGAGACAAUGAGCUAUGUUUCAGCUCGAUUUCUUUUAACAUAAAGUGUUGGCUCACUAGCACUCCUUUAAAAUCCCAAACUGACCAGGUAUGAGUCAAUCCGAGCAUACCAGGCUCGAGGGGCUUGUUUUAGGCCAUACAAGGCCUUUCUUAGCCUAUACACCAAAUGUUCCUUACCAGGCAUUAUGAAUCCUAGAGGUUGCUCGAUGUAUAUCUCUUCUUCCAAGAAUCCAUUGAGGAAUGCAGACUUGACAUCCAUUUGAUGGAUUGUCCACUGGUUCUGAGCAGCUACAGCAACCAGCAAUCUGAUUGUAUCGAGUCUGGCUACUGGAGCAAAUGUUUCCAUGUAGUCCAGACCAUAUCUCUGACUAAAGCCCUUCACAACUAGCAUGGCUUUCUACUUGUUUAAACCUCCAUCUACAUUAUGCUUCAUUCGAUAGACCCAUUUUACACCAAUGGUCUUUAUGUUAGUUGGCUUUUCAACCAACUCUCAUGUUUGGUUCUUCUCAAUCAUGUUGAUUUCAUCAACCAUAGCCUGUUUCCAACCCUCAUUUGCCUUAGCCUCUUCAAAAUAGGUAGGUUCAGCUAUAGCAACCUGUGCCCUUUCAUAAAUCUCACCUAGGGGCCUUGUGCCUCUCACAGGCACAUCAUCAACAUCCAUCUCAGGACCAAGCUGCUCGAGUUCAGCUUGAUCAGGCACCAGGUCUUUUGAAGCAGCUUCUGGUUCACUCUUUUCCCAAUUCUAGCAAGCUUUUUCAUAAAAAAUGACAUCUGUGCUCACCUGGACUGUGCUUGUCAAGGGAUCCAAAACCCUGUAGCCCUUCUUGACUGAGCUAUAACCCACUAGGACACCUGGUUGAGCCCUUUCAGAUAGCUUAUCCCUCUUUGCUGCUGGUAUUUGUGCAUAGCACAGGCAACCAAACACCUUCAGAUAUGCCAAGGAAGGCUUGAAUCUAAACCAAGCCUCGAAAGGUGUCUUGGAUGCAAGAGCUUUGGUAGGAAGCCUAUUCUGAAGGUAGACAGCAGUGUUUACUGCCUCAGCCCACAUGGUCUUGGGAAAUUUCUUCUCAAACAGGAGACAUCUGGCCAUAUCCAUCAGACUUCUGUUCUUUCUUUUAGCUACCCUAUUCUGCUGAGGUGUGUAGACAUUUGUAAGCUGGUGUUUGAUGCUAGCAUCAUUGCAAAUAGCUUGAAACUGAGCUGAAGUGUACUCAGUGCCAUUGUCUGACCUUAUCGAUUUCAGCUUGCAACCUGUUUCUGUCUCAACAGCCAUUUUAAACUUCACAAACACUUGAGCUACCUCAAACUUGUGUUUCAGAAAGAAAAUCUAGCAAAACCUUGUAAAAUCAUCAAUAAAGAGAAUGAAAUACCUAUUUUUGCUGAGUGAUUCAGUUCUCAUAGGUCCACAUACAUCAGAGUGCACCAGCUGCAGUCUUUCAGUGGCUCUCCAUACUGAGUUUGUAGGAAAUGGCAGCCUUGCCUGUUUUCCCAUUUGGCACACUUCACACACAUCAUCAUGCUCCAUUGAGCUGGUGAAGUUCUCUACCAAGCCUUCUUUGGCCAUUCGAGCCAUUGAUCUGAAGUUGGCAUGCCCGAACCUUUGAUGCCAAAGGUUAGAAUCAUCAACAGAGGCUGUGUAUGCUAACUUUAAGUCAUUUGGCCAAUGAACCUCAAAGCAUUUGUCAGUCAUUAUGACUGUCAUAAGGCUUGAUCCACUUGGAUCAGUAAUGUGGCACUGUUUUUCAUUGAACACAAUAGAGUAGCCUUUCUCGAGCAAUUGAGCUAUGCUGAGAAGGUUUCUAUCAAUCUCAGGCACCAAUAGCACAUUUGGAAUGAUCUUGUUGCCUGUAGGAGUACAUAUCAGCACCUCUCCUCUUCCUUCAGCCCUUAUGAAUUGACCAUUUCCAACCUUGGCCUUGGUUUUGCAACUUCUAUCCAAGGUUUUAAACAAGGAGGCAUCUGGUGACAUGUGGUUAGUGCAGCCACUGUCCAAUAACCAGUCUUUUGAACAUUUCUUCUCAGCAGCUAAGCAAGAAACAGCAAAGACCUGCUCUUCUUGGUCACUACUGUCCUCAGCUACUCGAGCUUCAACCUUUGGUUGUUGAAAUUGACUCUGCCUCGGCUUGGUUUUGUUUUUGCAAACCCUUUCAACAUGGCCUUUCUUCUUGCAGUGUUGACAUACUGCAUCUAGCCUGAACCAGCAUCUGUCUUCUUGAUGACCUGGCCUCUUGCAAGGUCUGCAGGGCUGGUCAUUGCUCCUUGCAGCAUCAGGCUUAGGCCUGCUUUUCUAAGGCUUUUUGCCUCUUUGAGCAUUGAUGCUCGACACUUCUCUGGCCUUGGCAUGAAAUGCACCUUCCUGGUGAUCUUCAGCUCUGCUAGCUCUUCUUUGUUCCUGAGCAUAAAAAGUGUUAAUAAGCUCGGUCAAAGAGAUGCUAGCUAGGUCUCUUGAAUCCUCUAGGGAGGAUAUCUUGGCCUCAUAUCUCUCAGGCAAACUGGAGAGGACUUUCUCCACUAUUCUUGCCUCAUCAAAGUGCUUACCAAAGAGCCUUAUAUUGUUAACCACUACCAUGAUUCUAUCUGCAUACUGCUUCACUGUUUCUUCUUCCUUCAUCUUCAGAUUCUCAAAAUCCCUUCUCAAAUUCAACAGCUGUUGUUGCCUUGUCCUCUCAGUGCCUUGAAACUCCUCCUUAAGCUUGUCUUAGGCCUGUUUUGGAGUCUCACAGGCCAUAAUUCUGGUAAAGAUGACAUCUGACACAUAGUUCUGAAUGUAGGACAUGGCUUUGUGCCUUUUGGUCCUCUCAUCAGCAUGUUGCCUGAUCUGAGCUACUGUGGGAUUGGCCCUCAGUGGUGCUGGCUCAACAUCUGUGUUGACAACUUCCCACAGAUCAAAGGCCUGUUGGUAAGUCUUCAUCUUUACCAGCCAUAUGUGAAAGCCUUCUCCAUUGAAGACUGGUGGGGUUGCUGGUGAAAAUCCUAAAGAAGCCAUCAGGUUCCUUGGUUUGAAGCAACAGGUCCACUAAGACAAGGGCUCUAGAUACCAAUUGUUGGUGCAAGAGGCAGCAACAAGCUUGUUUCUGCUUUUCUUGGACAGCAAGUGUCGAGCAUUGCUGAAGAAACUAUCGAAGAAGAAAGGAAGAAAAAAAAAGAAAUUUGUAUUGGAAAACAGAAAAGAAAGAGAUAAAUUUGAAUGAAAAUGAGUUGAAUUUUCAUUAACCACUUCACAAGGCGUAAUGCCAAUACAUAUAUGAGAUAACAACAGCAAAACAAACAAGUUACCACCUAAUAACAUACCUAACACCACUAAAUUGCCUAGUAACUUGGUAAACUUGUUUGAACACAUAAGCAACUACCUAAACUUGUCAUUCAGCACCUAAUUACAUCAAAAUGCAGCUACCAACUAAGUUUAAAACAAACUAAAAUACAAAAUGUUCAUUUGAGUAACCAAAUGAAACAAUGCAGUUUCGGUUUGAUGUUGAAGCACGUUCCCUGCAUGGCCACCUUGCAUAGCCACCUUGGCUGCUGCAUGAGGGCUGACUUCAACAAGCAGACUCACAAAUCUAUUUUAGGAUUGGUUAUGGGCUCAUGCAUUUACCCGAUUAAAAAUUUCUAAGACCCAACAACAGAAGAAGCACAUUCAUGUUUAGAAGCAGUUAUCUUUGCGGAAGAAAUGGGCUUUGGAGAUGUUUGUAUAGAAGGCAAUGCACUCACAGUCCUAAAAAGAAUCAAAAAAUCAGAGAUUGAUAGAUCAGUUAUAGGCAACAUUAUUAUUGAGAUUACGGAUAGAGUAACCAGGUUUUGAAUUUUUACCUCUCGAUACGUCCUGCGAGCGGCAAAUAGAGCAACACGCGGAAUGGCAGCUUGGGGAACACGGCAUGAAAGGCCGAUCUACUAGGUAGAAGACGUUCCACUGGACGUUGAAGCCAUAGUCACAAAGGAGCAACGAUAGUAAGAGAAGAUUUUUUUUCAUUCUGAGUCUGGAGUGUUUGUUUUCAGUUUUGAAAACUCCAAGGAGCUCAGAAAUCUGCGGAGUUGGGAUGAAAUAAGAGACAUUUGUGAAACGGGUGAGGGUUUCAACUCCCACAGAGGAAUUCCUCCAGUGUGUCGGGAGUGGAUGAUUUUGCAGGGAAGAUUUAGAGGUGCUCAUAGGCCGGGCCGAGCCGGGCCCAUAAAAAAUUUUGGCCCAGGCCCGGCCCGACCCGAAAUAUGGGCCUAAAAUUUUACCUAGGCUCGGCCCGGGAAAAAAUUAUAAGCCCGGGACCGGCCUGGUGUUGACACCAUUUUUUGGAUGAAAACGGGGUCGACUUGGAUUUUGGAAAAAAAAGAAUGAAAAUGGGAGUCGCCACCAAUCCUUUUUUGAAGAGGUGUGAUUGGGUCACCUCAAAAGGUGGUUGUUUUUAAUAAAUGAUUUAAUUUUAUUAAAACAACGAUUUUGGUCUACGAAAUUCAGAAAAAUGAGUUCGGGAGUCGGUUACGCACGAGGAAGGAUUAGCACCCUCGAUACGCCCAAAAUUGGUACCUAGUUGAUUAAUUAGUGUCUUAGUGUCGAAAAUUUGAAAACUUGAAAGAAUUUAAAAUACGAUCCCUCUUUGUAAAGAAAAUGCUCAAAUGUUAAGGACCUUCUCGUCUCACAAUAUAAAAUGUCACAUCCAGUAAGUUAGGACACGACAUCUUGAAUUUUCGAGAACGAGCUUGCCUUUUAUAUAAAAAUUCGUGUAUUUCAAAAGGUUAUUCAGUUAGUUAAGGUGAACGAGGAAAAUCGAAACCCAGUAAGUUAGGGCACGUUUCCUCGAAUUCCCAAACACCGAAUAUUGCCUUUACUUGCAAAAAUCUUAUUUCGAGGUAACGAAAUGCCAUACCCAGUAAGUUAGGGAACAACACCUCGUAUCUCCGAGAAUAAGCAUUUUUCAAAACUCAUGUCACGAUUUAAAAGAGUAUUCCGUUAUUUAGGUUAAAGGAGAAAAAUUGAAACCCAAUAAGUUAGGGCACGAUUGUCUCGAAUUACCAAAUACGGAAUAUUACUUUUAUGAAAGAAUUAUUAUUGGGUUGGAUAUAAUGAUAAUAAGAAUAAUAUUAAAGUAAAGUAAACAAUAAUACUAUAUAUAAAUGUAUAUAUAUGUAUAUAAUAGAAAUACACACUACUAUAUAAUAAUAAUAAAUAUAGAAAUACUAAAAGCAAAUAUAAUAAAAAUAUUAAAUUAAAGUAAUAAAAAAUAAUACUAUAUAUAAAAUAUAUAUACAUAAAAAUAUACACUAAUAUAUAAUAGUAAUAGUGAUAGCAAAAAUAAUAAAAAUAUAAGUAAUAUUAAUAAUAUAUUAGAAUACAAAAGUAAAGUAAUAACAAUAGGAGUGAUAAUAAUAAUAAUACAAACAAUAAUACAUAUAUAUAAUAAUAGUAGUUAGAAAUAAAAAAUAAUAAAAGUAACAAUAAUGAUAGUAAUAAUAUAAAUAAAUAUGGAGAGGGCAUAUAUAAUAUAAUAAUAUAAAAAAAAUAAUAUAUACAUGAGAAAUAAUAAUAAUAAUAUAAAUAAUAGUAAAAAUAAUAAAAUAAUAAAACAAAGCUCUCAACUCUCUUUCUCCCUCUUUUCUAAAUCCGGCCGUUGGUCCGGCUUUGCUUCGGUCAUGGACCCCCACGGGCCGCCAUCGGCGCCACCGUACACGGCGGCCGGACCUCAAAAAAACCUUUUUCGAUAAUGAAAAUAUAGGUAAGCUUCUUACUUUUAUUUUUACUUUCGUAUAAAAAAACAAAAUAAAAUUGAAAGGAAAACAAUAAACAAACAAAGAACUAAAGAUAAGAAUAGACAAAAGAAACCUCUUUUGCUUUGAUCUUUGAUUAAUCUCCAAAAACUAGCCUUUCCAAGAAACAAAAAUAACCUUUUUUACAAAAAAACACCUCCAAAAAACAAAAAAAACCUCCUCCAAAACAAAGAACAAUCCUUCUCCAAAAAACCAAAAACCCACCCCUAAAAACAAAGUCUUGAAUGGCUUUUAUAGCCAAAUUUUACAAGUGGAGUGGUUGGGGUGGUUUAGGUGGCCAAGGGUGGUGGAGUUGGUGGCUAAGGUGGGUGGCCAACAAAGGUGGUGGAGUAGGUGGCCAAGGUUUUUAUUUAUUUAUUUAUUUAUUUUUUGUGUUUGGGUUGGGAUUAGGUUGGGCCAAAUUGGGUUUGGUUAGGGUUGGUUUAAGUUGGGCCAAAAUUGAGCCUUUACAGCUGCCCCUCUUUGCUCAUUUUCGUGUAACGAGAAUAGAGCAAAGACAUCAAAAGGGCCAAUUUUGCCCGGUCUUGCCGAGUCUUGACUUUUUGGUGCUCAUCUUCUUCCAGUAGCCUUAUUCCAGUCUGCUACGUCUUGUUGCUUCGAUCCACUCUACUGCAACUUCAGAUACGCCUUGUAGCUUCAAUCUACUCUGCUACGACUCCAUGGGGAUGAGAUUUGUGUUUUUAGUCUGCUCCACUACUACUUAGGGAGAUAAGACUUGAUGCGAUCUGCUUCACUAUUUCUUAGGGAAAUAAGAUCUGUGGUUUUAUCUGCUCCACUACUGCUUAGGGAGAUAAGACUUAAUGCGAUCUACUCCACUACUGCUUAGGGAGAUAAGAUUGUAAUCUUCGAUCUAUUCCACUGUUGCCCAAGGAGAUAGAACUACUGGCUUUAAUGUACUCCACUGUAAUCGGAGAGGUAAAAUCCGCCAUCUUCGACCUGCAAUCUAUUCCACUGCUAAAUACAGGGAAAUAGAGUCUGUUUUCAAUCCACUUCCUACCAAUAUAGGAAGGCAGGAUCUACAAUCUUCAAUCUAUUCCACUGCCAGAUACAGGGAGAUAGAGUUAUCGGCUUCAAUGUACUCCACUGUAGUCACAGGGAGGUAAAAUCUGCCAUCUUCGAUCUGCUUCACUGCCUAAUACAGGAAGGCAAGAUCUGCAAUCUUCAAUCUAUUCCACUGCCAGAUACAGUGAGAUAGAGUUAUCGGCUUCAAUGUACUCCACUGUGGUCAGGGAGGUAAAAUCUGCCAUCUUUGAUCUGCUUCGCUGCCAAAUACAGGAAGGCAAGAUCUGCAAUCUUCAAUCUACUUCACCACCAGUAUGGGAAGACAAGAUCUGCAUCUUGGAUCCACUUCCUAUCAAUAUAGGAAGAUAGGACCUGCUAUCUUCGAUCUACUUCACGCCAAUACAUGAAGGCAAGAUCUGCUUUCUGCGAUCUACUUCGCCACCAAUAUGGGAAGACAAGAUCUGCAUAUUGGAUCCACUUCCUAUCAAUAUAGGAAGAUAGGACCUGCUAUCUUCGAUCUACUUCACACCAAUACAUGAAGACAAGAUCUGCUUUCUGCGAUCUACUUCGCCACCAAUAUGGGAAGACAAGAUCUGCAUCUUCGAUCCACUUCCUACCAAUAUAGAAAGAUAGGAUCUGCUACCUUCGAUCUACUUCACGCCAAUACAUGAAGACAAGAUCUGCUUUCUGCGAUCUACUUCGCCACCAAUAUGGGAAGACAAGCUCUGCAUCCUGGAUCCACUUCCUAUCAAUAUAGGAAGAUAGGACCUGCUAUCUUCGAUCUGCUUCACGCCAAUACAUGAAGACAAGAUCUACUUUAAUGACUUCAAUCCCUCCCAUUGCAACUUCAAGGGUAUAGGAUCUGUUUCUUUGAUCUGUUCUCUGGGGAAUAUGACCUGUAAAAUCCAUUUUAUGGACCUAUUUAUGCCUAGUGUUUAGGAUGGCAUGAUCAGAAUGAAUCAAAUGCUUCUAACUAGAUGUGUAUGAAUGAAUGCAGAAUGUCAUGAGAAUGAUCCAUUUUUAAUGUUUGAGUUGUCAUUGCUCAUGUUUUAUCACUGACGUGUUACAACGCCUUCUUGCUCGGCUGGCAUAUCCAAAGAAACACUUAGUCAGAUUGCCCCCACUGCGAACGUCAAAGUUUAAUCCACUGGGACAUAAAAUUUGUACCAUCAAUCUCCCACCGUAAACUAAGGGUAGAAGGAUAUGGCUUUUUCUCGAUCCUCUACUAUCACAAUUCAAGGAUACAGAAUGUGAAACUCUUUGAUCUCCUACACCAUUCCCAAGGUGUCAUACCAAAUGUUUAUGUACAAAUGCAAAAUUUCCUUCUCCGAGAAAACCUUUUCUUAUUACUUGGUGAACAUCGCUUGUUUGUUCAUUGAAGCUUUGCCACCAACACGACAUCUUGUCAAUGUUUGGACAACAAAAUUUGAAAGGAUAGUCCCGACUUGGACUCUUCCUUUUUGGACACUUUGAAUUUGGUGUGCUCUAAACAACAGUCCUGUUUCAGGCUCCUUCAUUAUUUAGAAAUUUCUAGAGUAAUAUGCAAAACUCCAAUUGCUUGAACAUUCAGUUUAUUAAUAGUUAUUCUAAAUGUUUUUCGAGAAGGUUACCACAACGAACAAACAAAUGUUAUUAAGAACAAAUCUCGAGAUGAAUGAGUUAAUCGAGAUAGCAAAUUUUGCUAAGGUAAAAAAUGAAAUAAGACAAUAGACAAGAAUGAAAUUUUAUUGGGGAGCAAAGCUUGAACUGAAUACAAUAAUCAAGACAACAAGUUUUGCCAAGAUUCAAAGUAUAAGAUGACAACAGGUGCCCCAGAUAUCACAGCACGAGCUUCCCUGCACAAGUUUUCUAAAGACCAUUUAAUAUGUGUUUGGAAUCUACAGUAUUUUGUCGAUACCCCAAGAUGUCACCUACUCCUUCUUGCGAUUCAGGUGUAGUAAGACCACCACAUGCCUCAGAUCCUGCUCAAAAAUUCGAGCCGUACCUCACGCUUCAAAAUUCGAGCCGCCUUUUUCAGGUUUUCAACUCAAAUCCCCUUUGGUCUCAAGGUGCCUUUUGCGGGUUUUCACCUUGGCCUCUCCCAUUUUUUUUUUUUUUAAGAAUGCCCCCUUUUUAAGUGAAAUACUUCUUGACUGAGUCUGAAUUUACAGGAUUUGACAGGCUUUUACCAUCCAUUUCGCUCAGGAUUAAAGCUCCUCUUGAAAAGGCCUUUUUUACCACAUAAGGACCUUCCCAAUUUGGCAUCCACUUUCCUCUAAAAUCCUUUUGUAGAGGAAGAAUCUUUUUCAGCACCAGGUCCCCCUCGUAAAAUUCUCUGGGACAAACUUUUUUGUUGUAAGCUCGCAUCAUUCGUUUCUGAUACAUCUGACCAUGACGAAUAUCUUUUAACCUCUUUUCUUCUACCAAGUUUAACUGGUCAUAUCUGGAUUGAAUCCAUUCAGCCUCAUCCAACUUUAGUUCAGUUAAUACUCGGAGAGAAGGAAUUUCAACUUCUAUGGGUAAAACUGCUUCCAUCCCAUAGACUAAAGAAAAUGGUGUUGCCCCGGUAGAGGUUCUAACAGAAGUACGAUAUGCCAGGAGAGCAAAAGGUAAUUUCUCGUGCCAAUCUUUGUAGGUUUCAGUCAUUUUUCCUAUAAUUUUCUUGAUGUUUUUGUUAGCUGCUUCCACGGCACCAUUCAUUUUUGGACGGUACGGUGACGAAUUGUGGUGUCUGAUCUUGAACUGACUACAAACUUCCGCUAUUGAGUUGUUGUUUAAGUUCAGCGCAUUAUCGGAUAUGAUCCUUUCAGGCAUCCCGUAUCGACAUAUGAUCUCUUUUUUCAGAAACUUGCUAACUGCCGACUUCGUGACAUUUGCAUAUGAAGCCGCCUCCACCCAUUUAGUGAAGUAAUCAAUAACCACAAAGAUAAAACGAUGCCCAUUGGAAGCUUUUGGAGAUAUUGGCCCGAUAACGUCCAUUCCCCACAUGGAGAAAGGCCAUGGAGAAACCAUAACAUGAAGGGGUGAAGGUGGUGCGUGCAUUUUGUCACCAUAAAUUUGACAUUUAUGGCACCUCUUGGCAUAAUUAAUGUAAUCCCCUUCCAUGGUGGACCAAUAGUACCCAAAUCUCAUAAUUUGUCUGGUCAUCGUGAAGCCAUUGGCAUGCGUUCCGCAGAUACCUUCAUGCACUUCUUCCAAAAUUUCCUUUGCCUCAACAGCAUCCACACACCUUAACAGUACUUGAUCUUUUCCUUUUUUAUACAAAAUUUCCCCAUCAAGGACAUAGUCAAUGGCUAAUCUCCUUAAUGUCUUCUUAUCAUUUUCUAUCGCAUGGUCAGGGUACUCGCGACUCUUCACAUAUCGCAAUAUGUCAUGGUACCAAGGGUGAUCAUCCUUUCCCUCUUCAUUGUCAAUGUGCAACAAUGGGCUGGAACCUCAUAGAUGCUGAUCUGGAUAGGCUUCAUAUAUUCUAAUUUGUUCACUUUAAACAUGGAGGCUAAAGUGGCCAAAGCAUCUGCCAUCUGAUUUUCAUCUCGUGGGAGGUAACUAAAGGUGACACUAUCAAAUUCCUCGAUCAAUUCCAUAACCAAUUUUCGAUAGCGAACCAACUUCGGGUCUCUUGUUUCCCAUUCCCCCUUGAGCUGGUAAAUUACUAAUGCAGAGUCCCCGUAUACCUCUAGCACCUUAAUUUUCCGCUUUAUGGCUGCCCGAAUGCCCAUAAUGCAAGCUUCAUACUCAGCCAUAUUAUUUGUGCAGUCAAAGUCCAAUUUGCUAGUGAAAGGAUAAUAAUCUCCACUAGGGGACACGAGUACUGCCCCAAUUCCGUUGCCUAUAGCAUUUGAAGCUCCGUCAAAACUCAACUUCCAAGGACCACCUUCUUGGAAAUCUUUCUUUACGGUUGCGGCAUACAUCAAAUCCUCAUUUGGGAAAUCGAAGUUCAAUGGCUCAUAAUCAUCGAGAGCCCUACUUGCUAGGAAUUCCGCUAUUGCACUCCCUUUGACCGCCUUCUGGUUCACAUAGACUACGUCAAAUUUAGAUAGAAGAAUUUUCCAUCGAGCCAUUCUUCCAUUCAGAGCGGCUGACUCCAUCAAGUAUUUCAGAGGGUCUAAUUUGGAGAUUAACCAGGUCGUAUAGUACAACAUGUACUGUCUCAGUCUCCGAGUUGUCCAAAUUAAAGCACAACAUAAUUUCUCGAUUGGCGAAUAUCUUAUUUCGCAUUCGGUGAACUUCUUACUGAGAUAGUAGAUCGCUCUUUCCUUUCGUCCUGAUUCGUCAUGUUGACCAAGCACGCAUCCCAUGGAAUUUUCAAAUACUGCCAAAUACAGUAUGAGCGGUUUGUCUGGGCAGGGUGGCAUCAGUACUGGGGCGUUGGAUAAGUAAUGUUUGACUUUUUCAAAAGUUUUUUGACAUUCCUCAUCCCAUACACCUGGAUUAUGUUUCUUGAGGAGGCGAAAUAUGGGGUCGCAUUUCUCAGUUAGCUGUGAGAUGAACCGAGCAAUAUAGUUCAGCCUUCCUAGAAAACCUCGAACCUCCUUUUGAGUACGCGGCGGGGGUAAUUCUUGUAUUGCUCUUACUUUGUCAGGAUCAAUCUCAAUUCCUCUUUCACUGACCACGAAUCCAAGUAAUUUUCCUGAUCUGACCCCGAAUGUGCAUUUUGCUGGAUUUAGCUUUAGCUGAAAUUUCCUCAAUCUCGUAAAUAAUUUCUUAAGGACCUGCACAUGUUCCUUUUCUGUUUUAGAUUUUGCAAUCAUGUCAUCAACAUAGACUUCUAACUCCUUAUGCAUCAUGUCAUGGAACAGUGUUCCAUGGCCCUCUGAUACGUUGCCCCUGCAUUUUUCAACCAAAAUGGCAUCACCUUAUAACAAAAAGUUCCCCAUAGGGUUAUGAACAUAGUUUUCCUCAUAUCCUCGGGAUGCAUCUUAAUUUGGUUAUAUCCCGAGAAGCCAUCCAUGAAAGAAAACAGUGAAUGUCCUGCUGUAUUGUCUACCAAGGCGUCGAUAUGCGGCAAGGGAAAGUUAUCUUUUGGGAUAGCCUUAUUUAGAUCUCUAUAAUCCACACACAUUCGUACCUUCCCAUCUUUCUUAGGGACAGGAACAAUGUUAGCUACCCACUCGGAGUAUUUGACCACCUUCAGGAACCCAGCGUCAAAUUGCUUUUGCACCUCUUCUUUUAUUUUUAACACGAUAUCAGGCCUUAUUCUUCGGAGUUUUUGCUGAACUGGUUUGCAAUCCUCCUUUAUAGGAAGUCGGUGAACCACGAUGUCAAUACUUAACCCCGGCAUAUCUUGGUAUGACCAUGCGAAGACAUCUUUGAACUCUCGCAGCAAUUCAAUGAGGUAUUGUUUUACUUCUUCAGCUAUGCGGAUACCAAUCUUUAACACCUUUCCCUCUUCCAAGAUCACUGUCUCUAUCGUCUCUUCGUGGGGUAGAAUCUGUUUCUCUUCCUGCUCUACCAUUCUCAACAAGUCCGGAGAUAGGUUGCAAUCUGUGUUAUCUUCAAAAUCUUGAGAUUCCUCUGGACACAUAUCUCGUUCAAAAAGAUUUUCUAAGUCCAUAGUAGAGUCACUCAUAUCAUUGAUAUCUUGGGACCUGUUAUAGGUAUCAAAGAAUGUACAGGGAAUGUAUGAAUUUAAGGAUUCUUAUUUAGUAUGACCAUGAAUGUAUGAAAAAAAGAAUUUGAAAAGAAUAUAUACUCAAAAUGCGAAGAUAUAUUUCAUUGAAAUCACAAUGUCCACAUAUAAGCCUAUUUCAGUUCACAAAAGUUUUCAUUUUCUCUAGGCUUAGAAUAAUUAAUGUUUUGAAUAUUACUCUGGAAAAGCUCUAAAAACUUCAGGCAUUUCUUCCGCAGUCCAAUUGUUUAAAACACUCCCAGGUUCAACGGGAUAGAUGCCUGACGUACUUCCUCCUUCAAAUUCUUCUUCACAUAUGGCAUUGAUGCUUAAGUUUCUUAACAUUUCCUCUGCGGUCUUCUUUCUUGGAGCCCUCAGUUCAGAAUACAUAGUUCCUCCCGACAUGAAUGUCCUGGAUAUGUGGGGGAAAGCCAUAGGUUCCCAGUCGACUUCUUUUCCGUUCAAACGCGCCUUCCUUCUAUCUUGUCUCUUUUCUAACUCUUUCCUUCUCUGUUUGGUAUUUGGUUUAAAUCCUAAACCAAAACGAUCUUGUUUGUAUUUCACUACUGGUGCCCCCAUCCUUCCCUGAAGGCAUCUUCCAAGUCCUCUUCCAGGCACAGCUCCUUUCCCAACUGUCGCUUGUAAUCCCAUCCUUGUGGCUUUAGACAUGCUGGGCGUCGGAAUCUUCUUUCCCCCUAUGACAAAGGUUGCAUUUACGAACUCCAAAGAUCGAAAAGAACAUUCAACUGCCUCGUCGUCUAUUCCCAAAUAUGGUGUAUCAUUGGUUACCAAUGCAAUGAUAUCUUCCUCGGCGUCAAUUGUAAUUAACCGGCCUUCUAUUACCAAUUUUAACUUCUGGUGCAAUGAUGAAGGCACCGCCCCUGCCGAAUGAAUCCAGGGUCUUCCUAAUAAGCAAUUAUAUGACGGCUUGAUAUCCAUCACUAGGAAGUCCACAUCGUAUGUAUUUGGGCCAAUUAAAAGAGGUACUUCUAUUCUUCCUAUCACCUUUCUUUCGGUACCAUCAAAUGCUCUCACUAUAUUUUGGCAUGAUCUCAUGUGAGAGUUAUCCACCGGUAACCUACUUAAGGUAGAUAGGGGUAAAACAUUCAAGGCUGAUCCAUUGUCAAUUAGCACUCCAGCUAACAUAUACUCCCCGCAACGAGCAGUGAUGUGUAAUGCUUUGGUAGAUCCUCUUCCCCCUGGCGGUAUUUCAUCAUCAUUAAAAAAGAUGAAAUUAUUGGCAUUGAUAUUAUUAACCAAGCGGUCUAACUUAUUCACCGAGAUAUCUUUAGUGACAUAAGUUUCAUUUAGCACCUUAAUCAACGCAUUACGAUGUAUCUCUGAACUUAUAAGCAACUCAAGUACGGAGAUACGAGCCGGUUGCUUAUGUAAUUGUUCUACCACGCUGUACUCGCUAUGUUUCAAGAAUUUUAGAAAUUCAUUGGCUUGAUUUUCAGUUACCGGCUGAUUGACACUCGAUUCAAUUUCGUCUGUUUUUGUUUUUCCUAGCUCAACUGCUAAAGCUUUUUCUUUUCCAGAUUCCACUAUCGCGUCUGCCGGAUCAUAGCGCUUUCCACUUCGUGUAUAGAAUCCUUCCUUCUUUUUUGAAGCAUUUACCGAGCUCUCUUUUCCUGGAAUCGUCACAUUGCAAUCGUAACUCCAAGGAACCUUUUUGUUACCCUUGUAAGGAAAGGAUACAGGUUUUUGGAUUAUAACUUUUGGCCCUAUUUGUAUUCCAGAUUCUUUGUUCAUUGGCUUUGAAAUGAUAACCACUGGAUGACAAAGCUCUUGGGUUCUCCUUGCAGAUCCUUCUCCUGUAGCACAAACUUCUUCCUCUUUUAACCCUUUGAUUUCUUCAUAAAACUCCAUUUCUUUGCUAUCCAUAAAGUUUUGCACCACGAUUCUGAACUCGGUGCAUUCCUGGAUGUCAUGAUCUUCUUCUGCGUGGAACUUACAAAAUCUCUUUGCUUGUUCAGGCCUUUCUAUCGAAUCUUGCUUGAUAAGACCUCUUUUUACCAUUUGUUUCCAAACCCAUCCAAGAGGGGUUUUUAUCUCUGCCACGUUGGCUUUGACUCUUCUUCCUUCAUUCUCACUUAUCGCGUUUACCCUAUUAUCGUCAUGAUUGGGCAACGGAUUUUCUGCUACAUUUGGCCCUGAUGAGUCGCCAAUCUUUACGAUCCCCAUAUUGAUAAGUUUCUCCACUAACUUCUUGAAUGCAGUGCAGUUCUCAAUCGAGUGCCCCUUAAUCCCCGCGUGGUACUCGCAUUGGGAGUUUAUGUCAUACCAUUUGGGGUACGGAGGUUGCAUGGGUUUUAGGUAAAAUGGAGAUACCACAUGUGCAUCAAAUAAAUUCUGAUACAAUUCUUUAUACGUCACCGGGAUGGGUGUGAAUUGAGGUCUUUCUAUAUUUGGCCUUGAAUUGGACUCCCGUCUCGAAGAACCUUGCUGAUUAGUGGUUGUUGCUCUGGCUUGUCCCACCGUGAUUGAUCUAGAAUGGUCCUUGUUAAACAUGUUUGUGUUGUUUAUCUCAUGCUCCUUCUUUCUCAGUGCUGACCUUUUAGCACUUUCUCCUGCUUCUAUCUUGCCACUCCUUAUGGCAUUUUCUAUCAUUUCUCCAGACAUCACUAUGUCUGAAAAGCUUUUGGUGGCACUACCCAGCAUGUGAUUGAGAAAUGGAGCUUUCAAAGUAUUGAUAAAAAGCAUGGUUAUCUCUUUUUCUAAAAGUGGUGGUUGAACUUGUGCUGCUACCUCCCUCCAUCUUCGAGCAUACUGGCGAAAGCUCUCAUUAGUUUUCUUUUCCAUAUUUUGCAAUACAAUUCGAUCGGGUGCUAUGUCCAUCACAUGUCUGUAGUGUUUUAUAAAGGCCUGCGCCAAAUCUUUCCAAGAGUGGAUUUCAGCUCGACUCAAUUGAUUGUACCAUCUAACAGCUGACCCGAUCAAACUAUCCUGAAAACAGUGAACCAACAGCUGCUCAUUGUUGAUGUACCCGGUCAUUCUUCGGCAAAACAUAGUGAUAUGAGCAUCGGGACAACUUGUCCCGUCAUAUUUUUCAAACUCCGGCAUUUUAAACUUAGGAGGGAGGAUUAAAUCAGGCACCAAGCUCAGAUCUUUAGCAUCCAUUCCUCGGUGGUAAUCAGCACUUUCCAUGGCCUUAAACUUUUCCUCCAGCCAUUUACAUCGGUCUUCCAAUUGCUUUGAUAGAUCCACUUUCGUAUUUUCCACUUCUGCCACGUCAUCGAGGUCAGGGACUAUGAGAUUGGUGGGAUUCUCUCCGGAAUUGUUACUUAUUCCGAUUGGAGGACUCGUUUGGAAUUGUUGGGGUCUAAUUGUAACAGAGGGUCUUUGUUGAUACAUUUCAGCUUGAGUAUGCGCGUGCAGAGGGGUAAAGCCUGGAGGGUAAAGGGGUUCAUCACUAUUUCCAUCUUCAACAUUAACAAUAGGGUCCUUUCCCUUGUCUUUUCCUCCUUUCAACAGUUGCGUUAACUUUGCCAUCAUGUCGUCUUGGGAUUCUCGCAUCUCUCGCUGAAUCUUUUCCAACCGCUCUUCUAUCUGAUCUUGCAUAUCUCUUUGGAGCUGCUCAAGUUUUUCUAGUCUUUGAUCCAUGUUUCUUGACUUCGCUCGAGUUCCGUAAGAGUGACGGUUUUCCAGGUUAACUGAAAUAAUUUUAUUUAGUUAGGGUCUUUUAAUGGUCAUUAAUGCAUAUAAUGCAAUGCAUGAAAUGAAUGCAAAAGGCGUUAAUUCUAGUUCAAUUUCAUUAUGAAAACUUUACUAGAAAAUAAACUUUUUUACAUAAGGUGGAUUACAUAUACGACUUAGCCCUAAAACUCAAAAUUCUAAUCCUCCUAAGCAACGAGUCUAGCUCCUGUCCUCGACUCGACUCUAAUUCGUACUUCACGCUUAACACAUCAGCUUGUACUGCUAACGUCUGCAAGUGAUCAGCCACCUCUCGGAUUUGAAGCACGGCUUCUCCCAUGAUUUGAUCUCUAUCUCUUACUUGGUUCUGAAAGUAGUGCAACUGCUCGGUUUGACGAUCUUCAUUAGAUCUCAUGUGCUCAAUCCGCAUCUCGCAACUUCCCAAUGCUGCUUCUAACUCUUCAAUUCUUCGUUUCAUCUCUUCAAUUCUACUUAGGCUUACUUUUAAUUCCAUCACAGAAUUUCGAUUUCGAUGCCGAUAGAGAGAUUCUUCUAACUCGGACACUCUAUUUUCUAGUUCCCCUUUUUCUUUCUGAUUCUCUGACAGACUCUUCUUUAAAGUCUCGUUCUGGGUUUGAACUUCUUGAAACCUUGUUUCCCAUCUAUCAGCUUUGUUCUUUUCUUCUUGAACUUCCUUGCGCCAUUGUUCAGAAGUCUUUCCCAACCCGGCGGUUCUCAUUGAUGAUCGCAACUUCUUGUAAUCUGUUUUCAGACUGUUCAGAUCUUCUUCAGCCCUAGCUUUUCCUUUUCUUAAUCGCUCCAUCUCGAGCUUCUGGACAUCUACAUCCAACCUUAAGUUUGUUUUUUCUUCCUCCAUUUGCUCUAUCUGUUUUUCCAACUCUGCAUUUCUUCUUUCAAAAUCUUGCUUCAAAAUUUCUAGUUCAGAAAGGAUGACCCGUAAGUGCUCCUCUAUCGAAUGACUGCCUUCGAGGCUUGAUUUGGGGACAUUGUCAUUGAUUCUUCUGACCCUCCAUUCUUUAUAUUCGGGGGUUGUCAUUGGUCCUACAGCUAAUCGCUUCAUUUGGCGAGUCUGAUUCCACGCAUUGGAUAUCUCUCGAAUCCUCUUUUUGUAGCCAUCACCCCCAUACGAGAAUUCACACUCGGCCAGCCCCUGGGUUGCGGGUAUAAACUGUCUUGAUCUGUACUGUCUGAGCACUAAUAACGGGGCAUAGCCAAUAGCUCCCCAGAUUCCAAGCAAAGGGACCCAAUCAAAACUACCACAUCGGUACAAAAUUUCGUCUGGAAGUAACCACGGAGCUCUCCAUUCAAUGUCUUCUUCAUGCAAGUUUUGAAGAAUUGCCAUCCAUUUUUCCAUUGAAAUGUCGUCCCUUCUCGGUGUAGCUAUCGUCUCCUUUAGCGGCGAAUAGUUUUCAGAGAAGACCCGAUAUGACACCUUAUCCACUUUCCAAAAAUGACUGUGGAACCACGCAAGUAGCAACUGUGCACAUCCAAUGAACCUGCCUUCGCCCGCUCGCCGACAGGUACUCAAUGAUCUGAAUGUCUCCGCUAAAAUUGCUGGAAUCAGGGUAACUCCUUUAUCAAGGCGGUCGAACAAAUCAGUAACCGCCUCAUCAAUAUGCCCCAAAGCUCUAGGAAAGAUAACUAAGCCAUAUAUGCUUAGGGCGAAGAUAUCUACCCUAUUUUUUAUAUCCGGGUGCACCAAAGCCACAUCUUUCAAACUCCUCCAAGAAAUGCACUUGUUAUCCCCUUUUUGUUUAAUUCGGGCCGUAACCCACUGCUCACUCAUGCCUGUUAUGUUCAUUAACCUUCUCAAAAAGGGUACAUUUGCGGCUCUUGAGUAGAUUCUGUCGACUUGACUCUUUGAACACCGAAGUAAAGCCAUAUAUUCUUCUAUCGUAGGCACCAAGUCAACUUUCCCGAACGAAAAACAACUAUAGGCGGGAUUCCAAAAUUGUGCGAGAGCCCGGAAUAGGUGCUUAUCUACCUUCAUAUCUAGCAGGUACGGCAAGUCCCCGUAAUGGGAAUAAAACAACUGUCUGGCCUCCUCGUCCCAAUGGUCCCAAAUUCCUUUCAACUCUUGUAAAUCGUUCUGGGUUAUGCUAAUGCGGGUAAAGUCCCAUAGCUCUGAUAUAUAUCCUUCAGCCAAACUAUCCCCUUUCUCUUGUUGUGUCGUUUCCGACCAAAUUCGGACUGCCGCAUUAUCUUCCACCUUAUCAAGAAACCUUCUUUCCAUGAUAAGCUUUCUUUCUAGAAACCGAAUAUGAACCAACGCCUUGAAAUAAUGAAAUGCCAUGCAGUUGAAAUGUCAUGCAUCCAAAGUAAAACAACAAAUAUCAGUACCAGAUAUAAACAUAUAAUCCAAGAUAAUUCAAAAAGAAUAAAAGCACAUCAGGGUAUUUACUAGGGUUUGGUGUAGUUCUACUUAAGGUGAGUUCCUAAGGUUUACUACAUGGGGUUUGGUUCUAAAGCAAAGGUACCCGAACCAGCAGAUUCCUCGAUCUUCACCCAUUAUAGUCUCAUAUAGACCGAGUUCGGUUUAGGGGAAUACAUUUCCCUAUGGCUGCACGGAGAUGAAAAUCUCACGAAGACAUAGGUACGGAUGUAUCCCGAAAGCGAUCCACUAUCCUGCACGGAGGUGAAAACCUCACGAAGGAGUAGCUUCUCACUCCCACUUAAAAGGUGUGACCAACGGUCAUGCAAUGCAAUGCAAAGAUAUAAAAGUUUAAAAUACGAAACAUGAUGAAAACUAUAGCUCAAAACAAAUGAAAUGCAAUGAGAAGAUCGUAUAUUUAAAUCAAAUUUUCAACUUUCGACAAAAAGACAAAAAAUAAUCAACUCGUGGCUUGACUCACUUAUUUUGAAAAAGUCCCCAGUGGAGUCGCCAAGCUGUUGACACCAUUUUUUGGAUGAAAACGGGGUCGACUUGGAUUUUGGAAAAAAAAGAAUAAAAACGGGAGUCGCCACCAAUCCUUUUUUGAUGAGGUGUGAUUGGGUCACCUCAAAAGGUGGUUGUUUUUAAUAAAUGAUUUAAUUUUAUUAAAACAACGAUUUUGGUCUACGAAAUUCAGAAAAAUGAGUUCGGGAGUCGGUUACGCACGAGGAAGGAUUAGCACCCUCGAUACGCCCAAAAUUGGUACCUAGUUGAUUAAUUAGUGUCUUAGUGUCGAAAAUUUGAAAACUUGAAAGAAUUUAAAAUACGAUCCCUCUUUGUAAAGAAAAUGCUCAAAUGUUAAGGACCUUCUCGUCUCACAAUAUAAAAUGUCACAUCCAGUAAGUUAGGACACGACAUCUUGAAUUUUCGAGAACGAGCUUGCCUUUUAUAUAAAAAUUCGUGUAUUUCAAAAGGUUAUUCAGUUAGUUAAGGUGAACGAGGAAAAUCGAAACCCAGUAAGUUAGGGCACGUUUCCUCGAAUUCCCAAACACCGAAUAUUGCCUUUACUUGCAAAAAUCUUAUUUCGAGGUAACGAAAUGCCAUACCCAGUAAGUUAGGGAACAACACCUCGUAUCUCCGAGAAUAAGCAUUUUUCAAAACUCAUGUCACGAUUUAAAAGAGUAUUCCGUUAUUUAGGUUAAAGGAGAAAAAUCGAAACCCAAUAAGUUAGGGCACGAUUGUCUCGAAUUACCAAAUACGGAAUAUUACUUUUAUGAAAGAAUUAUUAUUGGGUUGGAUAUAAUGAUAAUAAGAAUAAUAUUAAAGUAAAGUAAACAAUAAUACUAUAUAUAAAUGUAUAUAUAUAUAUGUAUAUAAUAGAAAUACACACUACUAUAUAAUAAUAAUAAAUAUAGAAAUACAAAAAGCAAAUAUAAUAAAAAUAUUAAAUUAAAGUAAUAAAAAAUAAUACUAUAUAUAAAAUAUAUAUAUACAUAAAAAUAUACACUAAUAUAUAAUAGUAAUAGUGAUAGCAAAAAUAAUAAAAAUAUAAGUAAUAUUAAUAAUAUAUUAGAAUACAAAAGUAAAGUAAUAACAAUAGGGGUGAUAAUAAUAAUAAUACAAACAAUAAUACAUAUAUAUAAUAAUAGUAGUUAGAAAUAAAAAAUAAUAAAAGUAACAAUAAUGAUAGUAAUAAUAUAAAUAAAUAUGGAGAGGGCAUAUAUAAUAUAAUAAUAUAAAAAAAAUAAUAUAUACAUGAGAAAUAAUAAUAAUAAUAUAAAUAAUAGUAAAAAUAAUAAAAUAAUAAAACAAAGCUCUCAACUCUCUUUCUCCCUCUUUUCUAAAUCCGGCCGUUGGUCCGGCUUUGCUUCGGUCAUGGACCCCCACGGGCCGCCAUCGGCGCCACCGUACACGGCGGCCGGACCUCAAAAAAACCUUUUUCGAUAAUGAAAAUAUAGGUAAGCUUCUUACUUUUAUUUUUACUUUCGUAUAAAAAAACAAAAUAAAAUUGAAAGGAAAACAAUAAACAAACAAAGAACUAAAGAUAAGAAUAGACAAAAGAAACCUCUUUUGCUUUGAUCUUUGAUUAAUCUCCAAAAACUAGCCUUUCCAAGAAACAAAAAUAACCUUUUUUACAAAAAAACACCUCCAAAAAACAAAAAAAAACCUCCUCCAAAACAAAGAAUAAUCCUUCUCCAAAAAACCAAAAACCCACCCCUAAAAACAAAGUCUUGAAUGGCUUUUAUAGCCAAAUUUUACAAGUGGAGUGGUUGGGGUGGUUUAGGUGGCCAAGGGUGGUGGAGUUGGUGGCUAAGGUGGGUGGCCAACAAAGGUGGUGGAGUAGGUGGCCAAGGUUUUUAUUUAUUUAUUUAUUUAUUUUUUGUGUUUGGGUUGGGAUUAGGUUGGGCCAAAUUGGGUUUGGUUAGGGUUGGUUUAAGUUGGGCCAAAAUUGGGCCUUUACACCUGGCCCGGCCCAUUUUUUUAAUAAAUACCAUAAAUUUAUUUUAAAAAUAAUAAAAAAGUAUUUUAAAAAUAUUUUAAAAUUAAAAAAUAAAUAUAUUUAUUAUAUCGGGCCAAGCCGGGCAGGACCCGGGCCAAAAAAGUGGUGCCCGAGGCCCGGCCCGUUUUUUAAACGGGCCUCGUUUUUUUAUCCAAGCCCAUAUUUCGAGCCUAUAUUUUUACCCAAACCCUCCCAUAUUUCGGGCGGGCCGGCCCGGCCCAUGAGCACCUCUAGGAAGAUUGAAGGACUUGGGUUUUUUUCUUUGCUUUUUGUUUAAAAGUUUUUUGUUUUUUAGGUUUUUCAUUUUAGUGCUUUAAGUUUUCUCAGCCUUUUUAGGGAUACCCGAGGCACCACCCAUUAGCAGCAAUAGGCUUCUGCCAGCUAGCUAGUGGGCUGAAACAUUGCAGGGUUUAGGAUUGUGUUCCAUCCUUUAAUCUUCAAUUUUAAUGAUUUUACUUCAAGUUUUUUUUAAGUAAAUCCCUUCCCAUAUAUAUAUUAUGCAUAUAUUAAAGUUAGUUUCUAAAGGGAAAGAGUUAAUAUUCCAUUUGGUAUGUAGGGUUUUUUUUUAAAAUUUAAUAUAUGAGUUUUACUUCAAUUUGGUAUCCAUACCAAACAAAUGUGCUUAAUGAAUACUUGGCACGUAUGUUCUAGUAAAAAAAUAUAAUUACCCACAAAACGAUCUGAUAAAAUUGUCACCCUGAAUUACCUGACAACGAUGACUCAAGUAUGAAAUUACCACCCAGAUUUCCGAGCAACGAUGGUUUCCAAAUAAUAACCUGACCCUAUGUACGCCAACUAACUCGGUCCGACAAAUAAUAGGGUAACCAAAUUUCAAUUUCAAUAUACAACCUGAUUCAUGUUUAUUCAUUUUGAUUUUCAUCAUCAGUUUACCAAUUCAAUACAUAACUUAUAUAUAUAUCAACCGAAUUUCACAUAUCAAGUAAGUCAUAAAAUUUUCUAUUCUAUUCAAUUUAGUCCUUGCUUCGAUAUUCAAUUCAAAUCAUAUCAAUUUAGCUCAAAAAAUUAUCAAUAACUAACCUCCAAUUCCAUAUAAUGUAGAAUGAUAUAAAUAUGCAACAACUAAAUGGUUCCCAAAUCAUAGAAUUACAAACCAAAAAUUUUGAUCUAAUUAAUAGCUUUGGAUUUUCCUUUUCCUCUCGAUGAAUCUAGGUCGACGUUAGUUAUGGAUUAACAUAAACACAUAACACUAUCAAUAAACAACCAAUUCACAAUCAAUUGUCAAUUUAUACAAAAAUUUCAAUUUAUUCAAUUUAGUCCCUAAAACUGAGACUAACAUAACUUUCAAUUUAAAACUCCAAAUUAAAAUUUGAUUUCACUAUGGUCCAUUAGAGACCUCCUAUUUCUUAUUUAUAUAAUCAAUUUUACAUUUAAUUCAGUUUAGUCCUUAUAAUCUUGUGUUUGCGAGUAAUUUUAGGGUUGCUUUUGUCGUUGUGCCCUCUAGUUUGGUGGAUGCUCAGUUCUUUUGUCGAUUUAUGCUCACUGUUUUGGACCAUCCGGGGUUGAUUUCCUUAUUGUAUUAAGUGCUUGCAAUCACUCCUUAUGUUGUGCUUAAGUUGUGACAGAGUCGAUUGUCAACGUGCCAUAAUGUUCUAUUGAUGUUGAAGCUAAAGCUUUUGUUAUGUUGAUGGAGCUUGUACUUUAGCGCGUUCAAUGGGUGUUUGUUACUUUUUUCCCCUGAAUUGUAUGGUCUUAUUUAUUGAAUGAAUUAAUAAAUUUCUCUUUAAAAAAAGAAAUAAUUUAUAAUAAAUAAUUAAAUGUAUUAUUUAAAACUAUUUAAUAAUAGCGCAUUAAAUAUGUAUGCUAUUAAAAUGAAAAAAAAAACAAAUUAAAUUGUUUAUCAUAAUAUUGACACUUUUCAUCAAUCUUGAGUCAAUAUCGAGUUAACUUGUGACACCAACUCAGCUAAAUAUAUUAUUAAUAUAUACAAUGAUGGGGCUAAUAAAGUGUGCACAAAAAAAUUAAAAUGUAUAAAAAUAUCAAAAUAAAACUUUAGUUGAGUAGUAAAUAUAAAUUUUAUUAAUGCAAUUAGCAAGAGUUCGAAUCUCACCAUAUACAUAUUUUAUUGGCUUUUUUUAAGUUAAAAGAUUAGAAUAUCCUUGAAUAAUAUUGUUUAGUUUAAUUACAAAAUGACAUUUUCUUAACUUUUUAAUCGAGUUGGUAACCCGAUUAAAGGUGACAUUAACUCAAUCAAGAACUUAGAUAAAUAUUAAUAUAAAAUAUAAGUUUUUGCUAUAAAAUAAAAGGACAGAAAGUAAAGAACAAAGAAAAUGAGAAAGCAAAGAGAGAGCGUAUUUUAUUGAUCAAUUGAAAUAUUUACAAAGUUUCUCCAAAAUUUCUAUUUAUAGACAUAAGAAGUAUAAAUGAAGUAUAGACCUACUUCUAAUGGCUAUAAGAAUUUAAAGUACAUCAAAAAUUAUCUUGAUCUUGAUGGACAUCCACUUAAUAAGAUAUUCAUAACACCCCCUUGGAUGUCCAUUGGUAGAUAAUGUGCCUCGUUAAAACUUUACUAAGAUAAAGAUCUUGUGGGAAAAAAUCCUAGUGAAGGAAAAAAGUAAACAUAUCUAAAUGCGUAUAUUAUGCUGCACCAUUAAAAACUUUACCAGAAAAACCCAAUGGGAUAAAACCUCGGUUAAGGGAAAAAUAGUACAAUGCAUAGUUACUCCCCUUCAUAAAAACAUCAUAUACUUUCUCAUAUUCUAUUGAAUUGAAUACUAGUUUUCAAAUGACUAUAUUAAUGAAUUUGCUAAGCAUUUAUAUCACCGUUCUUUUGGAAGUCAUGAGUGGGGAAAUUUUAGGGGAAAUAUAUUUUGAUCUCUUGAAGAGUCUCAACAAUUUUCAUAACAAACUUUAAUCAUAAUUCCUCUAUAAAAACACAAAUAGGUAUUUUGGAUCAUUUUAUAAUCCUCCUUCAACUACUAUUCGCUGAGUCAAAUUUACCACAUAUGUUCCAAUUAUUUCAAUUCAUAUAAAUGAACAAUUUCCCGACAAUUUCGAUAUGCUUCUAUCAUCCUAAAUCCUUCAAGGAUUUGAAUAUAAAUUUUACUAUAUAGUGGUUCAUAAAAAGGUUGUAACAACAACCAUUAGACAUAAGUUAAAUCUUCUAUGAAUUGUCAAAAUAAUAUAUCUAAAAAUUAUUGCAUCCACCACAAAAAAAAUAUUAUUUCUUUUCAUAAUAAAUGCCAGGACUUAGCAAAAAACUUCAUAUUAUAAUUUUGCUUUUGCAAAACUACUUCAUUUGCACCCUCACUGGCUUUAUACCUUGAGAUAUUUGGACUACUGGUCCAAAAACUCCACAAAUUUAAUUGUACUUGAAUUGCAUCUUUCUAUUUUGAUUAAUUUAUUCUAUAUCUAUAUUUCUCAAUAGAUUUAUUAAAGAUCCUCCUUUUGUUUCAUUAUAUCAAUAAUAACAUUGCAUGCAAAAUUAUUGUCAACCACUUUUAUUAUUUGGUUUCACAUUUUCUCGAAUUGGCAUAACUUAUUAAGAUCUAUUAUUUUAAUCUUCAAUUUCAGGUACCUGAAUCUCUUCUGGAGUUUUACUUAUUAGUUAUGUCUUGGGUCUCUUUUGGAGCACUUGUCUCCACUAUUUGACCAUCUAGAAGAAUUUUCAUCUUUGGAAUCGAUCAAUCUAUUAUUUAUUCUAACUGAUUGUCCUGCCGGGACUUUGAUUCAAAUUAAAAUAUUAGAUGUUAUAUAAUAUUUGGUUAUUCUUAUUAAGUUUUUAAAUACAUCUGACAGUUAACUUGUAAUGAGUUUUCCUCGUUGAGCUACUAGUUCAAAUUACGUUCCCCCUAACUCAUUACAAGUUGUUAUUUCUCUCCCCCUCAUGUUGGGAAAACUAUCGAAUCAAAAUAGUAAUCACAAAUCAUGUCAUAAUUGAAUCUCCAAUACAUACAAAGAGACUUGUAAUUAAUAUAUAUUCCCAACUCUAUUUGAGGAUUGACUCAUCUUUUUGCGUUGUGUCGGAGUAAUUGGAAUAUAUACACACAUACAAAAAUUCAAAGAUGAGAAAUAUUUAGCUCUUAAUAAAAAACUUAUCAUAAUGGGAAGUAUUUAUAACUUAUUGGUUUGAUGCGUACAACACGUAAAUCAACAUAAUCUCAUGUUGAAAUAGGAAGUUUAGUUUUCAUAAGUAAUGGUUUAGGCAUUAAUCAGAGGCAUUUAAAAAAUAAUUUCUCUAAACUAUUAUGUGCAUAAAUAACAAACUUUUACAAAAGUUUUUCAAACUUCAUCAAUAAAAUACUAAGAUAUAAAUUCAUCAGUAUUAGCAAGAUGAAUUAUCUUAAUUGCAUGAUCUGGAAUUAAUUAUUUAAAUAAACAAUCUUGCAAACGAUAGGUUGCAAGUUGAUAACACAUACGUGAUUAUUUUGUAGAUGCAUCUACCAAAAUCAUAUAAUAUCAAAAUCAUUCACAUAAUGGAUGAAUGGGCCCAUAUUCAUUUCAAAAAUGUAAGACAUUAAAUCUCAACUUUAGCUAGUGAGUUUCUAACAAUCAAUUUUCAUUGAGAACAAGCAUCAAAUGAGAAUUCUUUAAAUUAAAGAAUAUUAUGGUUCUUUAAUAAUAUCAUAUGAAUUCUCAAUUAAUUUUCACAUCAUAUUUGAUCUAGGAUGGUUUAACUAGUCACGCCAAGUAGUACUUGCAUUUGUAUUAGUAAACUUUUAGUUUACUUUAACAUACGUUUCAAUUGUACUAAAUUGUAACAAAUUGAUAAUUUUACUAUCAUUCAUUUUACUUUGUAUCUACAUAUAGGUACUAUCGUGACAUUUACUACUGUAAAUGUCUAAAUCAAUGUGAAGUCUAUAAUGUCACUAAGUCAAUAAAUAUAAUUUUCAAAUAAUUAUAUGCAAUAUUUGCUUCAGUGAAUAUGCCAAAAUCUUGAAAUGAAGGGCAUUUGGUCUAGUGGUAUGAUUCUCGCUUCAAAUGCUAAAAUUCUUGAGUUUGAUUCAAAAUACUUUUAAAACCCUUUUAACAAAAUUUUUGCAUAAUCAGUUAACUACCAAAAAUAACUACCCAGGUCAUGUAUAAAAACAAGUCUAUACUAAAUAUAUCAAUAAACAUCACAUCUCAAGCAUAAAAAUAUGACAUAAUGAAAAACUAGCAAUUUUUUUCAUAAUCAUCAUCAUAAACAUGCAUGGAAUUUAAAUCAAAAUCCAACCAUUCAAGCUCAUAGAACUUUUCAUUUACAAUUGCUCAUGUUAUUUCCCUAAAUAAUUAGCAAAUGAAAUAAUAUAAAACGUAUGAACUACUACCUUUAACAAUUCUUUGAACUAAACCAAAUCUGAAUAACCAUAAAAUUCAUUGGUUUGUUAACAUAAAUUUGCAUACUAGAUAUGUUUUAAUCAAAUAUAUUAUUUAAUUAUAAAACCUACUAUAACGAUAUAAAUAAAUCAAUUAAUUUUCAUUUUCAUAAACAAAUGAGAUGCUUAAAACAAUAUGUAACACAUUUAAUCAAAACUUAAAAAGAAUUACAGUUAUUAUUGUUUGUCCCCAUCCUCGUUGUUUGGUUUCCAAGUUGUGACCCAAAGUCGAGAUUGAUUUGGUUGUUUGGUUUCUAAGUUGUGACCCAAAAUCAAGAUUGCUUUUGAAUUUUUGGUCUGUCUCCAUUGUAAAGCACAUCAAACAAAGAUACAAAUUGAUACAACUAUUCUCAAGUUCAAAUAAAGCAUUAUCUUGUUAGGUAGAGUGAAUAAAAUCACUAAGUUAUUUUUUAUGUCAAUUAAAUUUAUGGUUUUUUUCAAUUAGUUGGAUUGAUUAAAUAUUAAUAAUUUAUAAACACAUUCAUUUAAAUUAAUUUUACACUGUAAUAAAAAGUAAGAUGUUGUUUAAUAAAUCAAAAAAAAUUAAGUGAAAAAUAAAAAAAGGUGUUAUUUAAUAAUUCAUAAAUUGUACGAGAGUGAAGUGUUAGAUAUUUUUGGAUAUGUUUAAUGUGCUUGGGUUAGGAUAGAAAUUUCAAAAUCCGAGAAAAUAUAAAUAGUCAAACAUAUAAAUCAAAUCCAACUAAAAAUGCUAGAAAUUUGAUUUAUCAUACUCCUAUUAGAAAAAGAUAGAAAUGACGUGAAAUCACAAUUUCAUACAACCCUUUCUCCUCACAGUGAUUAUUGUUUGUCCCCAUCCUCAUUGUUUAAUUUCCAAGUUGUGACCCAAAAUCAAGAUUGACUUUGAAUUUUUGGCCUUCUGUCUCCAUUGUAAAGCACAUCAAACAAAGAUACAAAUUAAUACAACUAUUCUCAAGUUCAAAUAAAGUAAUAUCUUAUUAGGUAGAGUGAAUAAAACCACUAAGUUAUUUUUUAAGUCAAUUAGAUUUAUGAUUUUUUAUUCAAUUAGUUGGAUUGAUUAAUUUGAUAAAAAAUAAAUAUAAUUUUAAUUUUAAAUAAGUAUUAAAAAUAUUAAUAAUUUAUAAACACAUUCAUUUAAAUUAAUUUUACACUGUAAUAAAAAGUAAGAUGUUGUUUAAUAAAUCAAAAAAAUUAAGUGAAAAAUUAAAAAAAAUGUUUAAUAAUUAAUAAAUUGUACGAGAGUGAAGCGUUAGAUUUUUUUGGAUAUGCUAAUAAUUAAAAAUAUUGUACGAUGCUUGAAAGUUAUCUGAUACACAUUGUACCAAAUUUCAAUACCACAUAUAUGUUAUAAAAUCUUAUGAUGCUCUAAUCAACUAUUUAUAAAUUCAAUUUAAAAGAUAUUAUACAAUAAUUUCAAGCAUAUUUAAUAACAAUAAUUUAAUCAUAAAAACUUUUAAUCAUCCAAAUAUCAUACAUACUAUAAUUUAAUAAAAGAAUCUUAGUUUAAAAGAAACUAUAAAUUAAUAAUAUUUUUUUACCAAAAAUCAAUCAACAAAGGAGAAAAACAUACCACUUAAGGAUUAUAUAAUUUUUUCUGUAUAAUAAUUACCCAUAAUGUGCAGGCCCCAAUUGAAGACUGAAAUAACAGUAGCUCUAGAAGGCAAUUGGCAACAGCUUGAGUAGCAAAUUUGAGUGACCGACUAUUGCAUUGGUUGUUGCUUGAAAGGGGUAAGGCUUUGUGAAAGGGAAAAAAAAUUGUGACUUAUGGAGAAAAACAAUUAAAAGAAAACUGUGCUAAUAAGGUGUUAUAAAAUAAAAGGACAGAAAGUAAAUAACAAAUAAAAUGAGAAAGCAAAGAGAGCAUAUUUUAUUGAUCAAUCGAAAUAUUUACAAAGUUUCUUUAAAGUCUCUAUUUAUAGGCAUAAGAAGUAUAAAUAAAGUAGAGAUCCACUUCUAAUGACUAUAAGAAUUUAAAGUACAUCAAAACUUAUCUUAAUCUUAAUGGACAUCCACUUAAUAAGAUAUUCAUAACAAAUUUAUUAUUUUAUUAUUUUAUAAACAAUAAUAUAAGCUUUUUGGACAAAUUGAGUCGAGUUUAAACUUAACCUAAAUUUUUAAAAAAAAAGAGUCUAGGCCCAAUUUAGCUCAUGAAUAUCUUUAAUGGUUAAUUAAUUAUUUAUUUUAAUGAGUUUAUCUAAAUGUAUUUUAGUUUAUUAAUUUGAGUUUAGUGAUUCAAUGUAAUUUUUUUUAUAACUUUUAAUACAACUAUAAGAUGUAACUUAAAAAAAAUAUUUAUAAUUAUAAAUAUAAUUAUCAUCAAUUAGUUACUAAUAUGUUAUUUUGUUGUUCAUUAUUUACCAUUAAUUUUUUCAUAAUUUAAUAGUGUUUUCUAUUUAAAUAUUUUUAAAAAAUAUUUAUUAUAAUAUGCUUUUUGGAAAGUUAUCUUAUAGAAUAUGUUUUUUUUACCUCAACACCUAUAGAUCGAGUUUAGUGAUGUUUAUUGUACCACCAAGUUUUUGUGUCAUUGAAAUUAGAAUAAUUAUUUUGAAAUUAUUACAACACAUUAACACCCAGAAUCUUAAACCGUAAUAAUAUGAUUUAAUUUUCUAAUAGCUUUGGAUAAUAUUUAAACAAAACUCGGACAUUUAUGGAUGUUGAAUUUUUUUGUAAAAUUAAAAAAAACAUAUAUAGUAAUUCGUAACCAUUAAUUAAAUUUUUUGUAAAAUUAAAAAAAACAUAUAUAGUAAUUCGUAACCAUUAAUUAAAAAGGAGACACAAAAAUUAAUUGAUCUCGCUGCCCACGAGAAUAUUUAAAAAAAUACUAAUAAAACUCUAAUUUUUAUAGGUUUUAAAAUGAUUUUAAUUUUCAUAAAAAAUAUAUAAUUUAAUUAUGACUUUUCAAAAAACAAAUUCUUACAUCACCCUCAUUCCAACUAAAAAAAUUACCCGAAUAUAAAAAAACAAAAAAGGAUAAUCAAAGGAGGAAAGUUGUAUAAAAUGUAUGUGGUAGCGGGGAAGAUAAUGGUGGUGACGUUGAGGGAUUAUAUAUUUAUAAUUUUAAUUUAUGUUUUACUAUUUAAUUUUUUAUUUUACAUUUCGUUAAUUAAAUGAAUUAAAUAAGAUCAUUUUUUCUAUUAAUUUUCAGUUUUUUUUUAAAUUCAAAUCUAAUUAAAAAUACUAAAAAUCUGAUUUAUCAUCCUCCUAUUAAAAAUAAAUAGUGAUGAUGUGAAAUCACAAUUUCAUACCAUCUUUUUUCCUUACAGUUAUUGUUGUUUGUCCCCAUCCUCGUUGUUUGGUUUCCAAGUUGUGACCCAAAGUCAAGAUUGAUUUGGUUGUUUGGUUUUCAAGUUGUGACCCAAAGUCAAGAUUGAUUUUAAAAUUUUGGUUUGUCUCCAUUGUAAAGCACAUCAAACAAAGAUAGAAAUUGAUACAACUAUUCUCAAGUUAAAAUAAAGCAUUAUCUUGUUAGGUAGAGUGAAUAAAAUCACUAAGUUAUUCGGUUAACUGAAUUAACCGAAAAUUAUAUGUUUUUUUAUUUUUGGUUAAAAAUUAAUCGAAUUAACCGAAUUAACCGAAUUACCCAAAUUAACCAAAUUAUCCGAAUUAUCCGAAUUAUCCGAAUUAAUCGAAUUAACCGAAUUGAAUCACUACAUAAUUAAAUUAUUUUUAGACUUUUAGACUUUAGUUUUAAUUUUAGUUUUAGAAUUUUAUUUUUAUUUAUUAAAUUAUUUGUAAUUUUUAUGAUUGGGUUGGGUUGGGUAAUUGUGUUGGGUUGAAUACUUGGGUUUGGAUUGGGUUUAGGUGAAUAGUGGGCCUAUUUAUAUAUUAUAAUUUUAUUUAUUAAUUUUUUCGGUUAAACCGAAAAAAUUUGGUUAACCGACUAGUUUUGAACCAAAUUAACCGUUAACCGAAAAAUCAAAAAAUAAUUAAUCGACCCCUGACCAAAAAAAUUCGGUUAACCGAUCGAUUAACCGAAUUCGAUCAGUUAACCGAAUUUUUUUGGUUUUAUCCAAAUUUUGCACACCCUUAGGUUAAUGUACUUGUGUUGUUGUUUCGACACCAUAAUCAAUUCAGUUUUGCUUCAUCCAUAAUAAUUGUGCACAACUCUCAAGUACAAAACUUAAACCGUGGAUUAUGAGAUAGAAUUUUAUCUUUGUUUUUUGUGGGCAAAUAACCAAUAAAAGCCCCUUUAUUUUUAAAUUUAUCGAAAUGGGCUAGGUUCUGAAUUAAUUACCGAAAUGGACCAUUUCUCCCAAAAACGCGUCCAUGUCAGCGCGUUGUCAGGGGAUCAAGCAAGAAAACGCUUCCUCAAGGAAAAAAAUUAGAUUUAGGGUUUUUGCAAUUAGAUUUAGGGUUUUACGGUUUUUGAGUUUUUAGAUUUUAGGGUUUUAAGGAAAAAAUUAAAUAAAUAAGGGUUUAGGGUUUCUUAAUUAAAUUAAUUAUAAAUUUAAAAAAAAUUAGAUUAGGGUUUAGUGUUUAUGGUUUUUAAGGAAAAAUUAAAUAAAUUAGGGUUUAGGGUUACUUGAGUAAAUUAAUUAUAAAUUUUAAAAAAAUUAGAUUAUGGUUUAGUGUUUAGGGUUUUUAAGGAAAAAAUCAAAUAAAUUAGGGUUUAGGAUUACUUGAGUAAAUUAAUUAUAAAUUUAAAAAAUUAGAUUGGGGUUUAGUAUUUAGGGUUUUUAAGGAAAAAUCAAAUAAAACUAGUUGUUAUUCGUUAUAUAUUUUAAACUCUGGCCCAUUUCGGAACCUGACCCAUUUCGGUAAUUUUAAAAAUAAAGGGGCUUUUAUUGGUUAUUUGCCCAAAAAAUAAACUAAUAAAAUUAAAUGUUUUUAGUAAAAAUUAAAUUUAUUAAAAGAAUUUUUUAAUAAUAAAUUAAAAAUAAAAUAUAUAAUGAAUUUUUGUAUUUUCAAAUUUUAAAAUAAAAAAGAGUUUUUUUUAUAAAAACAUAAAAAGAGUUAAAAGUUUAUAUAUAUAUUAAAUUUAUCUUUUGCUGUAAUUUUAAAUUUAUAAUAAAUUAAAAAUAUUAAUAUAAUAUAAUAUGCAAAAAAAUACUUGAAAUUUAAUAUAAUACAAUCAUAUUAAUAAUAGAAUAUUUUAGGGAUAAUAAUUCCUUAAUUAAGGUCUUAAGAUCAUGGGUAAAUAUUUUAUUGAUUGUUAGUGAAUGAUUUACAAAAAAGUAUUAUUAAUUUUAUUUAAUGGAAUUUAACAUAAAUUUUAAUAUUUUAAUAUUUAAUAUAUAUAUUAAAUUGUAGAAGUUUAAAUUUAAAAUUCGAGAAAAAAUAUAAUAAUUGUAAUUAAUAUUUAACUAUAUUUAAACAAAGUUAGACUUAAUAAAUAAUUUUUAAAUAAUUUUUAAUUUUUUUAAAAUUUAUAAUUAAUUUAAUUAAGAAACCCUAAACCUUAAAAUCUUAUUUAUUUAGUUUUUUUCCUUAAAACCCUAAAAUCUAAAAACUCAAAAAUCCCAAAACCCUAACUCUAAUUGCAAAAAACCCUAAAUCCUAAAAAACAAGGAAAGCGCUUCCUUGAGGAAGCGUUUUUUGUCCACGUGGACAAAGCGCUUCCUUGAGGAAGUGUUUUCCUGCUUUAUCCUCUGACAACGCGCUGACGUGGACGAGUUUUUGGGGAAAAUGGUCCAUUUUGGUAAUUAAUUCAGAACCUGGCCCAUUUCGGUAAUUUUAAAAAUAAAGGGGCUUUUAUUGGUUAUUUGCCCAUUUUUUGUAGUGCUAUGAAAUUUAGCUUAAUAGAUAAUAGCAAAUUUGUGGAAAUACAAAAACUUAGCUUAACAUAUUUAAUAACUAGUGAUUGGGUUAGGAUAGAAAUUUCAAAAUUUGAGAAAAUAUAAAUAAUCAAACAUAUAAAUCAAAUCAUGCAUUCUAAGGCAUAAAUAAUAAACAAGUUCUCGAUGAUGUGGUAUUUAAUAUCUAUCAAUUUUGUACGAGAGUAAAGCAAGUAUAAAGACUUAAAAAUGAUUAAAUUAAAGUAAAAAAAUAAUUCUACAACUUGUACCAACGGAAGAUUUUUUGAUUAGGUGAGGGAUACAGUUGGAUCCGUUAUCUAGUGGCUGUCCAUGGUGUGAUAGAGUUAUAGAAAAUGUUAAUCAUUUGUAUUUUCUAUGUCCUUUUAUUAAUAUAUAGUUUUUGGUCUCGCAUUUCUAAUUGGUAGAGUUUUGAUUGGAAGAAUGUGGUGAAUUUUGAAGAAUUCUUUACUUUGUACUGGAACAUGCCCCUGAUAGGUCUGCAAAAAAGCUUUCGAUUAGUGGCGAUUGCGGGAUCUUGUUGGAUAGAAGAUAUCAGAUCUUGUCUUCCUGUAUUGGCAGUGAAGUAGAUCGAAGAUAGCAGAUCUUGUCUUCCUGUAUUGGUAGCAAAGUAGAUCGAAUAUAGCAAAUCUUGUCUUCCUGUAUUGGCAGGGAAGUAGAUCGAAGAUAGCAGAUCUUGUCUUCCUAUAUUGGCAGGGAAGUAGAUCGAAGAUAGCAGAUCUUGUCUUCCUGUAUUGGUAGGGAAGUAGACCGAAGAUAGCAGAUCUUGUCUUCCUGUAUUAGCAGCGAAGUAGAUUGAAGAUAGCAGAUCUUGUCUUCCUGUAUUGGCAGCAAAGUAGAUUGAAGAUUAUAGAUCUUGUCUCCCUAAGCAGUAGUGGAGCAGAUCGAAGAUGAUAAAUAUUAUCUUCCCAAGGUAGUAGGGAACCAGAUUUAAGCCACCAGUCCUAUCUCCUUGAGUAGCGGUGGAGUAGGUUGAAGAUCGUAGAUCCUGUCUCCCUAAGCAGUAGUGGAGCAGAUCGAAGGCAGCAAAUCCUAUCUUCCCAAGGUAGUAGGGAAGCAGAUUUAAGUCACCAAUCCCUUCUCUCUGAGUAGCAGUGGAGUAGGUCGAAGAUUGUAGAUCAUGUAUCCUUAAGCAAUAGUAGAGCAGAUCGAAGGCAGCGAAUCUUAUCUCCUUGGCGUUACAGUAGAACAGAUUAAAGCUCAAGGUAGCGAAUCUUGUUUCCAUAGCAUUGCAGCGGAGCAGAUCAAGACUGAAGAUAACCAACCUUAUCUCCCUGAAGUUACAGUGGAGCCGGUUGAAGAUAUCAAUCUUAUCUCCCUGAAGUUGCAGUGGAGUAGGUUAAACGAAGUGAGCCUUAUCUCCCCGAAGCUACAGUGGGUCAGGAAGAGGCUACUUGAAGAAGAAGCAUACCAAUGUCCAACACAACCGGACAAAAUUGGCCUUCUAAUUUAGUCUUUGCUUCAUUUUCAUUACACGACAAUGAGCAAAGAGGGGCAGCUGUAAUAGGCCAAUUUAGCCCGGGCUCACAAAAAAAAUAAUAAACUCAAAAUAAUAAAACAAAGUCCAAGUCCAGUCCAAAAUUGUAUCAUUUGGCCCGAUCGGAAUGACCCAUUACUUGAAAAAGGAUAUGCAAUCUUAGAUAUAAUAUGCAAUCUUAGAAGAUAAGAUUUUGUAAUCUUAGAUAUUUAAUUUGUAGAUACCAUUUAAAUCUUAGCCGUUGAUGUAAUUGAUCUAUACCGUUGGAUUUAGGGAGGCUCAACUAUAAAUAGAGACCUCUCCCUUCAUUGUAAAACACUGGAGUUGGGAGCAAUAAUAAUUCUUAAGAGCAUUCACUCAAAUUUCUCCUUCUCUUGUGUUCUUAUUUUCUGUGGCCUGUUCUUAUUUUGUUUUUUGUUCAUCUUUGUUUCAUUUUAAGUUGCUUUCAUUUGAGUUGGAUUUUGGUGGAAGAAUUUCGUUGAAUCUUCAUAUUGUGGGAGUAAGGCUGACUUAAGUGUUUUUUUUAACCUUUUUUAUUUAUCCAUUUAAUUGUUUAAUUAUUAAUUAUUCUUUUACUUUUAUUCGUUUAUUUAUCCAUCAACUUUCUUAUUUACAUAUCGUUCAUUCAUUUAACCAUUCUUAUCAUUCUUUUAUUUUUUCCAUUAAUUAUAUACUUUAUUUGUUUUUAAUAUUAUGUCACACAUGUUAUUUAUUUUUUAAAAACUCGUGUUAUAAAUCAUCUAUUUUAAAUUAUUUGAUUAUUUGCUUUAAAUUUUUUUCCAUAUAUUAUCAAUUGCAAUUUAUUUUUUAUACUAUCUAUUUUUUCCAUAUUUUGGCCCUCAGUUUUGUUUUAUUCUCAUUUUUUCCUUUUAAUUCUGUUUUAAAAUCAAUUUAAUCCUCACUAGUUUGAUUUAAUUUGCUUGUGUUUUAUUUAUUUAAGUAUUGAUUAUUAUGAUUUUUAAAAUUUUAAAUAUGAUAUUAUUUGAAUGUUUAUACUUAUUAUUAUUAAAUUAAUCAUUAAUAUUAUCUAAGUGUAUUGUAUAUUAUUAUUUUAGAUUUAUCAUGUUUUGUUAUUUGUAAUUUAUCAAUAUUAUUAUUUUAAAUUCAUUGAUAACAUUACUUUAAAUUUAUCAUGUAUAUCUAUUUCAAAUUUAUCAUUAAUAUUUUUAAAUUUAUUAUAUACUAUUAUUUUGGAUUUAUCACGUAUGAUUAUCCUAGAAUUAUCAUCAAAAUUUUUAAAUUUUACAUGUAUUAUUAUUUCAAAUUUAUUAUAUAUUAUUUAUUGUAAAUUAUCCAAUUCAUUUCAAAUUGUAGAUAUUGUUUGUUUUAAUUCAUGUAUUGUUUUAAACUUCAUCCAUAUACAUACUAUUUAUUUUGGAUUAUACAUAUUACUUAUUUUCUAAAUUAUUUUUAUUAUUUUUCUAUAUAAUGUAUAUUCUAAUUUUUCUUCAUAUUUCAUUUGCUUAAAUAUUUUUGUAUAUUGUGUUUUAUUAGUUGUUUUAAACAAUUUAUUAAAUGAUUUAUUUCAAUUCAUUUCAUGUAUUCAUUUUAUCUUAAUUAAUUGAUUUACAUAAUAGAUUUUUUAGCAUAUUACUUACUUCAUGUUGUUUCAUUUAUGUACCAUUUCUUUGGAAUUAAGUUUGUUUUAUAUAUUAUUUCGAGUUCGAUAAUUAUUAUGUGUGUUUGGGGUUUAUACGCGCAUAUUAUUUAGUAUUCUGCCCAUGUAUAUUAUUCCAUGUUCAUACAUUUACUUUUCAGUUCCGAACAUUACAUCAUGGUUAAUUUGAUUAUUUCAUUUCUUUUCAUUUCGAAUAAAUCAAAUUUAUAUCAUUGUUAAUAUUGCAUUAAACCUUCGCUUUAAUCCAAUUUCGUAAAAAAAGGGAAAAAGAAGUUUGCAAUAUGUCGUCUUUGGAACGAUGAGAAAUCGUGCUCUAACUUACAGGGUUUCGAUCUUUCUCAUCGAACUAAAAUGGCUAAAUAUCUUAGUUGUCAAAUAUACAAAGUUUCAAUAAAGAUUUUUUAGCUUACGCUCGGGAAUUGAAAUGUUGCAUCCUAACUUACGGGAUACGAUAUUUUGUCGUCUCGGGAUGAGAAGGCUUUUUUACAUUCGUUUAAAUUUAUCCAAGUACUAUUUUAAGAUAUGUUAUUAAUAAAGGGGGAUUGUUUUUAAUCUUUUCAACUUUACGACAUUCGACUAUAAGACAUUAAUAAUCAAUUAGGUAGCAAUUUUGGGCGUUACGAGGGUGCUAACCCUUUCACGUGCGUAACCGACUCCCGAACCUAUUUUCUCAAAAUUCGUAGGCCUAAAAUCGUUUUCAAGGUGAUCCAAUCACACCUCAAUAAAAGAUCGGUGGCGACUCCAUUUUUUCGUUUUAAAAGUCGACCCCAUUUUUUCAAAAUAAAAAAUGGUUUCGACAAGUAGUAUUUUGAUUAUGUUUUUAUAGAUGUAAUUUAGUAUUACUUUAUUCUUUAGCCAAAAAAGAUUUUUUUUAUAAUUUAAUUAAAAUUUACUAUUAUGAUUCAAUUUGAUGUAGCUUCUAGAGAUGACAAUAAAGUCGGGUGAGAGCAGAUAUUGCUAAACCUAUUACCACUCCAUCAUUUGCAUGUUGUAUACAUCCAUCUAAUCCCAUCCCAUCCCAUCCCACCCUGCAUUAUCAUAACUGCUUCGUACCUAUUACCCAAAAGAAAAAAUCCACCCCGUUCAGCCCUGCAUCCACUUUUCAAAAAAAAAAUCUAUUUCAAGCGAAGCAAUUCAAAAUGUAUUGGACAAUUUGAGUUGUCAUACCUAAUAACUUUAAUCUGAGUUCAUAAUUGAAUACUGAGUUUAGAUGGUAAUUUGUUUUCCAAACUUUUUGAUGUCGUGUUCUUCGACAUGCCUAUGAACCGUUUCAUCAUUUGCCUCUUAGAAAAUUAAAAAUAAGUUGUUUAUACUAUGUGAUGUAGUUUUAAAACCGUUUCUUUUUUUUUUAUUUAUCCGUUAUUUAUUUGGUGUAGGCGAAAAAUAUUUUAUGGGUUUGUGUUUUUAAAAAAAGAGUCAAAUUUUAUUUUUUAAUCACCAUUAUCAAAUGUGUUUAUUAAUUUAGCGUAAAUAUUUUUCAUAUUUAUCAUUAAAUAUUAUUAUAAUUGUUUCAUGUUACUUUACUUAUUUUUCAUAUUUUUCAACUUAAUAUUAUAAUUUACUAUAGGUAACAAUAAUUAAAAAUACAUUAUUUAAAAUUAAUUAAAAAUUAAAUACGUAAAAUCAUAGGCAUGUGACAUUAGAAAUUACUUUAAAAAUAUAUAUCAAACAAAUUUUAUAAUUUAAAUUAAAUAUUUAAUUUUUUUAACACUUACUCUCUUUUUUUUUUAAUUUAUCAACCAAUUUUUAAGUCUAACCUAAUUCAAACCAAGGAAACUUACUUGGAUUUUAUGUUGGGAAUUAAAUAAAAAAGAGAAAUAUUUUUCACUUCAAACUUAUUCAGUUUAAUUACCAAAACUCCAAAAUAUUUUUUUGAAGACACCCAAAAAAACCCCUCUAUAAAAAAUAAGGAUAAUUUGUGAUAUUUUUCCUCUUAAAUGAUGUUAUUUAUAUUUUUAAUUAUAUUAUUUAUAUUUUAUUUUAUUUAUUAUUGAUUUAGAGAAUAAUUAGAGAUAAAAAAAAGCUUAAAGUUUAUUUUUGACAAGUUUUGCGGGUUGGACUUUCAACAUUUACAAUAUAGUUUCAGUAUUUUGGCAAUAACUUAAGCUACAAAUUUUAGUUUUGGGCUCAUAAUAUAUAGAUUUGAAGAAAAUUGACAUAACUAACUAAAGUUGUCUUGUAGAUGAAGCCCAAAAACAUCAAGAAGACAUCAAAAAAUGUCCUAGAAGUUUGACGGAAAAAUUGCCAAAAUAUCUUGAAAACUUUUGCUUUAUAUAAUUAAUGGCACUUUUGUACUUUCUCUAUUAUAUUAUUUUUCCCCUAUAGAUAGACAUUAUUAGGUUAAUACGAGGGGAGACCUAAACCUAGCCAUUCUUAGUUUUAUUUUGUUUUCUUUAUUUUGUGGCUUUUUAAACUCUCCAUCUAGUCAAAGGUUUUAUCAAAAUUUGAUUUAAUAAAUUUGCGAGACUUAAUUUUUGCUUUAAUUUUUCUUUGUUCUUUAGUAUUCAUGCAUUUUUUGUUUUAAUUACAACUUUUCAGGUUUAUUGAAUGUUCAGUCGGUAUUUGAUAGCCUAGAAUGAUUGUUUUGUCAAUUAGAAUUGUUAAACCCAUAAUUGUAUAAUUCAUUCUAAUACUAGUGACAAACUGCAUAAUUCGUUUAAGUGUAGUUCAUGUUUAUGUGGUGUGAAUGUGUGAUAUAGCUAAAAUGAAUCUCACUAGGAUGAGUUUGUUGGUUAGAAUUUGGACUCUCUCGUUCUUAAUACUGGCGGUAAGUUAAAUCUGGGGCGUUGAGUUACAGGGUUAUUUAUCGAUUAGGAAAUAAUUUCAAAUGAGUUUUCUCUUGGCUAUCGAACAAUGAGAGAUUGGUUGUCCGACACUGAGUCAAUAACUAGAACUAAUUUAUUAAAGGUAUUGAAGUUAUUUUUGCAUUGAUGAUCAAAUCUUUGAAUCAAACGAAGAUUUUAGUACUUCUAGAGUUUCUCCUCAUUAAUUUUCUUUUCUUUUGUUUUAUAAUUUAUUUUUACUUUGUUUUAAUUUUAAUUUUUAAUUUUAAACUCUUUUUAUAUUUUUCAUGUAAAUUUUUGUUUUUAUAAAUCGCUGCAUCCUUGCAUUACUUCAAUACAACACCAGAAGAACAAAAUGUCAAACACUGACGCUUAUAGAUAAAAAUCUUGCAAAAGAGGCCGUUUUAUUUUAUCAUAAAAUUAUUCAUGAAAUAGCCAUACAUGGCAAUUACAUAAGCUUGAAGGCCUUAAAACACAGAGACAUACGAUAGAAAUACGCAAACACACACACAAACGAUAGUAAUAAGCAAACACACACAGACGCAGUAAUGAAGGCUAACUUCAACUUCGUAGUAGUGCACACCGAUGGAGCACAUUAUUAUUUAGUUUACAGUUUCGACCUCUAGUGAUCGAAAACCCUGGCUCAAAGCCGGCAGCUUACGCACCCGUAGUGGUGUUGGGUUGGUUGCCAAGAAAAGCUGCAUCAGCAUUCUCAUCAGUGCAAUAAAGGCAAGGGUGCUGCUGUCCACAUCCUAGCUUUAUUAUUUCAUUCCUGACCUUCACCACAAGUUGUCUAUUGCUUAAUGCCCCAUUGCUCUCCCUGAUGACCUUCAGAACUGUAUAGGUAAAGGCCCCAAACCCCAUUCCUCCGGUUUUGUCACUCGCUCCCAUAUCACUCGAUUCCUCAUUGGCUUGGCACCCACUUAACAGAAUUCCCUCAUCCUCCGUCAGUGACCUCAAAUUCACAAUAUCACGUUCAUCAUGGGGUAGGAAUUUGAGACUCACAUUGUUCCCAAAGAUUGUGGUCAAAAUAGAGCCAAUACCCUCCAUAUUAUCUGUUCCAGUGUUGAUGGCAUUCCCAAGUGCUCUUGUGGGAAAUAAGCCUUGUGUCGCGAUUAUGACGUUGGCUACUGUUUGUAGGCACUGGUAUAAGGUUCCUAAGGAAAUGCCCCUAGUCUUGUAAUCAACAGGUAGUGCUAUACCCCUUAGAGUACUAUGGGGUCCAAUUUGUUCUUUACUUUUAUCAAUCAGACCACCACUGUGGCAGGAAUCCGAAACCAUUGUGAAGCUUGAUCCACUUGGUAGUUGCUUAAUCAAUUGCCCCAAGUCCACGUC
rnacentral:lncRNA from 1 species